CAAAAAAAAAGGUAAUGAAUUUCAAUGAUUAAUCAACUAUAUCAUUAAAGGAGUUCUUUAAUUAAUUGUGGGGCCAAAGCUUUUUUCUCUAUCCUAAUUUUUGCUUACGUAGGGAGUUUUGAGUUAAUUAAUGAUAGCUAAUUAAGUUUCCUACAUCAGAUGUGGAAUAUAUGGAGAUACGUAGGAAUAUUCUGUUGCUUAAUUAAAGAUAUUUAAAUCCCAAUAUACUUUGGAAGCAAGAGCAUGUCCAGAACUAAAAAACAGAAUAUAAUUAAGUAGUGAAUCUAUACCCGUUUAAUUAGUACGUGUUUAACUUAUCAUACCCGUUUAGAUGAUCUCUUUUAUCUGUUUUUUGAAUUACGAACUAGAUAGAUCUAAACAUAUGGAACAAUGUGUUAUAUCAACUCAUCUAAAUAAAGUUUUACAACCAAAUGCAUCAACUAUCCCAAAUUUUUGUACGUAUUUUAAAUAAGGCAAAGUGUAGGAAAGUAAUUGACUCAAUUUAAAUGGAGGGAGGGGUUAAAUAAGACGCGCUUAAAAUGUAGGGGAGCUUAAUUUUUAUUGUUUAGCCUUAUUUUAAAAAGAGAAAUUAAUGCUAAUAAAAGUCUACAAUCCAAAGGGGUUAAUGUAAUCUUUACAAACUCUAAUUCAAAGGUUUAAAGGUUUAAAACGUAACAGCAAAACGGUACAUUUUACAAACUACAAGGUCAUAAAUUCUAAAAUUUUAUCAUUCUAUAAUAUGCACUUUACUGUAUAUUCCGUGAUCUGUAAAAUGUAUUGCAUAGUUAUCGGGUUUUGCCACAGGUCAAUACAAUAAAAAAAAAAAAAAAAAAAAACAUUUCUUUUGUUGGAAUAAUAAUCCUAACUUUAGUUUAGUUUUCUUCUUCCUUCCCUACUAUCUUUUCUUCUUUUUUUUUUUUUUUUUUUUGAGAGAUAGGUAGCACGCUACCCGCUUUGUUUAUUUCAUUUAGAAAUAAACUUAGCUAGAAAUGUGAAUCAACUAAGAUUCGAACUUGGGUCUCGGGUACCAACCACCAAGCCCUUUGUCAUUUGCUCCAGGGACGGUCGGUUCUUUUCUUCUUAUUAUAUUUUGUUCUGAAUUAUAUAAUCGGUAUCAGCACAAAUAUUAGUUAUAAUAAUUAGUAUCAGAGAAAAUCACGCCUCCAACAUUUUUGAAUGUACAACAUUUUAAGCUAUCUAUGAAGCUGUAAAAUGGAGUUAUAAACUACAUACGGCAAAUUGAAUAAUACUUUGAAAUAUAUAUAUAUAUAUAUAUAUAUAUAUAUAUAUAUAUAUAUAGAGAGAGAGAGAGAGAGAGAGAGAGAGAGAGAGAGCGCUAGGCUGGUAUACUAUCGGUAGCACGGAGGCGUCCGUGCUACCAAGUUGUUUUCAUUAUUGCGGCUUCCAAAUCGACAAUCGGUUUCGUUAGACUUGAUCUAUAUUAUUAAAAGUAUUUGAAAAUUAAAUUUGAUACUUUUUCGACAUCAUGUAGCUAUCAAACGAGUAGUUUAAAAAUGAAUGACUGAAAAUAAAAAUCUCAUAAAAAAUAAUGAAAAUAGACUUGAAUCUAAGAUCAGAGAUACUGAUCUUACUCUAAAUAAUGAAAAGAAUUUUCUUUAAAAAUUUUAUUAGAUUUGGAUUCUUUUACACCGUUAAAUUCACAAACGCAUCACAUCGACUAUUAAAAUUGUCAAUUUUGAGAUCUUUUGAUCACUAGCCAAAUGAUGUCGAAAAAUUAUAGAAUUUAAUUUUCAAAUACUUUUAAUAGUGUAGAUCAAGUGUAACAGAGCCGAUCGUCGAUUUAGAAGCCGCAUCAUUGAAAACAACUUGGUAGCACGGAAGCCUCCGUACUCCCGAUAGUAUACCAGCCUAGCUUUCUCUCUCUCUCUCUCUCUCUCUCUCUCUAUAUAUAUAUAUAUAUAUAUAUAGCGUAGAGCUACUAUGCUAUCGGAAGCAUAAAGUAGUUGGUGCUUUCGAUUUUUUAGCUCUUGGAUUAAAAAUUCUAUGGUUGGAAUGAUAGCGGUCCUCUUAGGGUUGAGUGGUCCCCCUAGGGUUAAGUGGUCCCCAUUAGUUAAUAAUAUUAAUCCAAUGAUUAGAAAUGAUCAAUGUGGUUGAUUUAAGGGCUAAAAAAUCGGAAGCACCAAUUAUUUUAUACUUCUGAUAGUAUAGUAGCUCUACUCUCUCUCUUCCCCUCUCUCUCUCUCUCGCUAUAUAUAUAUAUAUAUAUAUAUAUAUAUAUAGAGUCCAGUUAUGGUGCUUGUAAAAGCACCAAGCACUUGAUGCUUGUAACUUUUCCACCGUUAGAUUUACCUCUUUGAUCAUUUCUACCGUUAGAUUACACUAUUCAACCAACCACCCACUCAACCCUAGGGAACCACUAUUAUCCUAACCGUGCACCAAUUAAUCCAAGGAUUACAAACUUACAAGCACCAAUGACUUUAUACUUUUAAAAGCAUAGGAGCUCAAUUCUAUAUAUAUAUAUGUAUAAUUAAGCUCAUAUAUUUUUAAAAGUACUAAAUUAUUAGUGCUUUUAGAUUUUCAGCCCUUUGAUGAAGGGAUGUACGAUUAGGAUGACAGUGGUCCCCUAAGGUUGAGUGGGUAGUUGUAGAAUAGCAUAAUCCAAGGAUGAAAUUGAUCAAAGGAAUAGGUCGAACAGUGAGAAACUUACAAGCACCGGGUGCUUGGUGCUUUUAAAAGCGCCAUAGCCACAUCUCUAUAUAUAUAGAGAGAGACUAGCUACGUAUGCUAUCAAUAGUACAAAGCACUUGGUACUACCAAGUUUUUCCUCAUUAAUUCUAUUCUUUUGACUAUUCCCGCCCAUUAGAUCAUACUAUUCCACCAAGCACCCAAUAAAUCUUAGUGGACCACUAUUAUCCUAAUCAUACAACCCUUCGUCCAAGGGCCGAAAAUCUAAUAGCACCAAUUACUUAGUGCUAUUGAUAGUGUAGUAGACCAGAGAGUUGGGCUAUAAUGCUAUUGAUAGCAGGCUCGUUGCUAUUGAUUUGUUUUCGAUAAUGGAGCCUCCGAAUCGACGAUUGGCACUAUUAAAUAUGAUUUAUACCAACAAAAAUAUUUAGAAACUAAAUUUCAAGUCUUUUCUACAUCAUUGACCUAAUGGUUGGGACGCAAACGGAUCCGGGUUGGUGGAGCUCUCGCCCUGAUUUGCUCCGAAUGGAGCAAUAAAUGGGAGAAAAUAAACGGAUUCGGAGUGGAAAAUUGGGCAAUUUUUAUGAUCCGGGACGGAUUCAGGGUAGGAAACGAAAAAAGUUUUGACCCGCCCCGAAUCUGCCCCACCAUGAUCCGCCCUGAAUCUGCCCAGAAAAUCAUUUAUAUUUUUAAAAAAUAUCCCUAAAAGAAUAAUUUAUUUACAAAAAUGUUUAAAAUACAAAGAAAUUAGUGCUCUCAUUUCUCAUAUAUUUGAAAUUUUUGAAUUUUGCUUCGAGUUGUAAUUGAUAUUUUUGAUUUUUAUAAUUGAUGUUGUUAAAUAUAUAUAUAAUAUUAUUAAAAAUUAUUAAUUUAUAUUUUAUAAAAAAUUAAUAAUAUUAUAAUUUUAUAAAAAAUAUUACUUGGCUGCGCAGAUUCGGGGCACCGGCAGGAGACGGGUUACGAGGCAGGGCGGAUUAUGGGAUAUAUUUUUAACCCGUCACGGAUUUGGGGCAGUAGACGAGGCGGGAUUUUGGUAAUCGGGGUGGGAUGCGGGGCGGGUCUCCCGCCCCCAGAUCUACGCCGUUUGCAUCCCUACCUAAUGGCUAAAGGGUUUCAAUAUUUGUAAUUUUAAUAGUUGAUAUUAGGUUUUUUCUUAUUUAAUAGUGUAAGGAUAUCUAAAUUACUUGAAUUUUGGUUAGAAGAUUUUUUAAACUAUUUAAAAUAACAUAUAUAUACUCUUGAUCUUGAUUGCAAGACUCCUACCAUCACUUUUUAAAGAAAAUUCAUUUUUCAUUGUUCAUUUUUGUGUCCACUUGAUGGACAAAAGAACAAUAUUGAAAAAAUAUAAAAUUUGAUUUUCAGAUAGUUUAAAUAGUCUAGAUCAUGCUAAACAAUGCCAAUCGUCAAGUUGGAAGCUCCGUCAUUGAAAACAAAUUGGUAGUUACGGAUCAAGCAAGUUUGUUACCGAUAGCACUCCAGCUCUACUCUAUAUACAUAUAUUAUAAAUUUCUACUAGUGGGAUUUUAGGCCAACUCGAAUGUAAACAAACCUAUAUUUUAUAUAUUUUAGUUAUUAGGUUAAGAUUCUAUUUUUUUUAAUUUUCUUUCAAUUUUUGAACUAAUAGUAGAGCUGACAAUCUACCUCGCUGUAUACAAAUAGUAGCCUAGUUCUAUUGCAAUGACUUGGUUUUAGUUAUGGAUAUAAAAAAAUACAAUCUGACAGAAUUAGGUUCAAUUAUUGUCUAUAUCCAAACCGAACCCGAACUUGAACCACAACCCGAACCAAAAUAAAACUUGUAUAAAAUAUCUUUAAGCAACAGUAUAUUCCUAUACAUCUCCAUUUAUUCCGCAUCUGAGAUAAGGAAACAUAGCUAUCAUUAAUUAACUUAAAACUCCCUAUGUAGGCAAAAAUUAGGAUAGAGAAUAAAAACUUUGGCCCCACAAUUAUAGGAUCCCUUUAAAUGAUAUUGUUGAUUUUGCCAGUUGGCAAUCACAGAAACCACUAAAAAUCUCUAUUUUCUUUUCAGUUUCGUGUACAGAAAAUUCUUGCACAAAAGGUGAUCUCGUGACUCUCAUGUGGCAAGGUACAUUUUGAGUCAUUAAUUUCCAUCAGCUUAGACACAUCCCACUUCUCGCAGAUAGUUGUCAGGAUAACCCUCUACGCACAAAAAUGCUAAUCAGAAGGGUCAAUUGCAUUCGUAAUUUCUAAAUACAUGUUUGGUUUCUCGUAAAAUUACCCAUAAAUUAUUUUUUUCGGUUAAAAACUGAGAUUCCCGUGUUUGGUGGCUCAUAAAAAAAUCUUCAAAAAUUUUCUUUUAUAGAUUCUGAGGAAAAUGGAGGUUUUCGUUUUUCGCUCGAUUUGAGUGGAAAACGAAGACGCACAACGUUGGGCACGCCGUGUGGGGAAAGAAAGCGUGGUCCACGAGGUCCGCUCCACCUCGUGGACUAUGUGAGAGAGGUCCAUGACCUCUCUCUCCCCCCCCCCCUUUAUAUAUAAUUAUAUAAUAUUUUGUUUGUAAAUAUUAUUUAUUAAAUAAGUAGUAAUUUAUUUUAUUGUAUUAAAUAUAUAUACUAUUAUAUAUUAGGGUUAAUUUUAAUCCAGGUCCCUACAAAUAUGGUGAAUAGCAAAUAUAUCCCUACAAAACUCAACUUUCAUAAAUUGUUCAUGCAAAAGACUUCAUGUAUGCAGAUACGUCCUUCUAGUUAAAAUUUAUUAGGGAACUGUUAAUUUUUUAAUAGUAUGCUUGUGAAAUGACAAUUUUGCCCUUAUAAAUAUGUCCCUCCAAAAAUACUCCCUCUUCCUCCUUCUCUUCCUCUUUGGGCCACCAGAGCUGAUGGUGGCGGCGGCGGAUCAUCGACGACGACGACAAAGAAGAAGGAGGAGGAGAAGAGGAGAAUACGAAGAAGAAGAAGAAGAAGGAGGCGGCGAACGCCGGAGGAGCUCGGAGGCGAGGGGGUUUGCAGCGAGGUCGGGGUCGAGUUCACCGGCGACGAAGAAGAGGGAAGAGGAAGAGGGAGAGGAAGAAAAAAGGGGAAGAGGAAGAGGAAGAGGGAAGAAGAAGAGGAAGAGGAGAGGGUUCGCCGCUGCGGCGAGGUCAGGGUCGAGGUCGGGUUCGCAGGCGACGAAGAAGAGGGAAGAGGAAGAGGGAGGGGAAGAAGAAAGGGGUAAAAUUAUAAAUUCACCUUAUUAAUUAACCAUGGUUAAGUAUUUUAACUGUGGUUAACGAAUUAAAUUUCUCUAACGAAAAUUAACAGCAGGGACAUAUCUGCAUUCAUUAGGACUUUUGUAGGAACAACUUAUGAAAGUUGAGUUUUGUAGGAAUAUAUCUGCUAUUCACAAUGUUUGCAUGGACCUGUAUGAAAUUAAUCUUAUAUAUUAUAUUAUAUAUUUACUGUAUAAUAUAUUUUAUUUAUAAAUAUAAACUAUAAUAUUAAUAUAUGUAAUAUGAUAAUUAUUAUUUAUUAAUAAUAUAUAAUAUAUAAAAUAAAAAAAAUAUAUAAUAGUUUUUUAUUUAUAACCUUUUCUUUCUUUUCCUUUCAACCAAACAAUCGUAAUAAAAAUUUUUAUUUUUUUCCUACAAAUCAAACGCUAAAGAACGUAAAAUUUAUUUUCCUCCGAAAUAUUUUUUUUCAUCGAAAAUUUGUUUUCACAGUUUUACGUGGAACCAAACAGCUGCUAAAGUUCAUCUCGGUUCUUAUUCUUUGAGAGGGAACUUAAUCCUCCUUGAACUUAUAAUAAUGUUUUAAAUUGGUUCAUUUCGUCGUCUAAUGUUAAGUUUAAACGAGAGAAAGAUGAUGUAUAGAUACUAAGUCAGCAUUUAUGAAAUAAUAUUGGAAAGUUCUUUUCCAACCUAAAAUAGAUAUCUACCAUUGAAAUAAAUGUUGAAUGUAAAUAUUAAAAGUAAUGUUCUUUGGAAAUUUAAGUUUUUGGAGAAUAACGUACAGUUGUUUUUUUAUAAUUUCACAUGGGAAUAGGAAAUCAUUAGUUUGAAUCCUACUUUUCUUAGUAUUAUUUAAUUUUUUUCCAUCUUAAUUUAAGUCCAUGUUUUGACCUUACCAAAAAGUCUCCAACCGGAACGUGGUGCGGGAGUUCGAGUCCCACUAUACUUCUAAUAUUAUUUGAUUUCUUUUCAUUUUAAUUCAAGUUCGCGUUUUGAGCCUACGGCAAAGUUUCGAGUCUAAUCAUGAUCAUUAAAAGUUUUGAAUAUAAGUAUUAAAAUACUAUUCUCUGAAAACCUAAACUUUUGAAAAAUGAUGGCUAUAUCAUAUGAUUUCACAAUAAACAGGGUAGCACACAGGAAAGUUUAAUUACCCAUUUUGUUAAAUAGUAAGGCUAAAUUACAAAAAAUCUUCCUAUAAAUACCUGCUUUUUUACUUUUUCCUUGUGACUUUUAAAAAUCUAUAUUUUUUUGCCCCCUUAGAAUUUCAGAAAUAUUUUCAGGAAAGUACGUACGGUGUUAAUGGAGAGCGCAAAAUGACCAAAUUACUCUUAUUUUUUCUAUAAAAAAUUAAUUUUUUAAUGUAUUUCUGUCAUUUUGAAGGGGAUUUUCGAUAUAAAUUAUAAAAAAUGGACGGAAUAGUGAUGGAACCCUGACUGAGGGCGGGUUAAAUGCAACAACUUGAAAUUUUAAGGGGGCAAAAUAUAGAUUUUUGAAAACCAGGAAGGAAAAGUGAAAAAGCAGGUAUUUAUAGAGAGAUUUUCUAUAAUUUAGCCAAAUAGUAAGCUCUAAUUCGUGUCUGCAGUGCAUAUCCAGGUUCUAGAAUUACUUCUCCCACAUUCAAAUCAUGUUGUCUCAGCCAAAUCAAUAUCAGAUGACAAAUUAAGUUGCAUCAAUUUGGUAUAUUUAUGGAAGUUCUAUUUUACUUGGUUAAGUAUUUCUUUUUAAAAAAGAUGAGGAUGCAUAUGGUAAAAUUCUAAUGAAGAUUCAGAGGCCACCAAUUUAAUUAACUAUAAAUGUAAUGUAUAUCCUAAUAAGAAUAUAACUUGAAAGGAAGAACCAUUAAGUGGAUUGGGCCAUGCAUGCAUAUAGUUUUACAUCUCCCAAGUGUGUAAGCAACAAACUAACUUUGAUUUGUUGUCCCAACUCCUUUAUAUUUCUUACAAGCAACCCCUCUCCAAACCUUCCUUUCCUUCUAAUAUUAUUGAACCCCAAACCACACUAUAUAUAUAUAUACAUAUAGAUGUAAGAGAUCAACAAGGAGUAGAGCAAACCCUAACAUAUACAUAUAUAGAUAUAUCCCAUCAACUCAUCUAUAUAUAUAAUUCCCUAUAUUGUGUGUGUGUGUAUAAUUAAUACACCAUGGAAGAAGGUCUCAAAGAGCCCAUCCAAAAAGGAACCAACAACAACAACAACAACAACAACAACUCUAACAAGGUGAGCAUUGGAGAUCAGGCCUUUAAGAGUGUUGGGGACCUGAUAAAGCUGCUCCCCAGUGGAACAGUGUUUGUGUUCCAAUUCCUCAGCCCACUCCUGACCAACACAGGCCACUGCAACACCCUGAACAAGGUGCUGAGCUCCCUCCUCCUCCUCGGCUGCGGCUUCUCCUGCAGCUUCGCCUCCUUCACGGACAGCUACGUCGGCCGCGACGGCAGGCUGUACUACGGCAUCGUGACCCGCAGCGGCCUCUGGUCCUUCUCCGACCCGAACGCGCGCUCGCUCGACCUGUCCAAGUACCGGCUCAGGGCCGGGGACUUCGUGCACGCGCUGCUGGCGCUCGUCGUGUUCGCGGCGAUCGCGCUGCUGGACGCCGACACGGUCGCGUGCUUCUACCCCGCGCUCGAGAAGGAGGAGAGCGCCAUGGUCGGGGUGCUGCCCGCGGUCGUCGGCGGCCUCGCGAGCUUCGUCUUCAUGGUGUUCCCCAACAACAGGCAUGGGAUAGGGUACCCACCAACGCAACCAACAGAGAACUUCUCAAGCUCAUAAAUAAUUAUUAAGGACUUGGUUGUCAUAUCUAUAAGUGUGAUGGUUUGAUUUGUAAAUGUGUGUGCGCCUCUACGUGUGUGUGAGGGAAAUCUUUAAAAUCUAUUUUAAAGAUUAUUAGAAAGCAAACUUAUUUUUAUUUAAAAUUACUUCGUUCCAAAUGUCGCAGUUGAAACUGUAAUAAAUUUUGGUCUAGUUUCCACUGUUGUAGUUAAGCCUUCUCACGUAAUUAAAUAUAAUUGCAACUACAACAGUUGAAUUCAAAUGCAUCAAAAUAAAUGUCGUAUUUGAAUCUGUAUGCAGUUAUAAAUGUAGUACAGUUGCAACCAAAUAGCCCUUUACGUGAAAGAGUUUUAAUUUAAGGACUACAUCAUUAUGCAUUAUUAGGCCCUAACUUAAUUAAUAAUAGCUUACUUUAGAUUUAAUAGUUUGUUUCAGCGAAACUAGACUUUCGGUUGAAGUGGAGUUCAGAUGAAAAUUACUUUUUUUUCAUUGUUUAUAUUUUCAUAGCUAUGAAAGUAAAAUUUUUUCCGCUCUCAUUUUUAUUUCACAGAAAGUGAAUAAUAUAAAACUAUAAUAUAUAUAUAUAUAUAUAUAUAUAUAUAUAUAUAUAUAUAUAAAAUAAAUAACUUAAUAAAUAAUAAAUUAUAAUAUAUAAAUAAAAAUAAUAUAAUUUUAUUUAUAUAAUCAAAAAAUUUAAUCUAAAAUAAUUAAAUUAUUUUUUUAUACAUAAAUUAUAAUAAUACUAUAAUAAAAUUAUAAAGUAAAAAAUAUUAAUACUUAAUUAAUUAAUUUUUAUCAUAUUUUAGAUAUGCAAACUAAAUAAUAGAGAAACAGUACCAUAAUUAUUUAUAUUUAGAAUUACUCAUUGUAUUAUUUUAUUAUUUUUUUUCAUCUUUUUUUAUCGUAAUUGACUUCGGCCUAGGGUAGGCCAAAAAAAAUCACACUAUUUUCGUUAACUCGAGUUUUUACGGUAUCUUUAUUACGACGAACCAAACUGUAGAAAUAAUUGUUUACGGCCGAAAACGACUUCACCUUUCUCUACUUUCACCCGAACAAAAAGGCCUGAGGGGGCGCCUGGGAUGUUGCUGAGACACUGUAUCAAGCCACUGAUUAGGUGACAUACAUCUUGCACACGAAUCUUAAAGUUUCGAUCUGAUCUUCAAGCCCUACACGGAAAUUAGAAUGCCCGGGUGAUACAUGAUAACUUUUUUAGUAAUUAAUUGGUGUUAUAAUUAUGUUAUCAAUUCAACAUCAAUUAAUAAUAAAUAUUAAUAUCAAUCUAUAUCUAUAUAUUAUCUAUUAUUCUCUACUAGUUAAGGAACCUGUGCGACACAACGGAUUCAUUUAUCUUCCUUAUAAAUAAUUAAUAAAUAAUUAAAUAUAUUUUUUAUAAAGUAAAUAACAAUAUAUUUUAAUUAAUUAAAUAAGAAAGUUUUAGAUAUAGAUUGAUAUCAAUUCUAGUCAUAAUAACAAACAUUAGUUGUGAUGUUGUAUUAAUCCAAUAUCCCUGUGUACAAACCCUGUGAAAACUCAUUCACAGUAUAAAUACGAUUUUAAAUUUUUUUAUAGAUGAUUACGGAUUUAUAUUUCAGGUUAGAUUGGUUUUUAUUUUCUAAUGAGAUGAGUUGAAUGGUGUGGGUCAGGUAAACCGGGCUAAUGUUUGUUUUUUCUUUUUUUUUUCUUUUUAGUUAAUGGUAGAAAAGAAGAGAGAAGUGAGUUAGGUGAUUUUAAGAUCUGCUUCUCGGAAAGGACAGCAGGAGGAGGCGGUGACGUCGGUUGCUCUAUCUUAAAGCUGCCAACGAUUUACGAAUUUAUUCAAAACCAUUUAAUCAUCGUGAGAAAAUCCAAUAUCGCUGUGAGAAAUUGACAGUGAUAUAUGGAUCGCUGGGGUGUAUAUCGUUGUGAAAAAUUUUCACAGCCAUUAAAAUCGAUCGUCGUGAAAAAACUGUACAUGGAUAUAAAUUUUCACAACGAUAUCUGGCAAAAACAACAUCACGUUUUAAACGUAUAGAAUAUGUUAACUAGCGUAUAGUUUUNAUAACUUCGGAGUUAAAGGGUUAUUCCAUUCCUUAACUCCGAACCAAACAGGUGCUUUGUAUUUAAGUAGAGUUCUGAACUUGCCCUCGAACUCUAAUCAUAUCUUAGUCCAUUUUGUGCCUUACCAUUAUUAAAGAUUAGUGAAAGUGCACGAUUCAUUCGAAUGAAUGAGAUUGAUGAGCACACUCUAUCGACGUGUAGAUAAUAACAUGACGUACGGGCGACAUGUAUGUAAUAAUCUCUUGCUUUUCAAGUGUGAGGAGUACGUACACGUGUUGACCCAGGAAUCCUCAGGUUCUCAAUUCAUAAUUUUAAUUAAUUAAUAUUAUAAAUUAUAUUAAAUAAUAUUAUAAAUUAUAAAUAAAUAAAUAUAAAUAAAGUGAGAAAAAAAUUUUAAAAAAAUUAUAAAGUGUGUGAGAAAGAGUGAGAGAAAUAAAGUGAGAAAAUUUUUUUUAAAGAGUAAAGUGUGAGAGAGAGAAAAACAUUAAAAAAAAAGAAGUGGGACCCACAGGGCCCCCCAACCCGGGGAGCCCUAGUAUCCUCUCCUCCUCCAUGCCCGCCACGUGGCGCAGUGUGGUGCAGUGAUGUGACCGUAUUCCCAAUUCAUAAGUUUAUAAAUAAAUUACUAUAUACUGAAAUGCUUGGAAAAAUUUUCUCCACUCUACACAUGCUGAUUUAAAAUGUUACGUGCACCCGGUGUAUCAUAGACCGUUUUCACAUUUGGGCCGCACUGGCCCGAGUGAAUUAUUUGGACCUACGGUCCAGCAUGGCCCUUGGGCCCUUGGGUUCAGAUCGCAUGGACCAUGUCGGGCCGGGCUGGGCAUGUACCCUCGAUAAUUUAAAAAUAUUUUUAAUUGUUUUAAGAUUUGUAAACUUUUUAUGUAUGAAUAAAAAAUAAAUAUUUCUAUUUUUUUUUUUCCCUAACUACUAAAGGGUAUUAUGGUUAAAAAUUAUAAGAGCAAUUACUUAUAUACCUCUACAAUGUUUCAAACAUUCUGAUUUAUCCCUCUUAGAAGCUUAAUAUUAAAAAUAUCAUUUUAACAUUCCAAGUUGUUUCAAAUAUAGCCCUAUGGUUAAAUUUUGUUGCUAAACUAUUAGCAACACUCGUUAUCUCUACGAAAUUACUAUAUUAUACUUUCAAAUAUGCCAUUCCACCGCUACCUACUUUACUUAUUUGCUCUUAAUAUAGAGGCAAAAUAAUUAUUUUAACUUUUUAUCUUUUCAGAUAUAACCUUCAACCAUUAUCAGUUUUUUUUAUAUUCCUUUAACUCAGGUAAAAAUUUAAUCCGGGUUAAACUUGAGAUGAUUUAACGGGUAUUAAUAGCGAAGAUAUUUUUGAAUAACGGAGAAUUAUAUGAGGGGUAUAUUUGAAAAAAAAAAAAAAAAUAGAGAUAGAUUAGAAUUUCAGAAGUAACCGAGGGCAUAUUAGAUAUUAUUCCAAAAUUAUAAUUCAAAAUUUUUAAGGAAUUUUUAAAAUUACUUGGAAAAUAUUAGAAAAUUAUUUGAACAAUUCUUAAAUUUUAAAAUUUACUUCUAUUAAAAUUUAAAUCAAUCUAUAUAUAAACGCAUCACAUCUACCAUUAAAAUUGUCAAUUUUGAGACCUUUUGAUCACUAGCCAAAUGAUGUCAAAAAAUUAUAAAAUUUAGUUUCUAAAUACUUUUAAUAGUGUAGAUUAAGUCUGACGGAGUCGAUCGUCGAUUUAGAAGCCGCAUCAUUGAAAACAACUUGGUAGCACGGAGACCUCCGUGCUACCGAUAGUAUACUAACCUAGCUCUAUAUAUAUAUAUAUAUCUUCGCUUAUGAGUAUAAAAUUUUACAGGUACUAUACUCUAGAGCCCUUUGUAGUAUACCAACCUAGCACUCUACUCAUAGAGCCCUUCGUACUAUAUUCUUAUGAGUAUAGAGCUCUUCGUACUCAUAAAUUAUUUUUGAUGUUGAGGUUUUCAAAUCGACGAUCCACACUGUUAAAUAUGAUCUAGAGUAUUUGAUACUUCUAAAAUAUAAAUUUCGUAAUUUUUCGACAUUAUUAUAAAGUCCAUCAAGCGGGUAUAAAAUGAACGGUUAAAAUCGAACUACAUUCUAAAAAUGGAUGACCGGAUCCUUCAAUUUAAGAUCGGAGUUAUUGAUCUUUAUUUAGGUAGUGAAUAAAAUUUUUAUCAAAAGUUCAACCUAUUCUGAUUCUUUUUCACCGUUAAAUUAGCAAAUAUCUCAUACCAGCCGUUAAAAAUUGUCAAUUUUGUGAGCUUUUGAUCGUACGGUAAAUGAUAUCGAAAAAUUAUAAAAUUUGAUUUCUAGAAAUUUUAAAUGUUCUAGAUAAUAUUUAACGGUAUGAAUCAUUGAUUCGGAAGCUCUAUCAUUAAAAACAACUUAUGAAUACGAAGACGAUCGUACUCAUAAGAGUAUAAUAGUCGGACUCUAUAUAUAUAUAUAUAUAUAUAUAUAUAUAUAUAGAGAAUUAGGCUGGAAUUGGUGCUAUUAGUUUUUUAACCCUUGGAGUAAGAAAUGUGCGGUUAAGAUAAUGUGGGCCUCCUAGAGUUGAGUGAGUGGUUAGUUGAAUAGUAUAAUCUAAUGGAUAAAAAUAAUCAAAGGGUUAAAUCUAACGGUGGAAAACUCGAUAGUAUCAAAUUCUUAGUACUAUCGAUAAUAUCUCAGCCGGAUUUUAUAUAUAGAGAGAGAGAGAGAGAGUAGGGCUACCGUGCUAUUAAGAGCACAGCAACUCUUGUGCUCCUAAACUCCUAACCAUUCAUUAAUUUUAAUAGAUGGNUUCCUCCAUCUAAUAGUUAAAAACUCAAAAGCACCACUUCAUUGGUGCUGGUGCUUUUAAAUGUAUUCUAGCUCAACUCAUAUAUAUAUAUAUAGAAUCCAACUGAAAUACUAUCGAUAGUACCAAGAAUUUGAUGCUAUCGAGCUUUUCACCGUUACAUUUAACCCUUUGAUUAUUUUUAUCCGUUAGAUUAUACUAUUCAACUAACCACUCAUUCAACCCUAGAAGGCCCACAUCAUCUUAACCACACAUUUCUUAAUCCAAGGGUUAAAAAACUAAUAGCACUAAUUUCAGCCUAGUUCUAUAUAUAUAUAUAUAGAAUCCAACUGAAAUACUAUCGAUAGUACCAAGAAUUUGAUGCUAUCGAGCUUUUCACCGUUACAUUUAACCCUUUGAUUAUUUUUAUCCGUUAGAUUAUACUAUUCAACUAACCACUCAUUCAACCCUAGAAGGCCCACAUCAUCUUAACCACACAUUUCUUAAUCCAAGGGUUAAAAAACUAAUAGCACUAAUUUCAGCCUAGUUCUAUAUAUAUAUAUAUAGAAUCCAACUGAAAUACUAUCGAUAGUACCAAGAAUUUGAUGCUAUCGAGCUUUUCACCGUUACAUUUAACCCUUUGAUUAUUUUUAUCCGUUAGAUUAUACUAUUCAACUAACCACUCAUUCAACCCUAGAAGGCCCACAUCAUCUUAACCACACAUUUCUUAAUCCAAGGGUUAAAAAACUAAUAGCACUAAUUUCAGCCUAGUUCUAUAUAUAUAUAUAUAGAAUCCAACUGAAAUACUAUCGAUAGUACCAAGAAUUUGAUGCUAUCGAGCUUUUCACCGUUACAUUUAACCCUUUGAUUAUUUUUAUCCGUUAGAUUAUACUAUUCAACUAACCACUCAUUCAACCCUAGAAGGCCCACAUCAUCUUAACCACACAUUUCUUAAUCCAAGGGUUAAAAAACUAAUAGCACUAAUUUCAGCCUAGUUCUAUAUAUAUAUAUAUAGAAUCCAACUGAAAUACUAUCGAUAGUACCAAGAAUUUGAUGCUAUCGAGCUUUUCACCGUUACAUUUAACCCUUUGAUUAUUUUUAUCCGUUAGAUUAUACUAUUCAACUAACCACUCAUUCAACCCUAGAAGGCCCACAUCAUCUUAACCACACAUUUCUUAAUCCAAGGGUUAAAAAACUAAUAGCACUAAUUUCAGCCUAGUUCUAUAUAUAUAUAUAUAGAAUCCAACUGAAAUACUAUCGAUAGUACCAAGAAUUUGAUGCUAUCGAGCUUUUCACCGUUACAUUUAACCCUUUGAUUAUUUUUAUCCGUUAGAUUAUACUAUUCAACUAACCACUCAUUCAACCCUAGAAGGCCCACAUCAUCUUAACCACACAUUUCUUAAUCCAAGGGUUAAAAAACUAAUAGCACUAAUUUCAGCCUAGUUCUAUAUAUAUAUAUAUAGAAUCCAACUGAAAUACUAUCGAUAGUACCAAGAAUUUGAUGCUAUCGAGCUUUUCACCGUUACAUUUAACCCUUUGAUUAUUUUUAUCCGUUAGAUUAUACUAUUCAACUAACCACUCAUUCAACCCUAGAAGGCCCACAUCAUCUUAACCACACAUUUCUUAAUCCAAGGGUUAAAAAACUAAUAGCACUAAUUUCAGCCUAGUUCUAUAUAUAUAUAGGGUUAGCUGUCAAGGAAGCCCAAAACUUAGUUUUGGGUCCCUUGGGAGCUCGGGCUAGACCUAUCUCCCUUGAGAAUGAAUCGAAGCCCAACAGAGCUAGGCCUAACUCACUCGGGACUUGUACCAAGUUAAAUGGUGCCAAAUAAUGAAAGGGUAUUAAAAAUAACGAUUUUAAUUGCUGAUGCAACAUAUUUAUAAAUUCAAAUUAGAUAAAAUUUUAAUAGAAAUUUUUAUUUACUAUAAACAGAAAGAUCAUUUUUUCCGAUUUAUAUAUUAAGUCUUUCAUCACUACUAUUUAUGAAAUUUUAAUAUUUUUCUAUCGUACUUUUUUACUGCACGUAACGCAAUCUUCCUACAAUUACAAACGAAGCCAAUCUAUAUUUCAUAGAGUUUCUUACAUGGAACAAGUGCAACAGCUAGAAGAAUAAUGUCAAGGAGUUAAAAAGUAUUAAAAGAAGUUAUUGAAAGGUGACUUAGACGGCAAAUAGAGCAACAAGCUAUGGUUAUCUCAGCUGAGAUAUUUUAUACUAGCUAUUUUAGAGCAAUUUUUGUGUGGCAAAUGCAUCGAUGCCCAAGACACGAUUAAAGAUGCAAACAAAGCAGAUCCGCCUCAGAUGGCUACAAACUUUGGGGUGGAGCCAAACUCUUUUUUUUUUUUUUUUUUUUUUGGGAUAAGACUCUCAAAAACCCCCCCUGUGGUUUCUUGCAUUCCUCACUUUCAUUACUCCUGUGGUUUUAAAACGUUUAUCAUUUGCCCCUGUUGGUUUUCAUUUUUUCUUUUUUGCAAUCCUCUUUNNNNNNNNNNNNNNNNNNNNNNNNNNNNNNNNNNNNNNNNNNNNNNNNNNNNNNNNNNNNNNNNNNNNNNNNNNNNNNNNNNNNNNNNNNNNNNNNNNNNNNNNNNNNNNNNNNNNNNNNNNNNNNNNNNNNNNNNNNNNNNNNNNNNNNNNNNNNNNNNNNNNNNNNNNNNNNNNNNNNNNNNNNNNNNNNNNNNNNNNNNNNNNNNNNNNNNNNNNNNNNNNNNNNNNNNNNNNNNNNNNNNNNNNNNNNNNNNNNNNNNNNNNNNNNNNNNNNNNNNNNNNNNNNNNNNNNNNNNNNNNNNNNNNNNNNNNNNNNNNNNNNNNNNNNNNNNNNNNNNNNNNNNNNNNNNNNNNNNNNNNNNNNNNNNNNNNNNNNNNNNNAUAGAAAAAUCUUCGAAAAAGCAAUUAUAAAGCAAUUUAAUAUAUGUUUUUAAAACGAAACCACAGGGGGGCAAAUUGAUACGUUUUAAACCACAUGGUACAAAAGUGAGAAUGCAUGAAACCACAGGGGGGGUUUUUGAAGUUUUUCCUUUUUUUUUUCUCAGUAUCUUGCCCUAAAUCCACCUCAGAUUGCAAAAAAUCGUCUUAUUCGAGACAGAUCGGGACGGAAGCUCCACUGACCAGAUCCCUUUUACACUUCUAGGCCCAAUUGGCCCAACACUUCAUCUAUAACUAGUAUAGAUGUUACUUGUAAAUUUCUGUACGAAAUUUCAACCGCAAAAAUUGCAACAACUUUGCUUUUGAAAAAAAAAAAAGAGAAAAGAAAUGAACAAAAAUAGUAUUAGUUCGACAAAAUAAAAUAACUCAAAUUUUGUUGCCACAACUUAACCAUAAAGACAAGCAACUCCCCCAACCUUCCUUCGCUUCUAGUGGAGGACACACACACAAACACACUAUAUAUAUAUAUAUAUAGAGAGAGAAAGAGAGAUAGGCUGAAAUACUAUUAAUAGCACCAAGUUGUAGGUGCUAUUAGUUUUUUAGCCCUUGGAUUAAGAAAUGUACGGUUAGGAUGAUGUGGGCCCCCUAGGGUUGAGUGGGUAGUUGGUUGAAUAGUAUAAUCUAAAGGAUAAAAAUAAUCAAAGGGGUUAAUCUAACGGCAAAAAACUUGAUAGCACUAAGUGCUUGGUGCUAUCGAUAGCAUAGCAGCCGGACUCUCUCUGUGAGACCCCAGAUAGUCCUAUAUAUGAGAUAUAAUAUGGCUAAACUCUUAACCCGGCUUAAGCAUUUUGGGUGGUGGCAAGGCCCAAGAGGUUAAGAGAGUUAAGCGUGCUAGGACGGGAGUAGUCCUAGGAUGNNNNNNNNNNNNNNNNNNNNNNNNNNNNNNNNNNNNNNNNNNNNNNNNNNNNNNNNNNNNNNNNNNNNNNNNNNNNNNNNNNNNNNNNNNNNNNNNNNNNNNNNNNNNNNNNNNNNNNNNNNNNNNNNNNNNNNNNNNNNNNNNNNNNNNNNNNNNNNNNNNNNNNNNNNNNNNNNNNNNNNNNNNNNNNNNNNNNNNNNNNNNNNNNNNNNNNNNNNNNNNNNNNNNNNNNNNNNNNNNNNNNNNNNNNNNNNNNNNNNNNNNNNNNNNNNNNNNNNNNNNNNNNNNNNNNNNNNNNNNNNNNNNNNNNNNNNNNNNNNNNNNNNNNNNNNNNNNNNNNNNNNNNNNNNNNNNNNNNNNNNNNNNNNNNNNNNNNNNNNNNNNNNNNNNNNNNNNNNNNNNNNNNNNNNNNNNNNNNNNNNNNNNNNNNNNNNNNNNNNNNNNNNNNNNNNNNNNNNNNNNNNNNNNNNNNNNNNNNNNNNNNNNNNNNNNNNNNNNNNNNNNNNNNNNNNNNNNNNNNNNNNNNNNNNNNNNNNNNNNNNNNNNNNNNNNNNNNNNNNNNNNNNNNNNNNNNNNNNNNNNNNNNNNNNNNNNNNNNNNNNNNNNNNNNNNNNNNNNNNNNNNNNNNNNNNNNNNNNNNNNNNNNNNNNNNNNNNNNNNNNNNNNNNNNNNNNNNNNNNNNNNNNNNNNNNNNNNNNNNNNNNNNNNNNNNNNNNNNNNNNNNNNNNNNNNNNNNNNNNNNNNNNNNNNNNNNNNNNNNNNNNNNNNNNNNNNNNNNNNNNNNNNNNNNNNNNNNNNNNNNNNNNNNNNNNNNNNNNNNNNNNNNNNNNNNNNNNNNNNNNNNNNNNNNNNNNNNNNNNNNNNNNNNNNNNNNNNNNNNNNNNNNNNNNNNNNNNNNNNNNNNNNNNNNNNNNNNNNNNNNNNNNNNNNNNNNNNNNNNNNNNNNNNNNNNNNNNNNNNNNNNNNNNNNNNNNNNNNNNNNNNNNNNNNNNNNNNNNNNNNNNNNNNNNNNNNNNNNNNNNNNNNNNNNNNNNNNNNNNNNNNNNNNNNNNNNNNNNNNNNNNNNNNNNNNNNNNNNNNNNNNNNNNNNNNNNNNNNNNNNNNNNNNNNNNNNNNNNNNNNNNNNNNNNNNNNNNNNNNNNNNNNNNNNNNNNNNNNNNNNNNNNNNNNNNNNNNNNNNNNNNNNNNNNNNNNNNNNNNNNNNNNNNNNNNNNNNNNNNNNNNNNNNNNNNNNNNNNNNNNNNNNNNNNNNNNNNNNNNNNNNNNNNNNNNNNNNNNNNNNNNNNNNNNNNNNNNNNNNNNNNNNNNNNNNNNNNNNNNNNNNNNNNNNNNNNNNNNNNNNNNNNNNNNNNNNNNNNNNNNNNNNNNNNNNNNNNNNNNNNNNNNNNNNNNNNNNNNNNNNNNNNNNNNNNNNNNNNNNNNNNNNNNNNNNNNNNNNNNNNNNNNNNNNNNNNNNNNNNNNNNNNNNNNNNNNNNNNNNNNNNNNNNNNNNNNNNNNNNNNNNNNNNNNNNNNNNNNNNNNNNNNNNNNNNNNNNNNNNNNNNNNNNNNNNNNNNNNNNNNNNNNNNNNNNNNNNNNNNNNNNNNNNNNNNNNNNNNNNNNNNNNNNNNNNNNNNNNNNNNNNNNNNNNNNNNNNNNNNNNNNNNNNNNNNNNNNNNNNNNNNNNNNNNNNNNNNNNNNNNNNNNNNNNNNNNNNNNNNNNNNNNNNNNNNNNNNNNNNNNNNNNNNNNNNNNNNNNNNNNNNNNNNNNNNNNNNNNNNNNNNNNNNNNNNNNNNNNNNNNNNNNNNNNNNNNNNNNNNNNNNNNNNNNNNNNNNNNNNNNNNNNNNNNNNNNNNNNNNNNNNNNNNNNNNNNNNNNNNNNNNNNNNNNNNNNNNNNNNNNNNNNNNNNNNNNNNNNNNNNNNNNNNNNNNNNNNNNNNNNNNNNNNNNNNNNNNNNNNNNNNNNNNNNNNNNNNNNNNNNNNNNNNNNNNNNNNNNNNNNNNNNNNNNNNNNNNNNNNNNNNNNNNNNNNNNNNNNNNNNNNNNNNNNNNNNNNNNNNNNNNNNNNNNNNNNNNNNNNNNNNNNNNNNNNNNNNNNNNNNNNNNNNNNNNNNNNNNNNNNNNNNNNNNNNNNNNNNNNNNNNNNNNNNNNNNNNNNNNNNNNNNNNNNNNNNNNNNNNNNNNNNNNNNNNNNNNNNNNNNNNNNNNNNNNNNNNNNNNNNNNNNNNNNNNNNNNNNNNNNNNNNNNNNNNNNNNNNNNNNNNNNNNNNNNNNNNNNNNNNNNNNNNNNNNNNNNNNNNNNNNNNNNNNNNNNNNNNNNNNNNNNNNNNNNNNNNNNNNNNNNNNNNNNNNNNNNNNNNNNNNNNNNNNNNNNNNNNNNNNNNNNNNNNNNNNNNNNNNNNNNNNNNNNNNNNNNNNNNNNNNNNNNNNNNNNNNNNNNNNNNNNNNNNNNNNNNNNNNNNNNNNNNNNNNNNNNNNNNNNNNNNNNNNNNNNNNNNNNNNNNNNNNNNNNNNNNNNNNNNNNNNNNNNNNNNNNNNNNNNNNUAUAUAUAUAUAUAUAUAUAUAUAUAUAUGCUUCUGGAAGUGAGGCUACUAUGCUUCUGAAAGUACGGAGUCUUCCGUGCCACCAGGUCGUAUUCCAUGUUGCGACUUUCGAAUCGUCGAUCGGCCCCGUUAAACUUGAUCUAGAGUAUUUGAAGUACCUAGAAAAUAAAUUACGCGAUUUUUCGAUAUUAUUUGCCUAGUGAACGAAGGAGUAUUUGAAGUACCUAGAAAAUAAAUAUAGAUUUUAAGUUUUCGCCAUUGAAUCUUAUCGAACGAAUAAAAAUAAAAGUAUCUGUAACUUUUGUUGAUCAAAAUACCCUCAAUAUUCGUUAUUUCCUACCAUCGCGUUUGUCAAAUAUUUUCUUUCUACUCACUAAUCACGUAACACGUGAAAUUAAAUUUAUCUUCUAUCUAACGUAAUACUCGCCAAUCACAUAAUAUGUACACUAGUCAGGUAAUACAUAAAAUUAAAUUUUUUCUUAUCCACACGUUUUCUUAACUAUUUUUUUCUCAAACGUAUACAUGCCAAUCCACCUACAACAGAAUUAGGUUAUAGGGCACAUGUUUGGGACAUUUUUAAAUAAGUGUCCAUUUAUGCUAAAACUUAAAAAAUAUCUAUUAAUGCCUAAAUAUAAAGCCAAUCCAACCAAAAAUAAAAGAUUACUCUACUCACCCACCACAUCCAGCCAUUUGGCCCGAUUACAAACAGAAAAGAAAAAAAAAAAAAAAAUCAAUUACCAUCUUUUCUUCUCUCUUCACUCAAUCCACUGAAAUUCUAGACGAAGAGCCUUUCCUGUCGUCCUCCUCCGCCACCGCAGCCAACGAGAUAGAGUUUCGGCGGUUGCUAAAUACUUAAAUAAGUGUUGGUAAAUUAGCAGCACUCUUUUAGAUUAUAGCGAUACUCUUUAACUGUCACUAUAUACCUAGCGACCCCACAUACAGCAACACUUUUUAAAAGUGUCGGUAAUUUUAGCUAGCAGCACUUUUUUGACAUGUACCUAUAUUUAAAAUUGUCGUUAUAGACCAUUUUUGUUGUAGUGAUCACGUAGUAUUCAAAAUUAAAUUUUAAAUUUGUUAUGCCGGCCAAAAUUUAAUACCCGACAAUUUGAUAAUUUAAAUUUUAAUUCAUGAUAGUAGAUUUUUCUUACGUGAGAUAGUAGAUUUAAUUUUGACGAGUAUUAAAAUUUAGCGUAUCAGAGAAACGUUAAAUAUUGCUAAAAAAAUUUUGAUACCCACUAAAUCAAAACUAAAUCGUUACUUAAAUAUAAUUUUGAAUUUUUUUAGUAAAAUAUUCAAUGUUUAAGUAAUACCCACCAAAAUAUUCUAUGCGUUUCUCAAAUAUAGAGCAUAUCUUAAUACCCUCGCUGUCAUGCUCCGGGAUCCUUUUACAAAUCCUUCUUAAGAACAAUAAGCGGAAAACGUGUAAAUUUUCUUUUUUGUAAAACACUUUUGAGAAUAUCCCGAAACGCACACAGACCCGCCAUAUGGACAAAGAAUCCCCUAUUCGAACGGACAGAGUCUCCUCUGUACAUGCACGGCGUAGUACGAGUAUACAAUAUCAACCGCACCACAAUCAAUCAACAAGAAUAUAGAAAAUAACAACUAACGGCAUGAUGAUCACAUAAACAUAUACUUCACAUAAAAUCAACUAGUCUAAUAACUCAAUCCAUCACUCUAGCAUCAUAAAUAAUCAGCGGGUAAUAAAUGUACAGAUCAAGGGACACUAAUAAAAAAUUAUUCCCACAAAAAAUUGAAACUAAAAACGAAAAGAAGAAGGUCCAUCCCAGAUCAAUCCAAGAACACCGCUAUCUAGAACUGUCCUCACGCAUCAUCCUGACCCUCACCGCUCGAGCUAUCUGAAAAAUAGUGACGGGUGAGAACAUGUAAACAUGUCUCCCCCUUCCUGUGGGUACCGCAAGCCGACGAAGACAAGCUAUACACGUCGGCAGACGGAAGAGAUAACAACAGUAAUAGCAAGUAGUCAGAUAUAACAACAACAAUAACUACCAAUAGGCACAAAAGGAGCUACUACUGUACGGCGAAAUAAUAAAGAAAUAGACAACUGGAAUCAACAAUCUCUAUGAUACAAGCAACCGCUACUGUAAAGUAAAGAUAGAGGAAUGUCCAUGCAUCAACUAUAAAUUGAUAGUACCAAUAUACCCAAUCAACAGCCAUAUUGGUCUAAAGACCUCAGGCUAGGGCCACAACGCUCUGACUGGUAUAUAACCCUACCAUAAGCUCCUAAGCCUGAAAAGCAUAUAACCCUACUAUAAGCUCCUGGGUCUGAAAGGCAUAUAACCCUAGUAUAAGCUCCUGGAUCUGAAAGGCAUAUAACCCUAGCAUAAGCUUCUAGGUCUGAAAGGCAUAUAGCCCUAGCAUAAGCUCAUGGGUCUUACGGGUUGGUACUCCCAACCACUUUUCCGAAAAAGAACACCCCCUUGCGGUAGAUUAAACCGCUGGUGUUUGUGAAAUGCGUAUAAGCUGCGACGAUCGAUACUAUAUGCUCAAUGGCUAAUGACGGCAAAAAGUCGGAAGAACGAUCACAACCAUAUCCAACCAAUCAGAUCUAAUAUUCCCAAAGGAAUGCCACAAUGUCACUUACCUAUCAGGUUUAUAUAGCCAUAUCACCAAGUUUGAAACAUCAUCAACGACAGAAUCAUGCAAUGGUAAUCAAUCACUAGAAUGGUACUCUACCACUAGAUCAAUCAUGAUACUAUACGACGAAACAACCAUAGAGUAGACCAACAAGUACCAAAUGGCAUGCGAGAUACCGAACAUAUGAUCAUGAUAAACUAAGCAGUGCAAGAGACCGAACAUCUAAUCAUGAUAAUAUAAGACAAGGUAUCCAAUAUACGUGCAUGAUAAAGUAGGCAAUCAUAAAAGAGGAGAAAGGGAAGAAGUCUGUAAUGUCCCUAGGGUUUAGUGAUGGAAUGACUAUAGUAUUAGCGACUAAUCGACACAUCUGUAGAGUGUUGGGACGAGUCGGAGUCGUUUUAGCACGAAAUGAAUGAGAAAACGGACUCGACACACUCAAAUAAAGCAAAAACUGAAAUUCUGGCAGUUUAGGGCGCCCAUAAAUGGUUUAGGGCCCUCAGAUCUUGAGUGCUGUUUUGUAUUAGAUGCUGAAGUCAUUUCGGACCAUGUUUAGGGCGCUCGAAAGUUGGGCCCGAAAGUUCACUUCAUGAAUAUCGAUCCUUUUGUCACGUGGGUGUGGUAGGUGAGAUCCGCCCGACCAUUUUAGGGCACGCCAGACCGCCAGACGGAGAACCCGAGGACUGAGUUGUGUAGGCUGAAAGUUCUGGGCGCCCAAAACUGGGUUUAGGGAGCCCGAAUGUUGGAUUUCCUACAGCAGUACGGGUUAGCACAGGUUUUGAGGCUUAUUGCACCUAACCCCUACUUCUAUAAAUGGAUUCGGACGACCCCCAUGAACCCUUUUCCCCUCUGUUUCACAGGAAACCCUGAAUUUUUGCAAUUAACCCCCUCCAAUCUCUAUCAACUCCACUUUUGGACCUUGGAAGCUUAUAAUUCUACAGAAAUCCAGCAGCGAUCUUUGGAGUUUUGGCUCGUGUGCAGUCUAGGAGCAUUCGAAUUCUGUGAAACUUGAUUUGGAGAAUUGUGGACUCGUGGGAGAGUGUGUGGAGCCAAUUUAACAGCAGGUAAUUGAGGCUAGUAUGAUCAAAUUGUUGUUUUAUUUGGAUAUUGGUGUUCUUGAGCUGAAGGUUUUCUUAGUGUUUACGGAUCUGUAUACCUUGGGAGCUGGAUUUUUGAUUCCAUCAUCCUCUACUGGUUUAGAAGCUUUUUCUAUCUGAAUUCGAGAUUUGAGAGGUGAGUUUUAAUUCAGAUUUGGAUAAUUAAGCUUAUAUAUGCUGAUUUUUUAGGUUUUAAUACAAAAUCUUGGAUUUUUGAAUCUAGAUUUUGAUGGAGUGCCUAUUGCUGGUUAUGGAGUGAUCCUCUACUUAUUCAUAGAGGCUUUAGACGCUUCUCAACAGGAAUUCAAAGUGGAAAUUCGUAGCUUUGAGCUGAGUUGCAUUUUUUCUUAAGUGCUGAAGUUUUGGAUGUAGGUUCUGGGCAUCCAGAAAUUGGGUCCUGUUAGGGAUUUUGUAUUGAAAAUUUUCGUGAUUUGAGUCGGAGUCUUGAAGGGUUCAAUUAGUGUUGUUGAAGAUCGAAGAAUUCGAAAUUCUGAAAAACUCGAAAACAUCUCACUAGAUGAAUCACGAUGCUCAAGUAAACUUUUAAAUGUCUUUAUGGUGAUUCAUAUCUAUUUAUGACGCUAGAAUCAUUUAAACCAAUGAUACAUGGAUUAGAAGUAGGUUUUGAAACUUUUAAAUUAAAUAUAACAAUAUUUUAUAUUGAGUACCGGCAACAGUUUCCAGUUCCUCAAAAUCGUACUGAAAAAAUUGAGUUUUUAUAUUGUGUACCGGUACCCACAUUUGGUACCUCAAAACCUGAGCGAAAUAAUACUGGAUUUGUAUUGUGUACCGGUACCAAGACCGAGUACCGGUAUUGCAUCGACCGAGUGCCGGUACUGCAUUAGCCGUGUACCGGUACUAAGCCUCAGAAAAUUUCUGUUUCAUCAUGGUGUACCGGUACCAACUCCCGAGUACCGGUACUCAAUGUAAUAUUUCCUAAUUAAACUUCUAAUCCUACUCUACCGUUCACCACCCCGAUGGAACCAAAAUGUAUAAGGAUUUGAAGGCACACUUUUGGUGGAAUGGAAUGAAGAGAGACAUUGGUAGAUUUGUGACUCAGUGUCUGACUUGCCAACAGGUGAAAGUAGAGCAUCAGGUGCCUGCUGGCAAGCUUCAGAAUCUGCCAGUGCCUGAGUAGAAAUGGGAGCAGAUCACAAUGGAUUUUGUCUUGGGAUUACCGAUAGCAUAGGGUGGUUUUGAUGCUAUUUGGGUGAUAGUGGUCAGACUGACUAAGUCUAGUCACUUCCAACCAGUACAAAUAACCUGGUCCAGGGAGAGACUCACUCAGUUAUACUUGGAUGAGAUCGUCAGAUUGCAUGGUGUGCCUACCUGGAUAGUAUCGGAUCGAGGUCUGAGGUUUGUCUCGCAUUUCUGGAGGAGUUUUCAGAUGGCCUUGGGUACAUAGCUACAUUUUAGCAUAGCAUUUCACCCACAGACAGAUGCUCAGUCUGAGCAGACCAUUCAGACUCUGGAGGACAUGUUGAAAGCAUGUGUCCUGCACUUUGGAGGAGAGUGGCAUCGACAUUUGAGACUGGUUCAGUUUGCAUAUAACAACAGCUAUCAAGCGAACAUUCAGAUGGCUCCGUUUGAAGCGUUGUAUGGACGCAGGUGCCGAUCAUCUUUGUAUUGGAGUGAUGUGGGUGAAAGGAAGACUCUGGGGCCUGAGAUUCUGAUAGAGGUAGAGGAACAGGUUAAGGUUGUGCGACGACAUAUUUUGACAGCCCAGAGUCGACAGAGGAACUACGCCGAUACCAGGAGACAAGACUUAGAGUUCCAGGUUGGAGAUCAUGUGUUUUUGAAAGUCUCGCUGUCCCGAGGGAUACACAGAUUCGGAGUACGUGGAAAGUUUAGUCCCCGAUUCGUAAGCCCUUUUGAGGUUUUGGAGCGAGUUGGACCAGUAGCAUACAGGAUUGCUCUACCCCCACGACAGACCGAUGUGCAUGAUAUAUUUCACGUCUCGGCGUUGCGGAGAUACGUUUUUGACCCCUUACACGUGAUCAACUUCACUCCACUGGAGCUUAGCGAGGACUUGAGAUAUGAGGAGCGACCGGUGCGGAUUCUUGCUCGUGCAACAAAGGAAUUGCGCAAUCGGGUCAUACCUUAUGUAAAAAUGCAGUGGAGUCAUCAUGAGGAGCAUAAGGCGACAUAGGAGGCGGAGACUGUGAUGCAGGAGUCCUACCCUUACUUGUUUGAGGCUCAGGAUUGAGGUAUGUGUUAAGUUUCGAGAACGAAACUUUUUAUAGUGGGGGAGGAUGUAGUAUCCCUGGUAUUUUGAUUGCCUGUGAGGUUUCAGCAUCUUAGGCUGUCGACAUAUCUGGAGAGUGUCGGGACAAGUAGGAGUCGUUUUGGCGCGAAAUGGAUGCAAAAUGGACUCGACGCGAGACGAGAGUAGAGUUCUGACGCUGAAAUCCGCAAAGUACAGGAUUUCAGUGUUGAGUACCGAUACCAUACAGGGGAGUACCGGUACCCCAAUGUAAUUCCAGAACAGCAUGCUCUCAGGUUGCGCUAAUUUGAUGCUGAGUACCUGUACGGCAUCGGACUGGUACCGGUACCCUGUUUGCGAGCUUACUCGCUGAGAGGCCAAGUACCGGUAACCAAAUCGGGUACCGGUACUCCAGCUGGAUUUUUGAGUAGGUAAAGGGCAUUAUGGUCCAGUGAGUUGUCGAUACCUUCAACCUUAUCCCCAGCCUUAUAUACUUGCAGAGAGCUUUGAGAAGAGGUUUUGGUUACUGCUCUCUCUCUUUCUCUCUCUAGUUUUUGAUCGUGCUCGUGGUGGAGAUUGUGGCUCAAGUUCGGGAGAUUGUCGACGUUGGUUCGGAGGGCCGUUCGAGUGUGCGUGCAUCGUUGGAGGGCUGGCGAGCGCGUGGUUUCCUCUCCUUUCGACAUCUCGCCGUUGUUGGAUUAGCAUUUCGAUGUGGGUUGAAGUUUACCGAAAUCGUCAGAUUUCCUUCUAAGUUCUAUCAACGUCAACAUGUGUUUAUUGGUUUAUCCUGCUCGUACUCGAAUUCAUGAAAGUUAUAGAUUAUGCUAUAGAAUCUGAAUUUGGAGUUAAGCUAGUAAUUUUGUUUUACACCUGUUGGACUUGGAUUUGACUUAAGAGAAAACAUAUAGAUCCUACACUGUCAUUUUCUGAAAAUUACCAGAUUUAUCUUUAGGAGCUGUAGUUCUUUUGUAUCGUUGCUGUGAGUAUGUAAUGGAUACCCAGAUUAGUGUAGAAUGAGUUUACGCUCGUGCUGGGAUGCCGAGCUUAUUUUAUAGUAGUGUGUAAACUGUUUCGUACUGUUGGGUGCCGUCGCGGUUGACGGUGGACUCACAUUGCUGUUUUUGCAUCGGAUUGUGCCAAAGGCACGUGACUUUGAUGGUAGUACCAGUUAGACCCAUUUGCUUUGAUUAUAGCCUGUGUGAGCCUGAUUGAGCUCGACAGAGACAUGCUUGCAUACUCUGUUGGAUAGCGCCCGCGUGUGCCACUCCGGAGUCGGGCUCAGUGCUUUUGCAUUGAUGUCAUAGUGUCCUGGUUGGACUUUCUCUCCACCGACAACCCAACAUGGUGGUGGUUGGUGUAGCUUCGAUAGGCGGGACGGGUGUGUUCACAGUCCCUACUGAGAUUGUGUCACGCCCCGGGGUCCCCUUUUAGUUUGAAACAUAGCGGAAAAGCGUUUAAAUUUUUUCUUUUUUUUAAAAAAAAACCUGACCCCAGAGUAUGCCAGAUCCGCCACAAAUAUAGGGAAUCCACUGUUCACACGGACAGAGUCUCCCCUGUAUUUGCACGGCGUCGCACAAGUACAAAAGUACAAACAGUAUACAACCACAACUAAAUGAAUAUACAGAUAGCUAUACAUUCAUANAUUUUAGCUCAUUUUCGCCCGAAACUUGACGAGUGCUUAUGUAAUUAAAUUACACACAUAAACAUCAUCAACAGAGAGUUUAGUAGCACUGUCAAAAAUCUCAGUCCUUACAGAUUGGGUCAGAAAGUGCAUUUCUUUAUCUACGGACAGUUGUAGCGAUAGUAUAGUGGCAUAUAGCUGUAGAGUUUUAUCAGCAUCCUUUACUAUUCUUGUACAUACUUUCUGUAAACUUAGUGGAUGAGCCGUUGAGAUUGGUAGCGGUACCCAUUGAGGACUACUUUUUUUUGCAGUAGUUCUGACACCCAGUUGUUGAGCCCUUUUUCGAGAGCCUUCGUUUGCGGUUGCUGCUGUUGCUGAGUCUGAUUGUGUAAAGGGAGUUGCGAGCUAGAUCCUUUCCAGUCUUGUUGCAGUGUUAGAGGAGUACCUCCCACAGGUAGUUUGGGGUAUUUAUAUACAUAUGGUUGUUGUCUGGGUACUCGCUGGGGCGAGUGGUGUUGUAGACAUUUUGUAUGUACUGGAACCCCUCGAGAUUUUAUAUAUAUACUAUUUUUCAAUUUAGCAGCUCUUUACCUUAUGGUUGUAGCUUGGUUUUGUUUACAGAUACAGCUAUCGCUUCGUAUAUAGAAAAAAUUCCUAUAUAUACGGCGGGUCUGUUGGCAUGUCCGGAAAAACAUGUAAUUCGGGGCAUGACAUUUUCGAUCAUAUUUUGGAGUUGUAGAAGUCGUACAUAGCAUUUUAACAUGUGCUGGAUCCGAUCCCUACAAUCAUUAUUAGAAUAUAAAAAAGAUAAUCAAUUUUUUGGGGCUAAAUAUACUGCAAAUUAACUCUUUGUAAAUACUCGUUUAUUUUUUUUACUUUACUCGAUCCGCUAACUUUCAAAAAAGUAACAUUUUGUCCCAUCAAAAUUUCGAGUUGAUGCAUUUAACCUCCGUUUGAGUUCCGUCACUAUUUUAUCCAUUUUUUAUAAUUUAUAACAGAAAUAUUCUUAAAAAUACCAGAAAUAUAUUAAAAAUACUAUUUGUUUACUUAAGAGCAAGUAAGGGCAAUUUAGUUAUUUCAUUCUCUCCAUUAAUGCCCUCUGAAAAUAUUUUUGAAAUUUUAAGAAGGCAUUAAUAUAGUGAGGAAAAAAAGUAAAAAAUCGGAUAUUUACCUGAGAAUUUUUUGUAUUUUAACAUAUAAUCUAGAUAUAAUAUUUUUUGUUAAGCUCUCUAUAUUAUGUAGAGAAUUCAACUGUAUUUAAGCUUAUCAAUAUAAUUUAUUAGUAGUCAAAUUCCCUCCUAAUGGAAUAUUGCUUUAUGUUAUAAAUAUAAUUUGUAUACUAUAUAUAGAUAUAGUUUNUCUAAUAUAUUUUUUAUAUUGUUAAAUCAAUAUGGUUAUAUUUUUUUAUUUCUUCUUUACGUUUAUAUGUAUUUAUUAAAAUAUUUUUACCCGCCGCAUCGCGCGGGUCACUACACUAGUUCUUAUUAAAAUUACAAAUAGUAAAAGUCAAUUGGUACACAUAUUAAACUGUUGGCCUCUUUAUAUUGAUAUUUUGUAUUAUUGGAAACAAAUUGAAAUUCACUAAAACUUCCAUGAUUAAAAUUAAAAUUGUCUAUUAUAGAAAUGAAACUUAUAUUUAUCAAAUAUAGCAAUUUGGAACCAUCAAAUUAUUCGAGAAAUGAUUCGAUGCUUUGUUUUAUAAAAAAUAAAAAAAGAUAUUAACCGUGGAUUAAUGAAGGUUAAAAAUAUCACUUCAUUAUGUACCAGGUUAAAAGGUUAUUUCAUCUGAGGGCAUUUGUGUAAUUAAAUUAGGCAAAAUUUUAAGAAAGUUUUGAUUAAUAUCCCAAAUUUAGCAUUAAUGCAACUAAUUUAAGCAUUAAUUUAAGAUUUGAUUGAUAUCCCAAAUUUUAGUCAUUAAUUUUAGGAAUUCUAGAAUUCUUCUAAUUUAAGCAUUAAUUUAAAUUUUAGGAAUUUUAGAAAUAAUAAUAAAUAUGUUGAAUUUAAAUAUUUAAUAUUUAAAUUUAAAUUUAAAUAAGAGAAAUUUUGUGUUACUAUUUUAACAAAUUUAAUAUUGAUAAUAACGAAUUCAACAUAUUUAAUUUGUUUAAGAAACUUUUAAAUUCCUCUAGUUUAGAUAUUAAUUUUUUAUCACAAACUUUAAAAAAAUUUGAAUAUAGGUAAAAAAAAUUUAAAUAUAAUGUAUUUAAUAUGUUGUAAUAUUUUUUAAUGAAAUAUCUGUGGAUUACAGAUAUGAAAUGACAAAAUAUAUGUGGAUUACGGAUGUCAAUGGGUACGGAUACCUAUAAUUUUAUCUGAAUUCGAAUCUAAAUCUGAAAGCAAACGCAGUAGAUUUACCUAUACUAAAUAGAUAUAAUUUUGGAUAUGAAUAUCAAAAAUGAAAAUCCGACGAAUUUAAAUUUGGGUAUGGAUUUUGAUGGUAUCUGAUCCGAACCCGAAACCGAUAGAAACCCGAAUUUAUUUUAUGUUAUAUAUAAUAUAUAUAAAUGUUUGAUAUUAUAUUUGAAUAUGUAUUUUAAACAUUUAGAUUUAAUUUAAUAUAUUUUAAAAUAUUGCAAAGAGAAAUAAAUAUUUUGGGUUCGAAUUUCAAGUUCAGAUUAAGGUUCCAGUUUUGGAUUUUUAGUCAGGACAGCUGUGGAUAUGAUUUUUUAAAAUUCGUCGAAUUUGGGUUCGGAUUUGAUAGUCCGGCUCGGGUUUGGAUUUUAAAAAUCUGUCCCGAAUCCUACCCUGUUAUAUUUCUACGGUAGAUGAAGAGGAAAGAUGGAGAGAGAAAAAAGAAAACAAAGAUUGAAUAGAAAUUUGAUUUUUUAUAGUGGAAUUAGGCGAGAAUACUUUCUAUAGCACCAAGCAAUUGGUGCUAUUAGUUUUCUACCCCUCGGAUUGAGAAAUAUGUGAUUAGAAUGAUAUGGGCCCCCUAGAGUUGAGUGAGUGGUUGGUUGAACAGUAUAAUUUAACGGAUAAAAAUAAUUAAAAGAUUAAAUCUAAUGGUGGAAAUUAAACUAAAUAGCAUAAAAUCUUUGGUGCUAUCGAUAGUAUCUCAGUCGAACUCUUUUAUAGUGAAAGUAAAAUUACUAAAUUACCCAUGUAUUAAAAGACCAAAUUUUUUUUUUUGAGUACCUGGUAACUAGUACCUUUCUCAAAGUGACCUGUUAUUAUAGUUUACAAUUUUAAAAAAAUUAAAUCUGAGCCGUGAAAUAUAAAUGAAUGAACCGUAUCGAAAAAUAACAAGUGUAGAAGCAUUACGUCAUCUUUGGUGACAUAAUGGAAAUCAAUAUUUUUAGAUAAAUCAUUUGGCCUAUUAUGGAUACAAACUAAUUAAGUUCAUGAUUUUGUUAUGUUAAAAUAAAGAUUUUAAUCAUAUUUAGAGUUGCAAUUAAUUCAUUUGAUUGUCUCUAGAAUAUUCUUAAUCUUAUUAUUACAUUUGUGAACUCUAUUAAUGUUCUUCCUAAACACAAUUAAGUCUUAAUAGCUAUAUUAAAUUAAUAAACUAUUAAAGGUAUAACUAGUUAUCUUAGAAAUAAUAACAAUAUCUUUUAAAAAUAGCAAUUUUGAAUAAAGCUCAAAAUACACUGCAUCAUCUUGGGUGGUGUCGUAGAAAAUAGUUAUAACAUCAUCACCUCAUAUGGAAAAAAACUAAUAUUCAUCUAAACAUUAAAUAUCAAAUUAUAAUUUUUACAACUAAUCAUCCACAUUUAUAUUUUGCCAUUUUAAAUAGACUAAUAUUAAGCUAAAUAGUCAAAAAAAAAAAAAAAGCAAUAAAAUCACACUUUGGCAAUAUAAAAGAACGUUUCGUUUACUAAGCGACUGUUUAAUUCCUCCGAAAAUAUAGAAAAAAGAUUUUCAUGAAAAUAUUUUGUUUCAAUUUUCCGCCGAUUUAAUUCUUAAAAAAACUAGUUUUUAUGAAAUUUUUCUUUUUCAGAUUUUGUGAAAGAUAAUAUUUUUAUUUCAAAAAAAUUGAAAAUUGAAAAAUUCUAGUUCUAUGAAUUUAAAAAAUAAAAAAUAAAAAAUGCUACUUUUUUUUGUUGAAAACAAACGAAAUUCUUUUCUCGAAAAUUUUUUUCAUAUUUUUUCGAAGAACAAAAUAACUUCUGAAAUUCGCAAAAAAAUUGUUAACGCUUGAAUAAAAGAAGUAAGAUGUACAUCGCAUGAAUAACUGUAGUAUUUGAAAAGAAUAAUUUUAAACAAUAGAUAACCUUAUUUCCUUAAAUAUUUUUUAAAUAAUAAAUAUUUUUUAUUUUUUAUUGAAUGUAAUCUCACCAUCAUAUAAAUAAAAUUAUAAAAUUUUGCAACACACUUAUAAACCAUAUAGAAUCAAAUAAAUUAUUUAUAGUUAUAAUAUUUUCUGCUUUACUCAUUGAAACAAUAUAUAUAUAUAUAUAUAGAGAGAGAGAGAGAGAGAGAGAGAGAGAGAGAGAGAGAGAGAGAGAGAGAGAGAGAGCUAGAGUCUGGCUACAAUACUUUUAAAAGCACCAAGUAUUUGGUACUUUAAAAUUUUUACAGUUAAAUCUAUUCCUUUGACCAAUUACACCCUUAGAUCAUGUUAUAUCACCAACUACGCACUCAACUCUAGAAAAUAAUCAUUAUCACCUUAACCCAACAAAUCAUCAUUCAAAGACCAAAAAUCCAUAAACACAAAAUACUUGAUACUUUUAAAAGUAUAAGACUUAGUUAUAUAUAUAUAUAUAUAUAGAGAGAGAGAGAGAGAGAGAGAGAGAGAGAGAGAGAGAGAAAUUUUCUAAUCAAAAUUUAAUUGAUUUAUAUAGCUUUACACCGUUAAACGAUAAAACGUCUCAUAUCUACCAUUAAAAUUAUAAAUUAUAAAUUUUAAAACCCUUUGAUCAUCAGGUCAAUGAUGUCGAAAAGAUUUGAAAUUUGGUUUCUAAAUAGUUCAUGUGGUAUAAAUUAUGUUCAACUCAGCUCGCACUCUCUCUCUCUCUCUCUCUCUCUCUCUCUCUCUCUCUCUCUCUCUCUCUCUCUCUCUCUCUAUAUAUAUAUAUAUAUAGAGAGAGAGAGAGAGAGAGAGAGAGAGAGCUAGUCUCCUAUACUAUAUUAUCAUAACCACCCGUUGGUUGCUCCAGUACUAUAUCUCGUUUUCGAUCAUAGGGUAUCAAAUUAACGAUCCCAGCGUUAAAACUGAUCUAAGGGUAUUUAAAGUUUUAGAAAUAAAAUUUUAUAUUUUUCGACAUAAGUUUUUUUAUGAUCAAACCAUUUCAAAAAAUGUAAUUUUCAAUGGCUAACAUGUGAGUUUGGAGUUUAACAGUGUAAGGAAGAAUGAAAAAUUUCUCAAAUUUGAUAAGAAAAAUAACUUUAAACUAUCUAAAUUAAGUAACAAUUCUUGAUCUGAUUGUGAAUUUUAUAGGUCCUAUGCUCAAAUUUUAAAUAUUAUUCAUCAAUGUCCAACUCUCAUUUUGACAUAAUUGGUAAUUUACAUAAGUAAACGAAUGGUCGAAAAAACUAAAAUUUUAUUUCUAAGAACUUCCAUAUACCUCGUCAUAUUAACCGGUGUGAUUGUUAAUUUGAAUACCGCAAGAUCGAAAACAAGAGUAACUACCUUCACGGAGCCUCCGGUACUAUAGAAAUUAGAGUUGCCUAAUUGAUAUAUAUAUAUAUAAAAAUAGUAUAUAUAUAUUAUAGAAGAGAGAGAGAGAGAGAGGAGAGAAGAGAGAGAUGAGAGAGAUGAGAGAGAGGAGAGAGAGAGAGAGAGAGGGUCAGGACUGUUGUGCUCUCAGGAGCCGGGAGGCUCCGUGCUUCCUGAGCCGCGUUUACGAUGGAUGAAUUUCGGAAUCAACGGGAAUUGGGGGACUUCUGUUUUGACUUGAUCUAGCGUAUUUGAAAUUCUAGAAAAUAAUUUUUGGCAAUUUUUUCCGAUAUCAUUACCUAAGCAACGAAAGAUUCAAAAUCAAUAAAUUUUUACGCUGAAAUAAAAACCUAAAAAAAGUGGAGUAUAUAGUACUAAAAAUUUCGAUCAAAAUAUUGAUCUUGUUGUAGAUAGUAUAAGAAUUUGUAUCAACAUUUUAUUCUGAUUUGAAUUACUUCAUAUACCGUAAACUUGAAAACGGUAGAUAGGUCAUACGAUUAAAAAUUAUGUGAUGUUUGAAUCCCUUUCGAUAACUACGGUAAUGAUAUCAAAAAAUGCAAAAAUAGUUUCUACAAAAAAAAAAAAAAAACUCAACAUACCCUAAUCAAGUCUAACCGGAGCCGAGCGUUGAUGGAAAAUUUCACCAUCGAAAACGACUCAGGAGCACCAGAAGGCCUCCGUGCUGCUGAAGCACAGCAGCCUAUAUAAUAUAUAUAAUACUAUUAAAUAAUAAGUAUAUAAUAAUAUGAUAUAUAAUAUAUGUAUAUAAUAAUAUGAAUUAGAUAUGUAUAGUACCCUAAUGUAUAUAACUUAUAUACAUGUAGAUGUAUAUAUACCUCUAUAUUAUAAUGUAUAAUUAUACCUCAUAAUAUAUAUAUAUAAUAAUCAUAAUAUAUAUAUAUAUAUAUAUAUAUACAGUAUAUACAUAUAUAAUAUAUAUACAUAUAUACAUAUAAUAUAUAUAUACAUAAUAAUCAUAUUAUAUAUAUAUACAUAUACAAUAUAUAUAUAUAUAUAUGAAUCAGUAUAUAUAUAUAUAUAUAUAUAUAUAUAUGAGUAGCUGUAACUCUCGGUAGCACGAAAGGAACGCUCCGUGCUUUACCAAGUGUUUUGUUUUCGAUGAUGCGGCUUCCAAAUCGACGAUCGACUCCGUUAGAUUUGAUCUACACUAUUAAAAGUAUUUGGAAACUAAAUUUCAUAAUUUUUCGGUAUCAUUUACAUAUCAAACGAAUAGUCUAAAAAUGAACGGCUGAAAAUAAAAAUCUCAUAAAAAAUAAUGAUAGAAGACUUGAAUUUAAGAUCAGAGGUACUUACCUUACUCUAAAUAGUAAAAAAAAUUUUCUAUAAAAAUUUCAUCUGAUUUGGAUUGUUUUACACCGUGAAAUUCACAAACGCAUCACAUCUACCAUUAAAAUUGUUAAUUUUGAGACCUUUUGAUCACUAACCAAAUAAUGUCGAAAAAUUAUGAAAUUUAGUUUCCAAAUACUUUUAAUAGUGUAUAUCAAGUCUAACGGAGCCGAUCAUCGAUUUGGAAGCCGCAUCAUCGAAACAACUUGGUAGCACAGAGGCCUCCGUGCUACCAAUAGUAUACCAGCCUAGCUCUAUAUAUAUAUAUAUAUAUAUAUAGUAGAGCUACUAUUAUAACUCAGUGGGGACCACUUAACCUUAGGGGGGACCACUCAACCCUAAAGGACUAAUAUCAUCUUAAUCCUACAAUUUUUCAUCCAAUGGCUAAAAACUUGAUAACGAAAAAGAUCUUUUGCUAUCAAUAGUAUUCUACUCUAGCAUAUAGAGAGAAAGUCUGGCUACUAUACUAUUAAUAGCGCCAAACUAUCACGCCCCGGAUUACUAAUUUUUCCGGGCUCGCUAACAGAGCCGCCGUAUGCAUAGGUAUUUCUCCUAUAUAUGAAGCGAAAAAGUAGAAUUACCUGUAAUCAUACAAUACUACAAACAGUAGUAUAGAGCAGCUAGGAAAAUAAACCAACUAUAUAUAAACUGUGGUUCAAUACAUACAUGUCAUCCAAGGUAUACAAAUACUCGCUCUGGUGAGAAAGAACAACUGUAUGUAAAUACCCAAAAACUACAAUUACAUAUAGCUGGUGCUCCUCUAGCUCUGCGACUCGACUGGAAGGGCUCUAACUCGCGACGCCCUUACUACGAUCAAGAUCAGCAACAACAGCAGGCGAAGGCGACGGCUCUGCAAAACAGUGGUAACAACUAGGCGUGAGAACUACUACAAAAAGUAGUCCUCAGUGGUGGGUACCGCCCUCAAACUCAUCGGUCCAUCCAUUAAGUCUACAGGGAUAAGCAGGAAUAGUAAAGAAAGCUGGAACAAAUCUACAGCUAAAUAUACGCUAUAACUAUCAUGAUCUAACCUAACCCUCUGUUAGAACAACUGUCAACUCAGCAUCCAUCUCAAAAUAAGGACUGUAAUCAUAUGGGGUCACGCCCCGACGUCCUCUUGUCGGAUUCGGGCACGGGCCAAAGACCGCCCGAGCACGGACAGGGUUUAAUCUCGUGGUACGCGGCACAGAGUCCCCUGACGUUCAACGGCGUCGCAAAUCGAUACAAUGUCGGAACAGUUCGCAACCCAAGGAACACUUUUCAACAAACGUUUUUGCAUAAGGAAGUAUUCAAAACAUAAAUCUACUUUGCUUUACAUUCCAUCAUCUCACUAUUUACAUUUACAUUCUUAGAUUCUAUCACAUUUCAUUUCCUUUGAUUUUCUUAUGUCCGAUACAAUUCAAAUUAUACAAAUUUAUUAAAGUUGAACUCUUGGUUCUUUCAUUUUCAUAUUCCCUAAUGUAGCCGGACUCAGUUUGCUAUCUGCCUGCGCCGAAUAGGGGUCCGCUUACACUAAACGGAAGCCUACGCCCCUUUCCUCGCCGCCGCGCCAGAGCCGUUAUACGUGUGGCUACCUUUUAAUACCCCGACAAAAAGAUGAUGAAGAAUGUGUUUUAGCAGACACCUAACGUCGAACAAUAUGUUUACAACCCUAGUGUGACAUGUGAUAAUCGUGGCCACCGCAAAGGGCAGAGCUCGAGAUGACAUCAGCGUCCAAAGGCAGGCAAACAAAUAUUAGUUCAAUAGAUAGAGUCUAAAUCAUAAAUCAUUUUAACUAACAUUACCAUGCUUUUGCCUCACAAAUGCAUCAUGUACAUUAUGCCAUUAUAUAAGUGAUUACAUUGUUUCAACAUUAUUAUUACCCAUUCUUACUUUUACUUAUUCUUUACUUUACUAGCUAUUAUUUAGAUUAACCUUUUAUUCUUUAUUACCUGUCUUUCUUUUAGCAUUACCCUUCCUUAUCUUGCACUUUAUUCUUAUUCUUUACGCCUUUACUAAGUGGUACUACACUGUAGUAAUAUUCUUUCUUUGCCUAAGCGUUACUUUUACUUUAGCAACUUUGCCAUCGACUCGGUCUUGAGCCAAUAACGCGGAGUAGUUCGGCGCUCUGUCCGUAUGGAGGCUGAAGGCGGAAAAAACUUACAUACACCUCAGCCUUUCAAUCGACAAACCACAUCGCCACGGGUUCGCCCAGAGCUGCGGUACACCCGUGGCAAGGGAUCCCGGUGGCUAGAGGACACGCCGCGUCACACUCCGCCCAGACCCGAAAUCAGCCGAUAGGGUGGCAGCAACAAGGAAUACAUGCACCAUGCACCCUAUGCCGCUCACUGUCUCUUGCAACGAUUAAAGCACUCGCAGUUCUUAAUCCUGCGUGGGAUGACAGACAUUGCCACAAUUGCACCCGCGGCUAGAUGAACUAAUAUCCGAGUUUGAGUAUGUAUUGCUACAGCAGCAACUAGACCAAGGAGUUGCACUAGCGAGCAUGGCAGACUCUCGGUUAAUCCAAUUAUGAUUUUACUUCGAGGUGGUUAGUCUCAUACCAGUUUUUGUUUCGUAGCCUAUAAUCUUAGCGCUCUCUAACCUUAUCUCAACCUAAGUUAAUACAUAUAGAGAUCAAUUCAUUUACAUUCUCACUAUCACUGUCUCUAUUUUUGGUUCCAUUGACAACUUAGAGUCCAAUUACUUCUCUUCAAAAUCAGCUAGGUUCAAUUGUCGACUCUAGGUUCCUAUCAUUACGUUCAAACCUAGGAUAUCUAUAUUUGACUCUUUAGGUUCAUGUUAUUUCUUUUUUCUCGAAUUUCUUACCUACGCAUGUGGUCGUUCUAUAUUCGAUAUCAUAAUCUUGCACAUGCCACUCGUGAAUACCUAUGUUCAAUGACGACUAAGACGUGCUUCAAUGCACUCAAUCCUCAUCCUUAUGUAUAUUUACUAUCUUUAGGUAUUACAAUUACAUUAAGUGACACUUAUAGUGUGUCGGCAUUUCUUCUUUACUUAGAGUAUAUACUCAAGUUAACCUUCAUUAUCAUUUCUAACAUAUUUCGUGCUUCAUUUAAUUAUGACCUCAUGCAAUUAUUAAUAGCGAAUACAUCUAGCACUACAGUCUAUGUUUUAUAUCAACAUACAUUUCAUACAUGCCUUAUAAAUAUAUACCUUCAAUCGCUUAUACUCAGCAUUCUAUAAGUAUGUCAAUGUAUUCUUUACUUAGCAUUCUUCAUCAUGUCAUUCUUACUUGGGGCAAUUCUUAUCAUUGCAUUCUUAUUAGCAUUCAUUACAUUAUGUCUGAAUAUCACAUUCUAUAUUGCUUUCCAUUCAUGCAUAGCCAUUUCUAAAACAUGCUCUAGCUAUGAUUACUUACUUUAACUCGACAUUUAUCUAAUCAUAUGCUACAUAUUCACUUAGAUUUAGUUCUUGCAUUCAUUAGCAUACCACUGGAUACAUUUCCUUAGCAUCUUUAUUCAUGGCAUUAUAUCAUUGAUUGCAUCAUUAUGGUGAUUCUUCUUAAAUUCUUAGUCUUGCUUCAUAGUGCGAACACACUAACUACUUGGCGUGAAGGCGAUCCUAGUCGGCUUGGGUAAACACAAUCCACCUCUUAAACGCGUUCCGGUGUGUGUGUGUCGUCACUUGUGCAGACGCCGGCUCCCGCGAUGCCUGCACCGUGACACGUUUUGCCCGAACUCUCGACUGCGCCGCAACACCUGCACAAGGCACAAUCGCGAUUCGGUUCUGUUCGGGAGUUUAUUCCCGACACCACGAUACUCCCGAAUCAUUUUCAUGAAUUUUUGGAGCUUAUCGCCGCCCGUGCUGCGGCUAUCUUACCCAAAACAGACUGUUUUUGCUCAAUAAUUCGCGUACACUCGUCGGCCAUUGUCGAACGGAGCGCCCAAUGCGUUGUUUAUACGCCCAAUUAGGUUGUAUAUAGGCUCAAUGAGAUCAAACUCAACUAUUUACAAAAACCCCUUUUGGAGCCCUUGAUGCUACUUCUAGUAAAAUCCUCCAUUUCGUAUCUCAUGAAUCAAGCAUGUUCAUCUACUUAGCUCAUGCUUAGGAUUCUAUUAAAAUCAUCUUUAGAGUAUACGAAUUACUAAAGAUCUACGCAUAAAAGCUUCAAGGAAUGCUUACCUCUUAGGUUGGCUUCCAAGGUGAAGAAGAAGAUGAUGAGGGAAGCUCUCCAUCUUGCUUCACCUUCUUUUUCCUUUUUCUUUCUUCUUCUUUCUUCAUCCUUUCAGUGUUUCUUACGAGACGAGAGAGAGGAGGUUUGGUGGUGAUUACGGUGACGAGAGAGCGCGAAAGAGAGAGUUCGUAAUCCUCUCUUCACUCAUAACCUUAUUGCCAUCAAAAUGCCAUAUAGUCUCUCAACAAUGCCCUUCUCCCGCAACAGGCCCGAGACUGGGCCAUUUUCGGGGUUCGGGAUCGUACGCUACCCUCGAUGAGAGACCGUCCCUAUCGAGAGACCUGUCUCUUGACUGAGAGACCUGUUCCGAAAGUGUCCAGAAAUCAGCCUUCUAAGUCUUAAGCCAAAUUUUGAGACUUUUUCACCAUUUUUUCGCUCCGUUUUCACUCGUUUUCGUCGUUUGACAUCCGAUUCAUUUCAAAUCGAACCGAGACUCUCCAAACAUGUUUUCAAGCAUUUUUCAUACUAUUCUUUUCAUCCACGCUAAUGCUCGCGAUUAGUCCAUGGUCAACAUAGCCUUUCGGGUGCCCGUUUUCGGGCGCCCUUAUGCCGCGCGGAAACAGUCACUUUCCGGAUUCAAGCUCUUAGUUCCGAACUUGGCUCGGAAUGAUGGUCCAUUCCUUUCUAAGUAAAUACAUCGUGAAAGUUCAUGACAUUGAUAAGUUACUUACUAUUAAGAAUUUCGUCACCUCUAAAAAGAGUUCGUCCCUCCCGCCCGCGAAACUAAGAACGUAACACCUUCAUUCAGCUCGGAGGCAAUUGAGGGCACUUAACUUGUCACCUUUCUUUACUUCGGAAGGGCGCUUUUGACACUUCUUUGGAACUAUCAAGAGGACUACUACGGAGCUCAUGAACGCAAACGCAUCAACUUUGCAAGGCCAUCUCAAAAAGUGCAUUACGGUCUCCGCUCACUCUAGGUGGUAGCGCAAGUCGAAACUCGUACGCUCCCUCACUUAGCGCUACAGAGAAUCCCACCACAUCUUUGUCCAUCGGCCACAAAGACGUCUUCUUCGUGGGCACAUGCAUUACUCCCCAAUUCUAGGAAUGGCGUUCCAAAUCAAAUCUAUCAGACAUUGCUAAAAGCAAUAUCACCAGUAUGCAUCGGUUUUAAUACUGUAUUGCUACUAAUUCCCGGACUACUUUGUAUGCUCUAAAGCUUGAGAUGGACCACUUCAGGUAGCCAUAUAACCCCAGCUUCCAUCUCAUUCCACGUGGGCGCUUGCACCAUAGCUCGGGUCUCUCCAGAAGCACUUCACCAUAAUGGAGUUUUCAGGAAGAAUACCACUAUUGGCCUUAUGAUAUGACCUAUCUACACGUUCAUAACCCUCAUUAGUUUUUGCCAAAAGGCUCACGAAGAUCACUUUAUGUUCUGAUGCCAUGAAUUCGAGUCAAACCUCUGUUGAUAAGGACUAUCGUGAAUACUUCGCCAUUCUCGUGUUAAUCAUUGGAUGGUCCAAAAGGCCAACGAAAUGACUUCAUUUAUUAGGCCUAAAGUAUCCCGUAAUACACCGGCUGUUCUAUAAUGUCCGAAGCGUAUAGCGCAUCUUCAUCCGCUCGCAUGAUGUCCGGGAUGAACCAAUCAUAACGAUUGAAGGUGUUCCAGUGCGAUAUUCUCGCACUUGGUAUAUUCGCACACACUCCAAUCCAGUGAAGCAACUAAAAUCCCAAACCGUAUCUAAUUCUCGUGUACGUUGGGUCACAAUCGUACUCUUAGAUCAUGUACCAUCAAUGCUAGUUACCGCUCUACGUCGAAAAUGAGCCACUCACUAUUGGGCUCCUAUGCACUAGUGCGAGCCACCAGGCGUGCCCACAGUGAUCCAUUGCGUCCGCGCUUCACACUUGGGACACACGCCCAAGUAGCUUAACUCAGACCAACAAACUCAUCGAGCGGACUCCACACUCAUUCUGUCACUCCCGCCCAGUACUGAUGAUAUGAGGUUGUACGCUACCUCUAGUAGGUGCUACAUAUAUAGCCUUGUGGUUGCUUGGGCUCUAUGCACCAGCGACGCAAUGCAACCGGUCUUCCCAGAGGCGCAGCGAAUCUCCUUCCGGGGACAUGGUGGUCCUCCUCCGCCCAAUGGAACCCGGUGCCGAGAGCUCUAUGUUUCUGCAGGAUGAGGGAUCUUAGCAAUCUUUCUCCUCCUUGCUGGGGCUCGCUCACAGCUCCAUGUGGUUCGCGUAACAAAUCUCUCCCGCUUCAGGGACCGCUGGAUCAGCUCCGAGAGCCCGCCAAGAAAUAGCAGUUGUUGCAAGAUUUUGAUUUUUUGGCUCCUCGAAACCUCCCACAAUUGCACUUUUAUCAUUCUAAGCCUGUCAGCUAUUUCCGAAGAUAGCAAUCCUCGCACUUCCGGUCAAAUCUGACUAAAGUUCGACAUUUACUUUACGAAUUCUCGGCAUAUACUUCUUUGGUCUUACUAUCUACUACAUAGAUAGUAGUAAUUAACUAUAUGGCUCAUAUUGCAGUCACGCUCCAACUUCUAUGCGUCAAAACACCAUAACUGCAUGAAAACUCAUAUCCCUCACGCGAUGUCUCGUCACGACCAAUCUCCAGCCAGCAGGCUCCCAAAGCAGUGGGGUCCUCGUGUCAGAUUAGGCACUGGACUCCGCCGUGGACCCCUCCGGUUCGCUAUCAUUGCCGCAUUCUUGGAUGGCCCGACCGUGCGCAUGUGGCACACUNNNNNNNNNNNNNNNNNNNNNNNNNNNNNNNNNNNNNNNNNNNNNNNNNNNNNNNNNNNNNNNNNNNNNNNNNNNNNNNNNNNNNNNNNNNNNNNNNNNNAAGAGAGAGUAACUCCUAGCCGGGAAAGUGUUUCAGCAGCUGGGCAAAUGUGUUUCCUUGUGUGGCCAGAGGGCCACCUUCUAGUUGUACUAUCCGAGGGGUGCAGCCCAGCGGCAUCCUCGGCAUCUCACUAGCAUCGCCAGUCCCAAUCAGGGACAUCGUUCAGCAGCACACUAGUCAGGGCGGGCCGCCAGUUCUGCGCAGGCGAGGGUCACGACAGGCCCCCGAGCGGCUCGCAUUACGCGGCCCAGAUCUGGAACGGAAGGCAGCGACAGCCGAGGAAUUUGUCGCAGUACCAAUUUUUACUUAUCGUAUUCGAGUUAACGAGCAUGUUUGAUACUGGUGCAUCGCAUUCAUUCAUCGUGACGUACUGGUUGCCGAACUGCAUUUUGGCAUCCCACUUGUAUCCUUGUUGCAUCCGGGACGAGUUGUUGUACCCGAUCAUUCUUUGGGCAUUCGGGAGUUUUGCCCCAGCUGCCCUAUUCGGGUUGGAGAUUGGAUCAUGCCCGUGGACUUGCUAGCUUUGCAUAAACUCGGAAAGUUUGACGUCGUGUUGGGCAUGGAUUGGUUAACUGAGUAUUUCGCCACUAUCGAUUGCAAGGACCGAACCGUGACGUUUAGAGAGCUGGAGCAGGCGGAGGUUGUGUACCGAGGAUGCCAGAGUUCGCUGUUUGCGAUGACGAUUAGCUCUUCUCGAGCUCGGCAGUUGAUUAGUAGGGGCUGCGUAGCCUAUUUGGCUACUGUCGUGUUGCGGGGCGAUGCGGACGCCCCUAGGAUUGAGGAUAUCCCCGCAGUGCGGGAGUUUGGAGAUGUGUUUCCAACGGAGCUUCCAGGCAUGCCACCUGAUAGGGAGAUUGAGUUUGUGGUAGAUCUCGUCCCCGGGACUACCCCGAUCUCAAAGGCACCCUAUAGGAUGGCACCAGCAGAAUUGAAGGAGCUGAAGGCACAGUUGCAGGAUCUUCUGGAUAAGGGUUUUGUGCGACCGAGUGUGUCACCUUGGGGAGCACCGGUUUUGUUUGUAAAGAAGAAUGAUGGAUCACUUCGCUUAUGUGUGGACUAUCGUGAACUUAAUAAAGUCACGAUCAAGAACAAGUAUCCAUUGCCGAGAAUCGACGAUCUAUUUGAUCAGCUCUAGGGAUCUUGUGUAUAUUCCAAGAUUGACUUGCAGUCGGGAUAUCAUCAGUUGAGGAUCAGACCUGAGGAUGUGUCGAAGACGGCUUUUAGAACACGGUAUGGACACUAUGAGUUUACUGUUAUGCCGUUUGGGCUUACUAAUACCCCGGCGGCUUUUAUGGAUUUAAUGAACCGUGUUUUCAAGCCUUACUUAGACAGAUUUGUCGUGGUGUUCAUCGAUGACAUCUUAGUGUAUUCGCGGAGUGAUGCGGAUUACGAGGAACACUUGAGACUUGUACUUCAAGUGCUUCGGGAAAAGAAGCUCUACGCCAAGUUGACAAAGUGUGAAUUUUGGCUUAAAGAGGUAGCAUUCUUGGGCCAUUUGAUUUCAGAGUCCGGGAUAGCUGUGGAUCCAAGGAAGAUUGAAGCUAUCAAGGAUUGGCCGAGGCCGACGAGCGUGACCGAGAUACGGAGCUUCAUUGGGUUGGCCGGCUACUACCGACGGUUUGUUGAGGGAUUUGCAAAGUUAUCUACUCCCCUCACGAAACUCACGCAUAAAGGAACUAAGUUCAUUUGGAAUGAUGCCUGCGAAAGAAGCUUCCAAGAGUUGAAGCAGAGAUUGACGACAUCCCCGAUCCUAACCUUGCAAACUGCUGGAUCAGGAUAUGUGAUUUAUAGCGAUGCUUCUUUUAAUGGAUUGGGCUGUGUUUUGAUGCAGGAUGGGAAGGUGAUCGCUUAUGCAUCUCGCCAAUUGAAGGAUUACGAAAGGAAUUACCCCACUCACGACUUGGAGUUGGCGGCCGUAGUCUUUGCAUUGAAGCUAUGGCGCCACUACUUAUAUGGCGAGCGGUGUGAAGUAUAUACGGAUCACAAGAGCUUAAAGUAUCUUUUCACUCAGAAGGAGUUGAACUUGAGGCAGCGCAGAUGGUUGGAGCUACUCAAGGAUUAUGAUUUGACGAUACUUUACCACCCGGGCAAGGCUAACGUGGUGGCGGAUGCGCUAAGUCAGAAAUCGACGGAGAACUUAGCGAUGCUUAUGGUUACUCAACCACCGUUAAUCGAGCAGAUGAAGCGGUUGGAGUUGGAGUUGGAGGUGGUCGCUCCUGAUACACCUUUGAGACUGAUGACUUUGGUGGUGCAACCUACCCUUUUGGAAAGAAUUAAAGAAAAGCAAGCUUCCGACUCGGAGUUGCAAAAGAUUCGAGCUAAGAUGGUUGAUAGUUGCACCUGCGACUUCACUUUACACGGUGAUGGAUUGAUGCAUUUCCGCGGACGACUUUGUGUACCGGCGCACUUGGGCAUUAAAGAGGAUAUUCUUCAAGAAACACACCGAGCACCGUAUGCUAUACAUCCGGGAGGCACCAAGAUGUACAAGGACUUGAAGUUGCUUUACUGGUGGCUCGGGAUGAAAAAGGAUGUUGGUGAGUUUGUUGCUAGAUGUUUAACUUGCCAACAGGUGAAGGCUGAGCACCGAGUUCCUGAGGGAAGUUCCAGAGUCUACCGAUUCCAGUGUGGAAAUGGGAAAAGAUCACCAUGGAUUUCGUGAUGGAAUUGCCUCGCUCACUGGCCGGGCAUGAUGCUAUUUGGGUGAUUGUGGAUAGAUUGACGAAAUCGGCACAUUUCAUACCUAUCCACACUACUUGGACUGGUGAGAGACUCGCACAGGUUUAUUUGGAUGAGAUUGUGCGAUUGCACGGGGUACCUACUUCUAUAGUAUCAGAUCGAGACCCCCGUUUUGUAUCCCACUUUUGGAGGAGCUUACAGGACGCUCUGGGUACGCGUUUGGACUUCAGUACAGCUUUCCACCCUCAGAGUGACGGGCAGUCGGAGCGUACUAUACAGACUCUCGAGGACAUGCUUCGAGCCUGCGUGAUUGACUUCCAGGGAGGAUGGUCGCAGCAUCUACCGAUGGCAGAGUUUGCUUAUAACAACAGUUAUCAAGCAAGCAUCAAGAUGGCACCGUUCGAGGCACUCUAUGGACGGAAGUGUAGAUCGCCACUUCAUUGGAGUGAAGUUGGCGAGAGAUUGGCUUUAGGCCCAGAUGUGCUCCAGGAAGCAGAGGACAAGGUUCGCAUUGCUCGGGAGCGAUUGUUGACGGCCCAGAGUAGGCAGAGGAGUUAUGCUGAUCGGCAUCGACGAGACUUGGAGUUUCAGAUUGGAGAUAACGUCUUCUUGAUAGUCUCGCCGACCCGAGGGAUUAGAAGGUUUGGAAUCCGGGAUAAGUUGGGCCCCUGAUACAUUGGACCGUAUGAGGUUUUGGAGCGUGUAGGCCCGGUAGCGUAUCGACUCGCUCUACCGCCAAAUCUAUCGGGUGUAUACAAUGUGUUUCAUGUAUCGGUCCUUCGGAAGUACAUCCACGACCCGGCUCACGUGUUGGAUGCUACACCUUUGGAGCUGCGGGAGGAUUUGAGCUUUGAGGAGCAACCCUUAAGGAUUUUGGCUCGCGAGGUAAAAAGAUUGCGGAACCGUGAGAUUCCCUACGUGAAGGUGCUUUGGAGCAACCACGACGAGCACGAGGCCACUUGGGAGUUGGAGAGCGCACUGCGGGAGAGCUAUCCCCUUCUUUUUCAGAUGGAGGCUUGAGGUACUUUGUUUGUUUUGAGUUUCACGGAUGAAACUCCUUUUUAGGAGGGGUGAAUGUAACACCCUGGAUCUUUGCAAAUUGCGAGAUUCGAGUGAUUGGCUGUAUUUUGAGCUUUCUCAGAUUUUUCUGGUGGGUCGUUGACUGUGUUCCGACCUAUGGCACGUGUCCCGAGAUUUGUGGUACAAAGCCUUGCACCAAAAACGCGAAAAAAAAGGAUUUGGCUGACUCUCGAAUUGAGUUCUGGCAGGCUUGUACCGGUACAAGGUUGAUGGUUGUACCGGUACAGCCAUCGGAGCUUGUACCGGUACAGAGCCGCAGAGCACAGCGACCCGAGCCUCGGGUUUGGAUUUCGUGGGCCUUGUACCGGUACAAGGGCUCGUGUAACGGUACAAGGCGGCAGAUUUUGAGCAGUUCGAAACUGCAAGGGCUUUUUCGCGAUUGUAGCCUCUCUAUAACAGCACCCUCGCCCCUUAGGGCUUUUCUUGUGCUGGAACCACAGGGAAACAAGGUGAGGAGCCCAUCCAUUCCCUCCUUUUGAUUUUCCUUGGUUUUAUUGGAGAUUUUUGAGGAUUAAUGCCUCAUUUUGCUUCUUGUUGCAUCUUGGAGGCUUUUUCCACCAUUGGAGAGGACUUGGAGCUUUGAUAGAGGCUUGUUGGAGGAAAGAUCUUCCACCCCAUUUGAUUUGGAGCCCAAGUUGAGACUUCUAGAGAGGUUAGCAACAUGAUUUGAGCUUUUGUUCGCAUGUUUGCAGUUUUGAGAUGGAACCCAUAAGAUUUUGAUACCUUAGGGUUUGAAUUUGGGCAUUUUAAAUCUAGGCUUUUGGAGGGAUAAAUUGUUUGAAAUAGAACCUCCUUGAGCUUGGGAUUGAAAAGGGAUUUAGCUCUCAUUGUUGGGAGUUUGAGAGAGAUUCUCUACAUCAUGAAUAGAGUUUAGUCCCUUUUGGCUAAGUUUGUUAAUCGCUUGAUCUUAUAUGACCCGUAAUGCCGCGUGUAUCUCUUCGCUCAAUUAUUUUAGGGGUAUUUGAGACCGUGACAACUUCGUUCGGCGAAACGAGGGCCCUACGCGACGGGUCGGCUGGUUGACCUAGCGCACAGACAAUGAGAAUUCUCCAUUUUGAUGAUUAGAGUACGUAAUGUGAAAAACAUGCAUAACAUUUUAGAUAUAUUUUUUGAAUUUUUAGAUCUUAAGCCAAUGUUAUGUGUAAAGGAAAGUGGCGAACUCCAUAUAGUAGAGAACUACAUGUGUACUCGCAUAUGUUUGCAUUCUAUUAGACUUGGAAUCAUAAAUCCAUUGUGAAAAUGAGCAUCCUUUUGCAUGCAUUAAAGUUUAUUCUGCUAUAUGAAACUGAAGGUCUUAGUAAGCCAUAAGAGCCGUGGGACUUGUGCUAUUUGUGAAUAUUGGCUAAUUCAUAAAGGGGCAUCGAGCUCUUGCUCAUGUGUGAACCUAGCGAUAGUGCAUUGAGCAGAGUUGGAUAUACUUUCAUUAAAAUGUCUAAGUGUCAGAAAGGGGCACAAGACUUAGUAGUAUUGGAACUUCGUGUUGUGACUUAAACUAGAGCUUCGGGAUGCUAACGACUAACCAUGUAGAGACAUGAGGAAUUGGAUAACGUGAGACUUGGACUAUGCUGCUGCUAUUUGUGCUCAUUCGCACAUUGCUUUGAGGGGUCGAUCCAACAAGCCGGCACUCCGGCAGUUAGCCUACGCCGACUUUUGUUCGCGUCGGAGGUAUUGGAAGAAGCCACGGGUCGAGUGGGACAGAACACAGUUCCAAGAAGUAGGGAUGUUCGGCACUCACAGCAACUUACGCACAAGCUGACUUACGCUUUGGCUAGGUCCCUAAUUGGAGAAUGAAAACCGUACACAAUGUUAGGGUGAUAAUCACUACUAGACAAGAGUAGAGCGUGGAUUACUUUGACUUGAUUCUGAGCAUAGAAGGACAUUCUGGUAUCAUACAUAACAUGUAGUAUGCUAGAAGUGUUUAUUGGCAUCAUAAAUCAUUGGAGGCCAUGACAAAAUAUCACUUCUAUGUAUAUAGAGUAAAUCAUGAUAUACUUGGGAAAUCAUGUAGAUAUAAUAUUAUCCAUACAAGAUAAAGUUGCAUAUAACUGUGACAUGUUUCAAUUGCAAGUUGUAACUUGAGCAUCUAAUUAGCUUCUUUAUGCAAUUUACUCGUUACUAUAUGUUGGACUUACCCCUUUUUUCCUUUGGGGCCUAGUGAGCAAUGAGCUGGAGGUCAGUAAAUUGCACUGAACUAUAAAAUUAUAGUUCUGUCACUCCACUCUAUUUCGCGAUGUUUUUUUCAUAGCCUUCCACGCAGGGUGAGGCCAGGGAUCGGCUAGGAAGGAGUUGCUUCGAGCGUAUGCUUCUUUCGAGAUAGUUCUAGGAUGGUCUUACCUCUCGAUAUAUAUAUUUUAUUUCAAGAGUUGAGGUUUACAGUGUACUAGAGUACCAUCCAUUUUUGUACUUUUGAGACUGAAGUUGGUACUACUUAUGUUUCUUUUAUUGUCUGCUUUAUUUCUUUACUGUUUGUGUAGAUGAUAUGAACUUACCGUCUGAUACAUUAGUUGCUAUCUAUUUACGGUCUUUUAUUGUUCUGUCUCCUUGCUUUAACUUCGCUUAUUGGAGAACGCCUUAUAUGUUGUAGACAUAUGGCGGGUCUGGGCACAAGCUUCCGGAUGUGGUCUCGCGUCGCGGAGCUGACAGGUUAGUAACAUGUAUUUCCCUUUUGUGCAUGUUUUGAUGGUUUCUUUUGAUUGAAACCCUAGAUUUUGAUAUUAGGUUAGAAAAUGGGGGUUUUCGAUUUGAGGGCUUGGAACCAAAUUGAUGGCUUUGAACCUUCGUUUAGGUUAGGUUGGAAGGACUCUAGCUCCCAUUUGGAGAUCGAGAGAGCUCCUUCCGCAAUCGCUGAGUUUUCUGCAACCCUAGCCCGAAUUGGUUAAUGAUUGACAAAUCCGUUGUUCGUUUCGUUUGGGCUAACAGCUGUUGCCUUGACAUCCUUAGGGUACUAGGAGGCUAGUGGACACCUUCGUUCGGCGAAACGAAGAGUUCGAAAAAUCGGUGGGUUUGACUUCGUGGAAAAGAGGCAAAAUGGCCCCUAUGCUCUCUAUACUUGUUGUAAAGUAUUUUUAAAUGCAUUUCUAUGCUAAUUGGAAUUUAUGUGAAUUUUAGAACACUUAAAAUGCAUGUCUUAUGUGUAAGUUAAACUUCACUCUAUAUAGUAGAGUAAUCAGGGUUAUUUCCAUACAUGUGAGGGGUAUUCAUGUGGACGAAUGAGAUUCUCGUCUAGUAUGCUAAAUUAGCUCAUACUCGUGUAUUGGAAACAUUAUACUAUGUUUGGACUUAGUAGCACAAAGUGUCAUCAAGAGACACUUGAAACUAGUAAACUAUGAAAAUGCAACAUAGAGACAUAACGCUAGGCCAUUGUACAUCUGCUAUAUAUUCCAUGUUAGAGACAUGAUGUCGUAGAGAUAGGCCUUUGGAACAUUCGAUACAUUCCAUGUUAUUAGACAUGAGGACUUGGUACUUGUGACAGGACAUAUGACUACUUGCCAUUGUGCUCAUUCGCACAUGCUUGUGAGGGUCGCUCCCUACAAGCCGGCACUCCGGAGAUAGCCAUCGCGAUUCGUAUUCGCCGUGCGGGAUUGGGCGCCGAAGUGGAUUGCCGUGGGCCAGGCUCAUUCCUAGGGUGGGGAUGAUGACUACCACGGGGCCAUUAGGCUCGGCAUCGGCCAGACAGCCUACGGGUGGGUCUCAGGGCCAUAGAUAGCCUUCGGGUGGAUCUCUUCAGAAUUGACUUUGAGUGUUCACUAUGACAUGUGGACAGAUGAUGACUUAGUAUAUGGACUAGAACAGUAAACAAUGACAUCUUCACUAUUUACUUGAGAACAUUGUAUGGGUUGCAUAUUUAUGCUUAUUCAUGUUAUACACAUCCAUGUACAUUCAUGUUAUAGUUGCUUUAUUACUUAUGCAAAUCAUGCUAAGUAGAGACAUUAUGCUAUAAUGAGUUACAUUUUUACUUACCUUCUUCCUUACUACAUUUUUGUCACUGACCUCCUCUUUGUAGCUUUUGGGCCUUGUAGCGCAGUUCACUGAAGUCAGUAAUUGCCCACUGGGAACUAUUUUUAAUAGUUCUCACGCCCUCAUUUUCGUGGUUUCUUUCAGAGCCUUCUGCACCGGCGGAGGCACGGGAUCGCGGUAAGGGGAUCGCAUAGCUAGCUAGCGAGGAGCGGUUCUUUGCCUAGGUGGUUUACUCUUUCUUUUUGUAGUUGAGAGAGUGAGAGAUUUUUGUAUCCAUGUAUAGAGACCACCUAUGUAUCUACUAUUAGCUCUUGUAUUUGGGAUUUUCUUUGUACUACUUUAUGUUUCUAUCAGCAGUUUUCAGCUUUAUGUUACUUUCUCUAUGGUAGAACUUAGUCUUCUAGUAUGCUUUGAUACUCCUAGACCUCUUUUAUUAUUGCUCAUUUCAUCGUUGUUUUAGACGUCUUAUAUGUUUUAGACGUAUGGCGGGUCUGGACACGUGCCGGGCGUGCUUCCGCUGGGUCCCGGGGCGUGACAGGUUCACACGUAAGCGGCGCGGCGGCGCGAGGCGAGAGCGUAGCUCCAUAGAUAGCGCCCCACCACCGAGACCAGAGAUAGCGGUACCCUGAGUCGGCUACUUAGGAAUGUAAAGAAUGAAAAGAAUCAAGUUGUAAUAAUCAUGUUAAAUCGGAUUGUAUUUGGAAGUUAAGUGAAAACUAAUGUAAGAAUGAAAGAUUGUAAAUUAUGAUGUAAAGUGUAAUAUGUGAGUUGAAUGCUUGUAAUAGCAUAGUUGUAUUUAUGUUUUCGAUGCCUUCCUUAUGCAAUCUAUGUUGUAUACUGCUCCUGGUUGGAGCCUCGCAUAUUGUAUGGAUUGUGACGCCUUGGACAUACAGGGGAGACUCUGUCCGCGGUACAGGAGAAAUCCUGUCCGUUCGGUGGUCUGUCGGCGUGCCCGAACCGACCAAAUAGGCGGGCUCGGGGCGUGACAUUGGGUGCCCUAACAUUGCCAUUUGUUAAAUCCUAGGUUUUGAUCUCUAAAACAAGUAAAAGAGAGCUUGUCUAACCUCUAGAAGUUCAUUUAGAACCAUCCAAACCAUUUCUAGGGCAUAUAAAGCAAACACUAAAAAUCCACCAUUAGAGCACUUUAAAGAAAUUAGGGUUUCAUGUGUUCUAUAGCUCCAACUAGGUUUCUAUACUCAUUAGAAGAUCAAAACCUAGUUUUCUAGGACAUAAACCCAAACCCUAGCCUAGGUUUUCAUGAAAACCUCACCUUGGCCCAAAGCUCUCCAAGGUCCUUCUUGUUGGAGAGAUCCCAAACCCUCAAAGCCACCAAAUCCAUCUUCAAAAGCCUCCUCCACUCUUUCUCCUUGCUCUUUGGAGAGAGUUCUAGAGAGAGAAAGAGGGAAAUGAGAGGGGAGAUGUGUGUUGGCUGUGGAAGAGGGAGAGAGGAGUGUUGGGGUUAUAUAUAAGGUGCUACAAUUACUAAAAACGCCUCCACUUAUUCAUAUUAGCAGCAGUUUUCAACCUGCUGUCGGGCCCAAAGUGUACCGGUACACUUUAGGGUGUCACCGGUAACACGAUUGCGUAUGGCCAAACCCGAGAGCAGCUCCCUCGGGUUUGGGGCAUUUGUACCGGUACACUUUCAUUUUGUACCGGUACACAUUGUCCAGACUUGGUUUUUAGCUCCGUUUCGAUUCUAUUUCGCACUGAUCAAUGCCAAAACCCCUCUAACACUUCUAGAACUCAUUUUUAACCCUUCCAACACUGUUGGUAGGUUAAUUGGAACUCGCCUAAUUAAUCCAUUCGCACACUUUAGUCAAUUUGGCUAAAGUUCGCUAUUUUUUUAUCGAGGUUUCGAUACGUUACAGAAGCCUUCCUAAUUAAUAGUGCUGACUGAGUUAUAACCCGUAUGCAUGCUGAAACUAUUCUUAGAACAAUUUAGAGCAACUGGUUGCCUACAUACAAUGUAGGCCAUCCAAAGUGCCCUCACCACCAGUCAAGAAGGCCCGGGGCCCUUUCAAUUAUCGCAACCACCUGACAUUCAAAGGGACCUUAUGCAUUGAAUAUAUAGAACUCUCUUAAUUUGAAACUAAGGUAUCAACUUAGAUUCCAAAUAUAUGAAGCAUAGAGUAAUAGUAAAAGGUGGGUACUUCUCUUCCAUGUUAAAAAAAUUCCAGUAAGAAUUUGAUUCCAAUGUUGACAGCCAAAACCAAGGCACAUAAUAAAAAUUCUUAGAGGAAAAUGGAACCAAAAUUAUUUAAUUCUCAAAUUCAUACCUUCCCAGCACCAAGCUUCCACAUUUUUAAUCUUUCCAACACAUAGUGAAAGAAUCCGCAAACAUCAAGCAAUAGCAUCUAUAUAAUAUAGUUAAUUUGGUUAGCUUAAAUACAUUUCAAAGGAAACUGAUUUGUAUGGAAAGCAGUCAAGAGCUGAUAGAGGAGACAUCCAUUUACUAUGCAAUCUUAGAAAAAUGAGCUAAUUGAUACCAUUGAAAUUAAUCAAAAUCCCACAAAAAAAUCUUAAGAAAAAAAAAAAUAAAAACCCAAAUGAGGAUAAUUUUUUUUACCAAACAGCUAGAGAAUUCAUACAAAACACAUAAAAAACUCAAUCUGAUACCCAGAAAUGAAAUUGGUGCAGGAAAUAAGAUCAAGCUUAACAGGUAUCGAAAAUGAAUUCAAGUUCUUUCUACGCAAAAAGAAUUUAUAAAUCAAAAGUCAUAAUAUACAUGUUUGGAGGAUUUGGGUACAAAAAAAUAGAACCAAUUCAGUUGAAACAGAUGUUUUUUUAACCUCUCAAACAUUAACUAACUAUCCAAAUCAUCACAUGUUGAACCUAAGCAAGUAAAACAUUAAGCAGCUAUCUAAAUCAUUUCUUGCCGAACUUAAGUAUAAUGAGUAGAGCAUCCAAACUUCCAACUGCAGUAUAAAAUGGAUGCUUGCAAGAAAGUUGAAAAGCUCUACAUUAAAUCAGCUUGUGAAAAUCACACCAAAUACUAUACAUGAAUGAGUAUGGAAAUAAACAAAUAGUAUACAUGAAUGAGUUAGAACCUGUAUGCGCCCCGAAACUAUUCUUACCACAAUUGAGAGCAACCGAUUGCCUACGAAGUAGGCCAUCCAAAGUGCUCUCACCACCAAUCAAGAAGUCCUGGAGCCGUUUCAAUUAUCGCAACCAUCUGAAAUUCAAGGGGAAGUCGCCUUUGCAUUCAUUUCCAUCAAUCAAUCAAACAACAGAUAACAUCAAAAAAAAUAUAUGAACCACACCUAAACUGUGUAGCACUAACAAAACAGAUACGCGAACUUCACAAUGUUUGAUAAAUUUAUUAUCUAAACUUACAAUUUGUACUUGGUUUAUACAUGUUCUAAUGGUAUUUAUAACUAAUUUGGCAAAGCAACCUGUAGCCUAAUAGACUCUUUUGUUAUUUGGUGAAACUCUCUAUAAUUCUUUUAACAGAAACUGUUAAAUUCAAACAAAGCUGGACAAAAUUUUUAGAAAUCGAAUGAAACCUAAAGUAACGUAGAAUAAAAUCGUCCCUAGAACGUUCAGAUGUCUAGAUUGCCUUCAAUGGUGUCAAUCAUCAAUUUGGAUAUUCUAUCAUCAAAAGGUAUUUGACAAUAGCAGAGCCCAAAUACUCUUAGGAGUAUUCUAGCGCAAUCCUUGUACUAUCCCAAUAUUGCAACUUAAUCCUAGUCAUCUCACUUGAAAACUUUAGUCCCUGAAAAUCUCACAUGUUUUGACUUUUUGCUGUGAAAGGCACAUUAAACCCCACCUGAAUUAGUAAAAGAAGGUGAGUUAUUUUAUAGAAGAAGGGAUAAAAGGUCAUUUUGUAAGAUAACUUAGAUCUUUUUGACAGUCGAGGGCUAUAGUGUAACAUAAAUGAAUGUUCAGUGCAUGAAGUUUAAAUAUUUAACUGAAAAGUGCACCAAUGAGAUUUGCAGUAUUGGGAUAGCAUAGGGACUAUCAAUACAUUUACCCUGUAAAUAAAGAUCAAGUGUAUUAUUUACAGCAGAUAUAUCACUAAUUAUAUGCAAGAUUGCUGAGCGUCCAUUUUUUCACCUCCCUCUCCAAAUAUCACCUCAAGUUUUCCACAUAUACGACACAUAACAUGGCCAUACAGCAUGUAAAUAGAGUAAAAUAAACAUCAGAUAGUCGAGUUAACGGAAAAUCCAUGAAGUGGACUCCCUUGAGUUAUAAUCUUGCCAAAACAAUCGUUAGAAUCAAUCAACAAAAUUUUGAAUUAAGAACCAAACGAAUUAAACAAAAUAGUUGUGAAUAUACAACUUUGCACACAUAAGAAUCUCGCAUUAUAACGCAUUCAAAUGUGUAUUAAGAAACUGAUGAUACAUACCAACACGCAUGGACGGGGAUGGAUUUUGCAACCCUCUCCGCGCAAUAGAGGAGCUGCUUCUUUGCCGCCGCCGAUGGGAUUGGACGGCAUGUACCGUGCCACCGCUGCCGCUGCCACCGGCGACAGAUCCUCACCCAAACCCCAUCCCCAUCCCCACCCACCCCCAUCCCCAUCCCCAUCCCCAUCCCCAUAAAAAAGUAUAACUAUUAGUAUUUUUUCUAGGAGAAAAGUAGCAUACUAUCCACUUCAUUCAUUAGUAAAUUAUAAUCAUCAGCAAAUAUUGAGAAAGUUAUAACUGCAAGAGAAAUACCAAUAGACAUAAGAUGACAUUCAUAAUAAAUGAAUUCUUCUCGCUAUUGAAGUAUAGGAAAACAUUUGGGCAAGNUGCGUAAAAAAAAUUUAUAAAUAAGAAGUCAUAAUAUAAGUAAAAAAAAUUUUAUAAAUAAGAAGUCAUAAUAUACAUGUUUAGAAGAUUUGGGUACAAAAAAAUAGAGCCAAUUCAGUUGAAAACAGAUGUUUUUUUAACCUCUCAAACAUUACCUAACUAUCCAAAUCAUCACAUGUUGAACCUAAGCAAGUAAAACAUUAAGCAGCUAUCUAAAUCAUUACUUGCCGAACUUAAGUAUAAUGAGUAGAGCAUCCAAACUUCCAACCGUAGUAUAAAAUGGAUGCUUGCAAGAAAGAUGAAAAGCUCUAUAUUAAAUCAGCUUGUGAAAAUCACACCAAAUAGUAUACAUGAAUGAGUGUGGAAAUAAAUGAUUAAUAGUGCUGACUAAGUUAGAACCUGUAUGCGCCCCAAAACUAUUCUUACCACAAUUGAGAGCAACAGAUUGCCUACGAAGUAGGCCAUCCAAAGUGCUCUCACCACCAGUCAAGAAGGCCCGGAGCCGUUUCAAUUAUCGCAACUAUCUGACAUUCAAGGGGAAGUCGCCUUUGCAUUCAUUUCCAUCAAUCAAUCAAACAACAAAUAACGGCAAAAAAAAUAUAUGAACCACACCUAAACUAUGUAGCACUAACAAAACAGAUAUGCAAACUUCACAAUGUUUGAUAAAUUUAUUAUCUAAACUUACAAUUUGUACUUGGUUUAUUCAUGUUCUAAUGGUAUUUAUAACUAAUUCGGCAAAGCAUCCUGUAGCCUAAUAGACUAUUUUGUUAUUUGGUGAAAUUCUCUAUAAUUCUUUUAACAGAAACUAUUAAAUUCAAACAAAGUUGGACAAAAUUUUUAGAAAUCGAAAGAAACCUAAGGUAACGUAGAAUAAAAUCGUCCCUAGAACGUUCAGAUGUCUAGAUUACCUUCAAUGGUGUCAACCAUCAAUUCGGAUAUUCUAUCAUCAAAAGGUAUUUGAUAGUAGCACAGCCCAAAUACUCUUAGGAGUAUUCUAGCGCAAUCCUUGUACUAUCCCAAUAUUGCAACUUAAUCCUAGUCAUCUCACUUGAAAACUUUAGUCCCUGAAAAUCUCACAUGUUUUGACUUUUUGCUGUGAAAGGCACAUUAAACCCCACCUGAAUUAGUAAAAGAAAGUGAGUUAUUUUAUAGAAGAAGGGAUAAAAGGUCAUUUUGUAAGAUAACUUAGAUCUUUUUGACAGUCGGGGGCUAUAGUGCAACAUAAAUGAAUGUUCAGUGCAUGAAGUUUAAAUAUUUAACUGAAAAGUGCACCAAUGAGAUUUGCAGUAUUGGGAUAGCAUAGGGACUAUCAAUACAUUUACCCUGUAAAUAAAGAUCAAGUGUACAGAUGAUUGUAGCCCCCGAUCUAUUUCUAUAUGUCACGCCUGGAUACCAGCGGAAGCAUAUCCGGUACGUGCACAGACCCGCCAUACACCUGCAGUAUAUAAGGUGUCUACAACAAACAAGUCGAUAGGAGUAAAACAUAAAAGAAUCCUAUCAAUCCUAUCCUGAUAUCAGAGCAUAGUAGAAGUCAAUAAAACUAUUUAAAAUAGAACAAAGGGUAUACAAUCCAAAAUCUCAACUAAAAGAGAAAGUAUCACAACUCUAAUAUCUGGUUCAACAGUAAAUAUACAUCACGGGGUAUACAAAAAAGUAGGUACAAUGGUGGUCUCUCUAUACAUAGGGACAUCACCCUCGGCCGUAGCCCGAGUAGCAAGGUGAUCGACUAGCAUGCUCCUAGCAAUGUCUAGCUAGACGCGAUUCCCUUGCCACGAUCCCUAGCCUCUCCUGUAAAUGGCUCUGUAAAAACAACCACAAAAAGGGCGUGAGAACUAUUAACCAUAGUUCCCAGUGGGUAAGCCGCCAGCCUCGGCGAAUUACACCACUAGGCUCAUGAUGUACUAAAUGAAAGCAGUAAUUUGCAUGAUAUAUUUCCAAUGCUAACAAUUAAUGACCAUGUAAGCAACAUGUGAUGAUACUUUCUACAGUAAUGAAUCAACUGAAUACAUAAAGCUUAGCAACUACUGUAAGCAUGAAUAUAACAUGAAUAUAAGCACGAAUGUGUAAGUAACUACUGUACACUGUAACCGGUAAGCAUUCAUUACUGUCAAAUGUCAUUUAGUACUUGGUCUCAUAUAGAGUUUUCCUUUUCAUUUAUCAGGACCUACACCAGGUAGUCUAGCUUGCGCCGCGCCUAAUGGCCCCGUGGUAGUAUACACUCUCCACGGCAAUCCAUUUCGGCACCCAAUCCCGCACGAGCGAGAAACUGUCGCGUAGGCCAACUCCGGAGUGCCGGCUUGUAGGGAGCGACCCUCACAAGCAUGUGCGAAUGAGCACGAUGGUAAGCAAGCAAAGUCCACAGUCCAACAUGUCUCAAUCAUCAUAUUUUAGCUCACAAUAUUCUCGCUUUCGAUCCUUUGAUCGGAAUUUCAAUAUAACCAAUAUUGACGACAACUAGUAUCCACUAGAGUAAUAAACAUGUGAGAGUAAUGCUAAUUGAUAUAUGGCAUUAGAAUCCUUCCACUAUCAUGGCACUAUCAACAUAGUCACAUGGCAUGUCAUUGUUUGUCACGCCCCCGACCGCACUACCCGAAAACAGUACCAAUUUGGUCCGUUUCGAGGACGGCGUGCGUGAUGCCGAACGGACGGAGUUUCCCCUGUCCGCCCAAGGCUAAGCAACAGAUUGUGUACAACAAGUCCCCAGGAAAGCAACUUGCAUUCAUACACAAUCAACAACGAAACGAGAGCACAAACAGUGCUACUACCAACUAAAGCAAACGAUACAAGUAAAAUCAUACAAGUAUACAAAAGAGAGAAACUUAACUAUUUGAAUCAUCAUUGAAACAUUUAACCUCUUUCGAUAUCACUUGAACUUUAAUCAUUUAGUACAACUUGCAUUCUUUCCCAAAAUGAAAAUACAUCAUAUACUCUCCAAAUCUCACCCUAUACAACAUCUACUCUCAAAGGUAUAAAAUAAAAGUACAGGGUGGUGCUAAUGCAAGUAGAUAAGGUAAGCUAUCUACCAAAAGCUAGGGCGCUAUGCCCUUACCGCGAUCCAUCGAUGAAGGCCCGCUGUCCUGUGUAUCUGUACCCCUAAAGCCACACGGAGGUGAGAACUACGAAUAGUUCCCAGUGGGUUCGGCCGCCGACUCCGCCGAUCUACCCACUAGGUCUCAAGCAGGCAUAGAGAGAUAUAUAUGCAAUAUAUAUAAAACAGAGCUAAACUGAACUGAAAGCAGGUGUGUAAAACAGCUAUAUCAAGCUAUGCCUCAAUCUGGAGUCAUGGAUGUAUGAACAAUAAAUAGCAGGGUAAGCAGCUACUAUAACAUCUACAAUAGCUAUCAUGGUAAGCUAUAAAACAUGCUACUAGGAAAGCAAGUAAGCUGAUAUGAACAAUGAAUAGCUACUAUGAACAUCAAUCAUGGGUAAGACUCAAUGGGUAACCCAAUCUCCAAGUGAACACAAGGUUCACAAGCAAGGCUCACAUAUCAAUCUCCUAGGGAUGUCGAGCUGGACUAUCCCCGAGUACGCCUGCGGAUAACAAGCGGCUAUCCGAGCAGCAAGCAGGGCUGCCUCUCUAGUGACCAAACUCCGGAGCGCACAACUUGAGGGGAGCGACCCCACCAAGCGCAGACAGGCAAUGUGAGCAAGAUCAUCUCACGAGCAACAACAACCCUUUGAGGGUAAUAUCAUCAUGAAAGUAAGGUAUACUUGUACCCAAUCUCAUAGUGUCUCAACUACACUAAUAUGAUCAUCUCAAGCAACGUCAACAUGUGCCACUCAAUCAUAGUUUUCUAACUAGAUGCCACUCGUCAUUUAGACUCAUCAUUACACUAGUUAUACCAUACUAGUCCUUUAGUAAUAUAAGCAUCAAUCAUCACAUAUAGGGUCUAGAUUUUCAUCAAGCAACCAUCAUGCAUACUAGAUCAUGAACCAACCAAGCAAGAUAUUUUGAGCUACUAGCGUGCAAGUAUAAGCAACAAUAAUCAUUUUCUAACCCUAUAUGUUUCUGCACAAUAUGCAAAUAGAUCAAUUUAAACUUAGACAUAGAGGGUAGCACGAUGACUUCGGGAUGGCACUCCCCCACCUUGGGUGAUGCCGAAAAUACUCCAAGACACGCUCUCGUGCUAGUCUUGUCGCCGCUUAAUUUUCGUUGGGUUAGCUUUAACCCUUUAGCACUUCAAAUGGCGAUAUCUUCGCGCUCGAUCCUCGAAUCGACGAACCGUCUUCGCCUACGCGUUUAUAAGCAUAGGAAUUAGGUUUCUAACCCCUCAAAAGAGAUCAAACCCUAAUAUUUGCAAAAUCCCCAAAAUCUAACCCUAGGGUUAGGAUCCAUGAGAAGCUAUGGAUUCUAGCUUCAUUGUGAGCUAAAUCCAUAAUCUCUAAGCUCAUUAGGUUCCAUGUGAACCAUCAAAACCAACAAAAACCAUCCAAACCCUAGAAAUCCCAAGUUUAGGGUUGAGGCUUACCUCUAGGGUUUGCUCCAAAGCAAGCCCUAGCUUGAAAACGUGGAGGAGGAGAGCUUCUUCUCCUUCCCCUUGGUCUUCUUCUUCCUUUUCUUCCUCUCUUCUACUUCUUUCUCUCCUUCUUUUUCCUUUUCUCCUUCUUCUUCAACCGGUUAGAGAGAGAGAGGGAGCUAGAGAGAGAGAGAGGCUGUGAGAGUGAGAGAGGAGAGAGCUGAGAGUGAGAGGAAUAAGUCCUCUAUUGUAACAAUAUGCUAAAAAGCCCUCCUUUUAUCAGAUUUUGUAACUUAACCCGCUGUUGCCGCGCCCUUGUACCGGUACACGGGAUCUUGUUCCGGUACAAGACCUAGGCGACAGCAAAAACAGAGCGCAACCAGAGCCUCGGGUUUCUCGGUUUCGCAGGGCUUGUACCGGUACAAGCCAGCCUUGUACCGGUACAGCGCCUGAAGCCUUCGAACCUGAGAGCUCGCAGCCUAGCUGUGAUGGUUGUACCGGUACAGCCAUCACCCUUGUACCGGUACAGCAACUCCAGAAUGCUGUUUUUGACUUCGAUUCGGCUCCGCUUCGCGCCGAUCGAUGUCCAAAUCAUUCUAACACCUUUAGAACUCAUUUUUGCUCUUCCAAAUUUGUUGGAAUACCGAAUGGAACUUGUCCAAAUCGUUUAAUCGCCCACUUUGGCCCAUUUGGCCAAAGUUAGCCAAUAUCGUCGAAUUUCGAUAUCUUACAUUGUUCUCUACUUUAUAAUCAAUAAAGUCACGAGAAUAUCAUUGUUCUCUACUUUACAAAAGUAUAAUUAUCAUGUCCAUUAGUUAUUCAACUUAACCAAAUAUAAAUAUAAACAUGAGCAUAACUACAAUUAUGCAUGAGUUCUCUCUACUUCAUAGAGGUUCUAUUUCAAUUACAUCAAACAUUAUGGUGACAUAUUCCAUGUACUUUACCAAUCACAAUAAUCACAAAAGCGCACAACUAUACCAAUUCUAUAGUGACAUAUAGAACAUAGGGGAGCUUCACUUGCUCUGGUUAGGUCAAACCCACCUAUUACUAGGCUCCAAUCAGUCACAAGAAGUCCCAAAAAUCAGCUCAACAAGGCCCCAAUCCUGCUGCAAACAAGGUAACAAAACCGCACCGAGACGAUUAUUCUCAAUAAAUACAAAGUAGAAGCUUAAUUCCCUGUUUUGGUUCAGUUUAUUACCUCAAGUUAAGCUUCCAAAAGGCCCUCCAAUGCCAAUCGAAAGCAGUCCAAGGGUCAAAUACCCUCUCGCUGCGAACAAUACCGAAACAACGUCACAAUGCUUGUAUACAAGUUAAUUUAGCCAAAAUCUUACGAAAUCAGUUUUCUAACUGAAAUUUCAACGUACCCCUGCUUGAAGCACCUUCUAAACUAGUUCCCAAGGUCACUAAUUUAGUUCAAUAAGGUUCAGAAACCUGCUGUGAAGAAACAAUUCCAAAUUGCAUCAAUUCGACUAAGUAAACGUCAUAUAGUUCCGAAAUUGAGUUAUAAUUCACUAAUUAUCCAUAUUAAGCUUUAAAGCAAAUUUUCUCUGAGUUUCAAUGGAUAAUUAGCAGCCAAAAUAACUCCUCUUUACAGCUGUAAACAUCUUCUAAUUCAGUUGGAAGCAACGAAACUAAAAUGUGUCAAAAUUCGAUACUAAACCGUAAAUUAGAGAGAAAUCAAGUUAAUUACCUCUCUAAAGCUGAGAGUCAGCUUCCCUGGCAGUAACCGCACAGAAAACACAAUAAAACCCUUCUUUCCCACGUUCCAAAGACCUCCCUUGAGUCUUCCAACCAGCGAGAAUCGAGCGCGGCGCGAAAUCGGCGCAAAACGGUGACUUCUAUGUAGAGAGCGAAAAAUCCUAGAGAGAGAGAGUGAAGAAGGUGGGAGAAGCUCUCUCUGAUCACAAGCAACCUCCACUGAGCUCCUUUGGUCGUGCAGGGGGGGUAUAGGUAAGGUUAAGAUGUGAAAUUACCAAAAUAACCUUGCUGCCACGUUUCUGCUACUAUGUACCGGUACACAAUGAUGGCUGUACCGGUACACCAAGCAGAAAAUGCUGAUUUCGCCAAAUCAAUGCACUUUCUUACUUUUAGCCAUCCAAUCACUCUCUAACUUGUCCAAAAACUUGUCCAAACCUUUUAGAACAUGUAGGAUAAUUCCACAUUUCAUUCCACACACUCGAACUCCGCAAUUUGCAAAAGUUCAUCAUCUACUUCCUUUACGACACCAAGAUACAGUAGGUAUAUCACUAAUUAAUUAUAUGCAAGAUUCCUGAGCGUCCAUUUUUUCACCUCUCUCUCCAAAUAUUACCUCAAGUUUUCCAAAUAUAUGACACAUAACAUGGCCAUAUAGUAUGUAAAUAGAAUAAAAUAAACAUCAGAUAGUCGAGUUAACAGAAAAUCCAUGAAGUGGACUCCCUUGAGUUAUAAUCUUGCCGAAAUAAUCGUUAGAAUCAAUCGACAAAAUUUUGAAUUAAGAACCGAGAGAAUUAAACAAAAUAGUUGUGAAUAUACAACUUUGCACACAUAAGAAUCUCGCAUUAUAACGCAUUCAAAUGUAGAUUAAAAAACUGAUGAUUCAUACUGACACGCGUGGACGGGGAUGGAUUUUGCUACCCUCUUCGCGCAAUAGAGGAGCUGCUUCUUAGCCGCUGCCGAUGGGAUCGAUCGGCAUGUACCGUGCCACCGCUGCUGCCGCCACCGGCGACGGAUCCUCACCCAAACCCCAUCCCCAUCCUCACCCCCACAGCCAUCCCCAUCCCCAGAGCCGCGCCUCACCUCUCCGAUGCCCGCCGAGCGCCCCGCGAUAGGCUUGGCAUUUCGUCGAAUAGGGCACAGGCGCCAGCGUGAGGGCGCGGGGGCUCGCGAGCUCCUCCUAUUGAUCACGCGAUGGGGAGGGAGAGGAGGAGAAGAAGAUCCUCGCCAGAUCGCCGCGCCCCACCUCUGUGAUGCCCGCGAAGUGCCGCGAGGGAGAGGGUGCGGGGGCUCGAGAGUUCCUCCUAUUGAUCACACGAUGAGGACGGGGAGGAGGAGAAGAAGAUCCUCGCCAUGCCUGAGGAGCGCCCUGCUAUCGGCUCGGCAUUUCGUCGAACAAGGCGCGAGGGCCAGGGAGACGGCGCAAGGGCCAGGGAGAGGGGGCGGGGGCCUGUGAGCUCCGAUCGAUCGCGUGACGGGGAAGAUCCUCGCAGAUCGGAGAAAGAUGAGAGGCGGGAUCGGGGAGAGAGAGAUCCGCAGGAUCUGCAGAUCCACAGGGCGACAACCCUCCGCGCCCUGUGGGAUCUGCGAUCACAGGAACGGGUGGGUGGUGGUGGGGGGAUAGCAUGCGACAACUCUCCGAGCCCUGCGGGCUUUGCGGAGCCACAGGGGACAGGAAGGGCUUUGCGGAGCCACAGGGGACAGGAAGGGCGACAGGCGAAGGAGGCGGGCAGAGGGGCGCAGGAAUCGCGGGUGGGAGAGAGAGUAGGGAUCGAAGAUGCGCAAGAGGGAAGGGAAGAGACGGGGUGGACGACAUGUAAGCCACAGUAAAACUCACGAUUUAAUAUAUCUAUAGAUACGUAAAAUCAGGAGCAAUUCUUAAUUUGCAUAUGAAAGGUUCCUAAUAAUAAUGUAGCUCAAAACAAAUAGAAGUUUACGAUAAUAUCAAUAAAAGAAUAAAAUUGAAAGAUUUUUGUCAAAAUGGUCUAUAUUUGGAAGCAUUUUUAUGUAUUCAAAAUAAUAUUAAUUAGUUAGUAGUAUUGGUAGAUGAUGAUCAUAGGCGUAUUUUGGAUGCAGUGCGGUGGGAAUGAAAAUGUUGUGCAUGUGGUGAUAUUCUCACAUUGCAUCUGUAGUAGAGAAGCUCUUACAAGGAAGUAUGUAGAAUAAGAACUCAACCUGCCACAUGUACAAUAAAUUAAAAAAAAAAAAAACGUUGAAAGGAAAGACUAAAUAGAUCACAGCCAUCAGACUCUCAAGAAAAGAUUAUGAGUUGUAAUUCUACCUAAGUGGAGAAACUAAAAAACUGAUUGUGUGGAUAACUUCAAGAAGGAAAAACUGGUUGUGUGAGUAACUUCAUAAGAGUUUCCAUCUUAAUAAGCUAGUGGUAGCCUUUCAAAAUUGACAGAGGUAGUAAGGAUAUAACUAAUUAUUCGUUCAGUUCUCUUGAGCUCUCCUCAGAUGUAUGAAUCAUCAUUUAUGGGGGGCGCUGCUAUUGUGAUAAGACACAGCCGGACGGUUGGUUUCGUAGCUCGCACUUCAUCUUCGUUCUGCUAUCCACCUUUCUCUCCUAUUCAUGUAUCGUAGCACGGUUCCUUCUCCCUUGUAUGAUCAUGCCAUCUUCCCCUCCCAAGUAAAGCUCCUCACCGUAAAGGUCCAGCUGCUGACUGAACCGCAAGCGAAGAACAACUUUGGUCUCUCCCUACACAAUAGUGUGGUUUUGCUGAACUGAUGAAACUCAUCGUUGUCAUUGUUGGCCAUCACCAUUUUUUUCUUCUCCGAUCAUCUCGUCCCACCUCUUCUCAUGCGCCUCCAAGUUCCGAUGCAUAGCCAGCAGCACGAACGCACAGGUCCACUUCCUUGCAGCCGGCUCUAGCGCAAAUUAGUUAGCCUUCGUCGACCCAAAUAUCAUCAACCACCUAUUCCUUGUGGCGCUUCAUGUCUGACAGCACGACGGCGCCGGAGCAUCCUAUUUGAUGCCGUACCAGAGGACGACAUAGGCAUAGUGCCAGCAUAAAACCCCCCCUCAAAAGUGUACACCAGUUUCAACCUGCAAGGCGCCGCCAAGAUUGGCUGAGAACACCUCGAACCCAAAGCUCAGAGUCUCGCCACUCCCGCACCCACCAUUCUUCCAGCAGGCGUGGACAAGGGCAUAUCACUUGGGGUUCGAGUGGUCAAAGGCAAGGCCGACCUCGCUCAGCAAUUCUUGCUACAGCUAAAGUGCCAAAAUUUCUGCAACUCACCCUCUUUUUUUUUAAGCUGACAGUUCAGCAUCCAGCCACACCUUAGAAACUAACCAACAAUGAAAAGAAUCUUAAAAAUUACCGAUUCAUACAUCUAAUCACAUAAAAUUUUUAUUUAACAAAAAAGAGGGCAACAGUGCGAAGCUGAGAUCUACACAUUCGAAACCUCUGAUCAUCAUCAUUAUCAAAAGCGCAACUCUUCAGUAUAAUCGCUAGUUGAAUAAAAUAACAACUCUGUUGGACCAACAAUGAAAUAACGUGGUACACUUACAGAUAGUGCAGGGAGCUCAAAGAAUUCCUCUCUGAAUAGGACACCAGAUGAGACCAACAACUAAUCUGAUAGACUUCUCCAAAGCAAAGUCUUAUCUGGGCAAGUCUUUAUCAAGAUGGCCUUUAGGUCUCCCAGUUCACUUAUUCUCUCUUGAUGCUUAGAAUUCGCAAGGAAUGGAAAUUGCUGCCACAAAGUAUUUUAAGGGGGAUAAUAAGUUAACAAUCAUUCCAGAGAGAAGAAAAGCAAUGUAAAUGCAGUCUCUGGGUUCGAUUUAACAAAGCAAACGUUCUAUGCACAAUAGAAGUGCACCUUUGUAAUCCACAACAUGUAAGAAGCCGCAAGCUGGGCUUGAAUGUGAUAAUCCUCGAAUUCAUCAACAGGAGUAUUCAGGCACUCACAAAGGAAUUCUAAUUCUUUGGCCCAAAAUAGAUCCAGCAAGACACAACUAUUUUGAUGGUCAGUAUGCAACUCGAGGGAACCAUUUUGAUGGUCCUUAUGCAACUGCCUGGCAUGUAAACAAUCAUCUCUGAAGAGCUUUAUCCAGCAUUGAAUGAGGAAUCGACGGUAGACCCACAAGGACUUCCACAAAAUGUAAAAGCAGAAGAACCAAUUUAGCAAGAUAUAUGGAAUAAUAACACUUUAUUAUUAUUGAGAAAAAUAGGCUUAAGCGGCACAGAGGUGGUAAAUGGGAAGCACCAAACCUGUCUAUCCAUAAAUCGUUUAAUAAGAAAUUUGUUCCACUUGAUCUCCUCCUGUUCAAAUAAAAUAGCUAGUUAUUUCAUUCCAUCAAUUUUUGCGCCCCAAAAUAUUCUUUGAAACCAAUAGCUAAAUUUGGUACGAUGGUGACAUUGUAAAUGAAUUCACUAAAACCGUAGAGUAAAGAAAUUCAGAUAUAGAGGGUCUAUCACGACUUCCUAUAGCCUAAAACUCAGUAAAACACUAACAAAACAUUGUUUCUAGAAGGAUGUUCAUGGUCACAUUUCUAUUUACAGAUAGAGGUGAUUUUGAGCAAAAGUAAAAACACUAUAUGAUUCAGAGAAAGGACGUAGAAAAUUGCAGAAUUUGUUAUAACUAGUUAACAGAAAAUUCAUACCUCCCAUAAGAAUGGGAUAUUAGACAUGAAACUAGAAGAAGCUUCCUCUUCUUGUCUUCUAUAGCUAUUCUCAAGUAAUCUAAGCAGCAAGCGCUGGACAGGAGAAUAUUAAUGUAAUUAAUAUGAGUUACCGAAUAAAUGCUCUUACAUUCUUGCGUUAAUGAUUUUCCUUACAUGCAAACAAAUUAAAAAUUACAAACAAUAGAAGCAAAUAAGCAUCCAAGAGCAACAAUUAAAAGUCUCAAAAGAGGGGUCAAAUUAACAAGCUAACCCCACGAUAGUGGAAGGAGCAACUGUCAGCAAUAUGCAACUCGGACCACUUCCUUGACUUAUCCAGCUCAUCAAGAAUCUGAAUGUGUGUAAGAACCUUCCAUAAGAUUUUUCAAGGAUCGACAAUAAAUAAACAUAUAAAUAAGUAAAAAAUGUUACAUGCCAACUUAAACAGCAGUAAUAAUAAAUCAGGGUGUUCAUUUUGCAUUUCACUGCUCAAAGCAUGGCCCGUGUGAUAAACUGAUCAGACAAGAGGAUGCAGCCACACUUAACUUACCAAACUUGUUAAAGAACAGAAAUUAAUCUAGCAUUUCUGAACUUCGUGAUGCUACUACUUGCAUCUAUUACUAAAUAUUUCUAACAAUUGACUUGUUUGAAACUAGUUCAUUAAUGUGUCAAACUGACCUGUUUUCUCGUCAUGUAAUUAGUGAGCCAAACACGAUGGUUCCAUGCGCGAUAGUUCAUUUUCGAUUUCUGCAGAAAGAGAAACAAGAAAUAAAAUAAUCCAAAAAAUAGUAUUGCCAUUUUUGAUAAAUUCAAAUUUUCAAUGGCCAAUACAUGAGAGAAGAUUCCUACAAAGAAUAAAAAACUGACAAUGCCAAUUUGUAUGAUUCAUUUAAAUCGAAGAGCAACGAAGACAAUCUCUUUUGAGUCCUCACUUGUGUCCGUUAUAUCAAAGAGCCACCUAGACACUUUUACAUAGGAAGGGACACUUUUCAUAUAGUAUACUUUAAGGACAAUGGGAGGCAAAAACAUUUUACACCUUCUGUGAAAAGGACUGCACAUAAUCUCCGUUAAGUCCUCAUAUGAGUUGGUUAUCAAUAGGGUGGAGAAAUGAAACCUUCCAAUUGGGCAACUAAAUUAGGAAACAAAAUCAUCUGUGAAACUUAGGAAAUCUAAAUACUGAAUUGAUGCAAACCUCUACUAUGUUCCUUGCUAGAUCAGAUUCCUCGUCUAUGAUCUCUUGUAGAUCUUGACACUUUUCAGCGAUCCUCUUGAUCACCCACCUCCUGAAAAUAGUUAGUUUGUUUAUUUUAACUCUUUAACUUUAUUCCUCAAAAAAUUUUAAUGAUCAAAGAGGUCCAAGAAAAGCACGUAACUAAUUGGCAAAACAAGGCGACAAUUUAAGGGAAAAAAAUAUAUCAAAAGCAGAAAGCAGUUUCCUUUCAGAUUACCUUGGCUAGACAUUGGAAACAAAGAGAAAAAUUUCCAAGGAUAAAUACUCUUAACAUACAGUAUAUGAGAUUCCAAAAUUUUCAAAAAAUUAAAUAAACCAAUUUAUCAAAUAUAAGGUGACAGCCACAGCUUAACUAGCCAGUUUGAGAAACUAUUUAUUUCACUGCAAAACAACAAGAGUACAAUUCAACAUCACAAGGAAUGGUUAACAACAGAUGCCUAAACUACAAAGAAAACAAUUGAUGCCCAUAAAGCGUAAAACUUCAAAACUUGAAGAUAAAGAAAGAUUACCUAUGACUCCAGGCACACUCACUUUUCGGUGAGUACGAAAGAAUUAAAGUCAGUAAUUGAAGUUCAUCCAUAAAUAGUGAUAAAUUGCAUUUCCUUUGGAGGACUUGUUUCCUGGGCAACAGAAUAGUAGAAGCCAACUAUUAUGAAAAAAAGUAGGGGAGAUGUUAUAACUUGUAAGUUAAAAAGAAUGAGAAAUGUUACCUAGAAUUCCAUGCACUGAGAAAGUCACAGCUUAGUAUCAAAAUAGCCUUACUGUGCAUCAACAAAUUAUUCUCAAGAAGCUCAAUAGAGCUUCCCCGAGAAGUCACGCUAUCAGAUCGAUUUGCAUUCAUAUUCACGCUGAUAGAAUCUUUAUAGCCGCUUCUUACAUCGAAAUAAGCACGCCGAGCAGCUUUUGACAACUGAGUUAAGAUCUCUGUUGAUAUCGCCAGCUUAUGAUCUUUGGUCCAAAAAGCGGUUUCGUCAUAAUUUAGUGCAUCAAAAUCGGAAGGUGUCCGAUUUGAGAUCUCAAAUGCGGUAGCAUCUAAACCCUCGUUUAGAGAUGCAAAUUGGGAUGGGUGUAUGAACCCUAAUUCAUCCCUGAGUAGUAGAGAAAGGAAUAACAUUUGAAUGUAGCAGCGGAAUUAGGGUUGUGAAGUGAAAAAAAUAAAAAAUAAAAAGGCUAAAUUAUAGAAAACCCUCUUGUAAACACCCGCUUUUUCACUUUCCCUCCUACAUUUUCCCCCCCUUAAGAUUUCAGAAAUAUUUUCAAGAGGGUACGGCGUUAAUAGAGAGAGCAAAAUGACCAAAUUGCCCUUACUUCUUCUAUAAGAAAAAAAAUAAUUUUUAUAUAUAUUUCUAUCGUUUUAAGAGUAUUUUCGGUAUAAAUUAUAAGAAAUAGACAGAAUAAUGAUGGAACCCUAACGGAGGAGGGUUGAAUGCAACAACUUGAAAUGUUGAGGGGGUAAAUUGUAGGUUCUUGAAAGCUAGGGAGGAAAGUGAAAAAAUGGGUAUUUAUAAGAGGGUUUUUUGUAAUUUAGCCAAAUCAAAAAAGGAAAAAGGAAUGUUUUUGCGGCUCACAGGAGAUCAUCGUGCUCUAAAAUGCGCUCGAAUUGCCGCAACAAAUACUCAUCUCCCAUCUAAUAAGGAAAUGGAACACGAAACGAGAUCCCACACUUGAAUGAUCCACUGAUGAUGAGAGGCGAAAAAGGAAAUAGUUCAGAUCCUAAACAGAUUUUAAGAAAAAAUAAAAGCCCCGAAUUCAAUGCCAUGAUUGAAGAAACGAUUAGCUACCUUCGGUUGGAUUGGAUUUGGGGAUCGAGAAUGGGGAGAGGGGGUUAAACAGUGUGGAAGGUCCACAAAUGAUGUGGUGGACCAUGUCCAGUGUUUAAAAAGGCGCCAAGCGCAAAAAGGCGCAAAGGCCCAGAGCCUAGGCACGCGCCUCAAUAAUGUAAGGGGCAUAUCUAAUAAAAAUAAACUCUCUUAACAAAUCCAGUUUAAAGGAAUGUUUUAUGUUAAAAAAAUUCAAAAUAGCCAUACAAAAACAAAAGAACCAUAAAAAAGCAAAGAAAUCACAUGUAUAAAUGUUCUCAAACUAAAAAAAAAAAUUAUGUUUCAACUUUCAACUUGAAAGUGCUUGCUGCUACUUCUUGCCGCUGCUGCUUGUUGCCGUUGGUAGGUGACAAGAGAACGACCAAGCAAAAAAGGGAAGAAAGCGUUCAUAUUAGGAAUUUUUUUCAAUUACUCAAUAUUACAAAAUAUAUUGAAAAAAAUCCAAAACCCGAAAAACCCAAACCUUAGAUCCAUUAAGCGUAAAUAUCAUGAGGCGCAUAUGAGGCGCGUGCCUCGCUCCUUGAGGCGCUUAGGCCCACACCUCAUGCCUAGGAGUAGAGGUGCGCACCUCUAAGGCACGCGCCUCUGAGGCACGCCUCUGAGGCGCGCCUUUUUUCAAACACUGACCAUGUCCACACAACCCAUGUGGCUUGAAAUAGCUACUAGGGCUGGAUAGUAAAAUGGGUCGUAGUGGGUCGAGUCUCCAGCCCGUAGCUUGGCCUACACAAACAAGUUUUUGGGUGCCAAAAGCUAAAUUUGACCAAACAAGCACUAGAAUUAUUCGAUUCAUUGUUCUUUGUAGUAGAUUAAGAGAUGGUGCGGGUGGAUUUGAUUCGAUCGUCUCUUUUCUCUCUCUAUUUAAUGGUGAUUUAUGUUGGAAUUGUUACUUUCAUUGAUCAGCUAGGGUUCUAUUUGAGUGUGAUUAGGGUUUAGGGCCUGUUUGACACUGCUUGAUGAAGUUCUGUAUGAGUAGUGCUAUUAAAUAAUGCGAUUUCUGCAAUUGAAUCAUAACUCAAAAGCAUCAAAUUGGAUUUUCAAUUCUUUUUUUUAGACUUUUGGUGCAAUGGAAGCUCCAAUUUUUUUCAAUUUGCUAAAAGGUCAAUCAUAGGCCUACUGCUGCUGCUCAAAGCAAAAGCAGAAGCAGAAGCAGAAGCAGAAGCAGAAGCAAAGGCAAGGCCAAGCAGCCCCUAAAUGAUCUGUAUAGAAAGCUACCUGCUCUCGCAAUAAUUUGUCUUUACCACAACAUAAGGAAGUCAGUUGGAAGUAAAGAUUUGAUUAUCUGAAGAAGUAAGGGUAGGACUAAUCUGAUGGUGUACUCAGUCUAUAUGCGAUAUAGGAUUUGUCAUCUUCAGUUGUAUGUUGGCAUUUGCAAUGGUUUUUAGAAUUAGUAGAAAGAUACUGAAAUGAUUUAGCUAGCCGUGUUGCAUAUACUAUAUAGAAAGUUAAAGCUCUGAAUUCUGAAUUCUCCUCAGUCUUAAGGUUUUCUAAGAGAAUGAUUUUUCUCUAGACUGUAUUGGGUGAACUUCAUAAAUUUCCUGUAAAACUCUGUCCUUGUGUUGUAUAAAAAUUCUUGCAGCAUCUUUUCUUCAAAGCACUUCAAGGUGGUACGAUGGAAGGGUUUUUCAAACUGAUUACGUAGCUCCAAACUCAAUCAGAGCCUGUGUUCUGUGGAUUGACCAACCUAUAUGUUGUCCUCAAUGCUCUUUCAAUAGAUCCGAGAAGAAGUGGAAAGUUGCAAUAACAAACUUUAACUUGGGAUUUAACUUUAAUAGGUUGACAAUUAGUUAAGAUUUAUUGCAGGUCCUUGGAGAUGGUUUGACAAGUUGAUGUUGAAUUGCUGUGAAUCUUUGGAGAAAGUUCACGCGGAAGGCAUUACACUAGGAAAAGUUGCAUGCUUGGCUCACUGUGCUGGAGCUCAGGUUGAAGCUUUCCGUACGAAUCAAAGCACAAUUGAUGAAGUCCUUAAACUCUCUCCAUUUCUAUCCCUUGGUCAUUAUAAAACAAAAAAGAAAAAAAAAUCCAACAAAAGAUAACAUUUUCCUAUGAUAAGAACCAUAGUUAAUUCGGAUUCGGCAAAAAUUCCAUACGGGUAUAAUAGGAAUAAAAUUCAUACCCUAAUUUUAAAAUUCGUUGAAAUAUAUGGCUAAAAAACGGAUUUGCCAAUUAUCCGAAUACGUGAUAUAUAUGGAUAUUAUACGUUCACCAAUUAAAAAUUCGGGAUAAACAAUUCGGCUAUUAAAUUAAGUUUUUUCCCUCUAAAUUUAUACUAUUAGCAUAAAUACUCAUAAUUCUUAAGAAUAUAAAAAUAAAGAGCUACAAAAUUAAGCAGAUUAAGUAAAAAAAAAUAAUAGCAAACUAUAUUAUGCCCCACAGUAUGUAAAUAAUCAAGCAAGUGAUUAAGAUAGUCCAUAUUUAAAUAUAAAACAUACAAGGUUCACAUACAAGCAUAGUUGAAAAUUAAAUACAAGAUAAAGCUUGCACUCUGCAUAGUGCAUACUAACAUAUCUAAAGUCUAAACAGUAAACAAAGAAAAGAAAAUUAACCCCAUUCCAUUGGUUCUGAGUCUUCAGACAACAGCAAACAAAUCAAUGGAUGUAAGUAUGUAACAAUAACUUAAUUAGAACNACUAAUAUGGAAAUCUGGAGUUUAGAGGAAGAGAAGGAUGUUUUGGGUGAAAGAAAAACACAACAGCAACAGAUAUAUAUAUGUAUAUAUAUAAAAGAGAAAACUGUUAUAAAUAGAAAUCAAAAUUAACUAGGGAAUAAAAAACAAUAUUGGUUGGAUUCUAAAACUUUUGGCACUUAGCAUGCGGAUAAUAGCAAAUAUUAGCUCCAUUCAUAGUCAUGGAAAAUACGAAUUUGUAGUUUUGUACCAGAUGAAGUGGGUGUGUCGCAGCGGAACAGCGGAACUGGGAACCAGAUUGCGAGUGGUGCGAUGGCGAGCGGCGGUCGGGCGGUCGGGGUGGUUCCAAACGUCCGAUGGUGAGCAGCGCGCGGCCUCGCGGGGGAUUCCGAUGGCGAGCGGUGCGCGGCCGGGGUGGUUCCGAACUUCCGAUGCUCGCCCUCGCGGGGCGUUCCGAUGGCGAGCGGUGCGCGCGGCCCCGGACGAAGAACCCUCCUCUUCGAUGUCGAGCGGCCUGUGGCCCUGCAGGCGCUUCCGAUGGCGAUCGGCCAGCGGCCGGAAGGGAAGGGAUUGGGGGCGGAGGCAGGAGCUAGAAGCUUUUUCUUUUUAUUUUUUCUUUUUUUUUAACGUUUUGAGCGAGCGUGAGAAGCUUAGUUAAUUCGCGAAUUAUUCGCGAAUUAUUCGCGAAUUUUUGAAAUGCCGAAUUAAACACCCGUUUUUGAAUUUUUGCCAAAAAUUCGGAAUAAUUUGCGGUUUUUUGAGCAAAAAUAAUUAUUCGCGAAUAAAACGGGAUUCGCAAAUAAUUCGGCCCAAAAAAACGGCCCUCUUGCUUGCGACUGUGAGCGGACUUGUGGGCCUCGCGGUGGCCCAAAACUGAAAAAAGAACCUGUCGCCCUAAAAAAAAAGAAAGAAAGGAUUUCUGAAAACCAUCGCCCCCCUCACACGAGGCGACGACUCCCCCGCUCCCACCCCCACCCCUCCCAAAAAAAGGGUUUGCCCUAACUUCUCACUCCUGCGGCGGUGCGGCCCUGCCAUCGACCCCUGCGGCGGUCUCCCUCUUCCCUUCCGGCCGCUCGCCGAACGCCAUCGGAAGCCCUCCUCUUCAGAAAUCGAAGAUCGAAGAUCGGGUUCUUCACUCUUCAGAAAUCGAAACCCUCCUCGUCGCCUCUUCCUCUUCCGCUUCCGCUUCCGCUUCCGCUUCCGCUUCCGCUAUCCAACGAUAGAUCAGUAACCGGGUGGUUCUUUACAAACCCAGGUAGGUACGAUUUGAGUUUUUUUCAUUCUUCAAAGAAAAAGUUGGAAGGUUUUAGUCAUCUGAUGGAUACUUGUUUUAUACACAAGUGGCUGAGUGCUUAAUUGAAUGUGUCCAUUCUCUGUUAUGCACAAAGAAGACCCAAACAUAGUGCUAAAUAAAUAAUCUUAAUUAACUUUGGGACCAGGAACUCUUGUAUUAUACCUAAUCAAUUUCAUGAUCUUUGUCGACUCUUGCAAAAGGAAAAUUUUGUUGUGGUCUUUCAUGGACCAUUGACUCACUGGGGUUUCUAUUUAAUUUUUGAAACAUAACUUUGGGACCAGGUACUAUUUGAGUUUUCAUUCUUCAAAGCAAAAGUUGGAAGCUUUUACAUUUAAAUAUGGACUAUCUUGAUCUCUUAUUUGCUUAAUUAUUUCUUUAUUUUGAAGCAUAAUAUAGUUUACUAUUUUUUUAUUUAAUUAGUUUAAUUUUGUAGCUUUUUAUUCUUAUAUUCUUAAAAAAUAUGAGUAUUUAUGCUAAUAGUAUAAAUCUUGAGAGGAAAAAAUUUAAUUUAAUAGCGAAUUUUUGAUCCCGAAUUUUUAAUUGGUGAACGAAUAAUAUCCGUAUAAAUCACGUAUCCGAAUAAUUGGCGAAUCCGUUUUCUAGCCGUUUUUUUCAACGAAUUUAAAAACUAGAAGACGAAUUUUAUCCGAAUUAUACCCGUGCCGAAUUUUUGCCGAAUCCGAAUUAACUAACUAUGGUGAGAAGGCGGGCGUACGGACAUCCCUAGAUAAGCCCUGCAGAUAAUUCGGUCCCUGAAUUAUUCGCGAAUAAUAAUUUUAAAUUAAACUAGUAUAUAAGGGCCACACUUGGCCAUUCUAUUUCCAUCAAUUAAAAUAUAUAAUUAUUAAAUUUAUAAAAUUAAAAAUUAUAAUUAAAUAAAAAUAUUAUCAAAUAGUAUUAUAUACCUUGCAAAAAAAUAAUUCUUUUAUUAAUAUUUUUUUUAAUUUCUGAAUAGUUAUAUUAUUCUAACAACUUUAUUUCAAAAUUAAUCAAAUUUAAUAAUUUUAAAAACUGUUCUAUAAAUAACUUUUUUAACUAAAAAGUUACAUGCAUAUAAUAUAUAUUAACAUUUUAUACACCACAACUUAUAUUAGAUGAUAAAUAUUUUAAUAUCAAAACUUAGUUAAACAUAUAUGACCUACAAAGUUAAUAAUUUAAAUUUUAUUGAAUGAAUUAGAUUUUCAAAUCUCUAUUAAAAAAUUUUAAGUAUAUGAUAUAUGUAUACACAUACACCCGGUGCACAUACACUCAGUGCAGAGAAUGCUUAAUUUAAUGCACUCAUAAUUUCAAGAGAAAAAACAAAUCUUUGACUAAAUUACAGAAAACCCCCCUGUCAAAACCUGAUUUUUCACUUUUCCCCUCUGUCAUUUAAAAACCUACACUUUACCCCCUUAUAAAAUAAAAAAUGUUCACUAGGGGAUACGCUGUGAACUAUAAUGACAAAAUGACCAUUUUGCCUCUCACCAUUUUGCCCCUCACCAUGUUCACAAGAGAAAGGCUGAGGACAUUUUUGGCAUAAAAAAUAUAUAAUAAUAUUUCAUAAACGGAACCCUAACGGAUUACUAACGAUAGAGGGCGAAGUGAACAUUUUUCAUUUUAUAAGGGGGCAAAGUGCAUGUUUUUAAAUGACAGGGAGGGAAAGUAAAAAAUCGAAUUUUGACAAGGGGGUUUUAUGUAAUUUAGCUAUAUAUAUAUAUAUAUAUAUAUAACUAGGCUGGAAUACUAUUAAUAGCACCAAUGACUAGGUACUAUUAAGUUUUUUGCCAUUGGAUUAAAAGAUGUGUGGUUAGGAUGAUAUGGGCCCCCUAGGGUUGAGUGGGUGGUUGGUUGAAUAGUAUAAUUGAACGGAUGAAAUUGAUAAAGAGGUAAAUCUAACGGCAGAAAACUUGAUAGCACCAAAUACUUCGUACUAUCGAUAGUAUCCUAGCCAGACUCUCUCUCUCUCUCUAUAUAUAUAUAUAUAUUAUGUAUUAAUAAUUUUAAUUAUUUAAUAUUAAUAUUAUUGGCCAUUUACUUAUUACUUAUAUAGAGAGAGAGAGAGAGUUACAUUUUUUAGAAUGAAUGAAGCUGGAUUUAUUAGACAGUUAGAAUUGUAUAAGAAAUAGAAUAUUUGAUCUAAAUGGUUGUGCCGCACUUUAGAAAGGCCCAAUUGGGUCCAUGCACUCCUGUUUUAAUUACACCGUACACUGACUCUAAAUUAUGUAUCAAAUAUAAAUUUAUAUUAUAUAAUAAAUUAUUUAAAUAUUUUAUUUUACACUACUGAUUAUUAAAUAUUUCAUUAAUUAUUUAUUAUACUCUACGAUGUAUAAAUCAUUAGUAUAUACCCGGUGCAAGAAAAGAUUUAGGCUAAAUUACAUAAAACCUCUCUGUCAAAACCCGAUUUUUCACUUUCCCUCUCAGUCAUUUAAAAAUAUAUACUUUGCCCCCUUGUAAAAUAAAAAAUGUUCACUUCGCCCCCUGCCGUUAGUAAUCCGUUAGGAUUCCGUUUAUAAAAUAUUAUUAUAUAUUGUCAUCGUAUACUUCAAGCUGGGUUCUUUUGAAAGAAAAUUAAAAAUAGGCUAAAUUACAUAAAACCCCUCUGUCAAAAUCUGAUUUUUCACUUUCCCUCUGUGACACCCCAAUAGUCCCACAUUGGAUGGGAAUAUGGUUGUCAUUGGGUUUAUAAGAGAAUUAGACACUAGUAAUAAUAACUCAGCUUAAGCAUUUUGGGUUGUGGUUGGGCCCAACGAGUUAUUAUUGCUAGUGGGCUGGGUCGUUACAUUUGGUAUCAGAGCCGGUUCACCAGCUCGACAUGUGUGGCGAGUCUCGGCUGAGCCAGGGUCUGGAUGACGGGCUAACGAGACGAGUCUCACAUCGCCUGAUGAUCUUGGGCUGUGUGUGUGAUUGGACUGACGAGGACGUCAGGGCCUUAACGGGGGGAGUCUGUGACACCCCAAUAGUCCCACAUCGGAUGGGAAUAGGGUUGUCAUUGGGUUUAUAAGAGAAUUAUACACUAGUAAUAAUAACUGGGCUUAAGCAUUUUGGGCUGUGGUUGGGCCCAACGAGUUAUUAUUGCUAGUGGGCUGGGUCGUUACACCCUUCAUGUUAUUUAAAAGCAUACACUUUGCCCCCUUAUAAAAUAAAAAAUGUUCACUUUGCCCCCUUAUAAAAUGAAAAAUGUUCACUUUGCCCCCUAUCGUUAGUAAUUCGUUAGGGUUCCGUUUAUAAAAUAUUAUUAUAUAUUUUUUUAUGCCCAAAAUGCCCUCAGCCUUCUCUCAUGUAAACAUGGUGAGGGGCAAAAUGGUCAUUUUGUCAUCAUAGUUCACACCGUAUCCCCCUGUGAACAUUUUUCAUUUUAUAAGGGGGUAAAGUGAAAAAUUAGGUUUUAACAGGGAGGUUUUCUGUAAUUUAGCCACAUAUAUAUAUAUAUGGGGGAUAAUUACCUAUAUACCCUUCAUGCGUUCGGAAAUAUCCGAUCUACCCCUACUUUUUUUUCUUUCUAAAAUACCCCUUAUAUGUUCCACCGUUAUUCCAAAAUACCCCCGUAGUUAUCCCCUGUUAGUUUAACUCGAGUUAAACAUGGGUUAAAUGUAUACUAGAGUUAAAACCUAAACAAAAUACCUACUUUGCCCCUACCUUAUUAUACUAAUCCCUAAGGUUAUCCUCUCUUUCUUUCCCAACUUGGUCGCCACCACCGGCCGGCUCCUCCGCCACCACCGGCCGGCUCCUCCGCCUCCACCUCGCCUCAUCUCNCUUUCUUAUUUUGUAGUGUUCUUGAUCACAUAUAAAAAAUAAAAAUUAAAUGAAAAUUAAAAUUUUAAAUCCAAUUUCUUUUUAUUUUGAUGGGUUGUGGGUCGCAUAUAGAAAUUAAAAUUUUGUAUUUAAAGUUAUGAACUGGGGAAACAAAAAUUGUACGACAGCCUUCUCCAUAAUCGGGGGCUUCGGUGGGGCCCACAACCGGCGAGUUUUGUAUUUAAAUUUAAAGUUUGAAUUUAAAUUGAAAUUAAAAAAAUUUUUGAAUUUUAAAUUGAAUCUAAUUUUUAAUUUCAAACUUAAAUUUUUUAUUUUGAUUUAAUAUUUCAAUUUAUAUUUAAAAUUUAUAAAUAUAUGAUUUGGAAAUCAAAAGAAGACUCUCUUUAUUCGGAGGAUUUUGUAGGUCCCACAUUUUUUUUUCUUUUUAAUUGAGGGUCAAUUGUACUAUUUGUUCCAACUUUUGCACAAUUUUUACUUUCGUCCCUAAUAUUUUUUUUUUGCAAAAGCAACUUGGAAUGUUUUCGAGUAUGACUAAAACCCGAAACCUAAAUUGGACCAUAUUAGAUUUCGAGUUGUGGCCGCCGUUUGCUAUGAGGCCUGUCUCGACGGUUUUUUCGAAUAAGUCGUCGGUAGUUUAUAUAUAUAUAUAUAUAUAUAUAUAUAUAUAUAUAUAUAUUAAUGAUAUUUAAUUAAGCAAUUUGAUCACAAUAUUUGUUUAAAUAUUUGGAACAAUUGGCACGGGUCUUAGAUUUUGUUUGGGAUUGCAGAGAGAUUGUGUUACGUGUAGUGAGAAACUACGAUUAAAAAAUAUCUUGUUUAUUUUCGCACGUAAUAUUACAUUCCACAUAUUCACGAUUAGUCGGUUACGAUAUAGUUUCUGCUAUUCCACAGGAAAGCCUAGUUAGUUAAUUCGCGAUUAAUACGCGAAUUAUUUGCGUACUUUUUAAGAUACGAAUUAAACGAGGCGUUCUGUAUUUUUCCGCAAAGUUAAAAAAAAAAGCAAUUUCUUCGUCAAAAAUAAUUAUUCGCGAAUUAUUCGCGAUUCGCGAAUAAUUCACCCAAAAAACCGGCGAUCGUUGUUGCGGACUCGUGGCCGAGGGUCGCGUCGUCGCCGCUCUUGUCGCCGCUUGCGUCGUCGUCAUCCUCCGCCGCCCUCGCAGGCGCCGGGAGCAAGGGCCGCGACUGCAGAUCCCAUCUCGCCACGGCGGAAAAGUGGAAGUUGAACAGCGAAGAAAUCAGAGCUUAUGGGAGACAUGGGUGGUGUGCGAUCCACGAGGCCAUUUCCACCUCGUGGACCGCACGAGGGGGAGGUCCACAGUGGACCUCCCUCUUACAUAUAUAUAUAUAUAUAUAUGUGUAUAUAUAUAUAACCUCAUAAAUAACCUCAUAAAGAAAAUUAAGAAUGGAUAAAACAAAAGUAAGUAUAGAUGUGUGAUUAAAGAAUUAAUGCCGAUAAAACCCAGCAACAAAUCAGCAUGUAUCGAACAGCUUAUGUGGAUCAUUUCACUCUGAACUCUUUCCUCCUCACUGCGAGCCUUAACAUGCUUAGAUCCACGAAUUGGACAAAUUAGGUAACAAAAUCACUCACAAAUUUCAGAUCCAAACACAAAAUGAUUUAGAAGCUGAAGAAAAAUAUUACAAAGAAGAAAAAAUGGUGUAAAAUCAGAAGAACUCACUUGUUGUCGAAUUUGGACUUCUUGACCUUCGAUCUACCUCAUUUAAUGGCAAAAAUUGCAAGAAAGGGAGCGAGGAAGGCAAGCCAAAGCCCCUGAGGGUGAGGGGAGAUUGGAAGAAGAAUAAAGUAGGGCUAGGAUCGUACAAAGUUAGGGUUAAAGGUAUGACUGUCAGACGAUAACCCUCGCGGCCGCGACCAGGUAAGAUCGCCGAAAAUCGCAAGAAUGAAUCAUCCGUAUCAGGAUUUGCGGCGGCAAAACUGUGAAUUAGGGAGAGGGAGAGAGAGAGAGAGCAGCCAGGUAAGAUCGCCGAAAAUUGUGGGAAUAAAUCAUCCGUAUCAGGAUUUGCGGCGGCAAAACUGUGAAUUGGAGAGAGAGAGAGAGAGAGGGGGGUCCAGUGGAAAAAGAGGAAGAGAGCAAGGUGAAAUAAAAAAUCUGAAGCAAUGGACCCACUUACCCGAAAACAGGGAGAAAGGUAAAGAGGGGCCACAGGUCAGAUGGUAAAGAGAGGAGGCAAAAGGGCCCACAUCCGAAAAAAAAGGAGCAGCCUCAAAACUGUUAAGUGCAAGAGAGAGUAGGGUGGGUCCGAAAUCACGGAGAACGCAGGAUAGGAGUUAAGGGAGAGACCCGAAAUCCCGGAGAACGCAACAAAGGGGUUAAGGGUUCACCCUUUAAUGAUAUUGGAUAGAUGUGUGUAUAUAUAUAUAUGUGUGUAUAUAUAUAUAUAUAUAUAUAUAUAUAUAUAUAUAUAUAUAGACACACACACACACACACACACACACACAUAUAUACACCCUAUAUAUAUAAUAUAUAUAUAUAUAUAUAAUCAUACACAACACACACAUAUAAUACAUAUAUAUAUUAUUAUAUAUAACUAUAUAUAUAUUACACACACACACACAUAUAUAUAUAUAUAUAUAUAAUAUAUAUAUAUAUAUAUCAUAUAUUAUAUUAUAUAUAUACAAGAUAUAUAGAUAUUGUGUAUAUACCACACAUACAUAUAAUAUGUAUGUUGUGUAUAUACACCACAUACAUAUAUAUAUGAUAUGUUAAUAUAAUAUAAUAUAUAUACACACAUCAUAUAUUAUACUUAUACUACUACAUAUACUAUAUAAUGUGUAUAUAUAUAUAUAUAUGUGUGUAUAUAUAUAUAUAUAUAUAUAUAUAUCAUACUGUUAGUAUAUAUAUAGUAUAUAUAUUAUAUAUUAUAUGUAUAAUAUAUAUAUAUAUAUAUAUAUGUGUAUAUAUAUUGUGUUAUAUAAUACACCACACAUAUAUAUAUACUAUAUUAUAUAUAUAUAUAUAUAUAUUUUCAUAAUAUAUAUAUGUAUAUAUUAUAUAUUAUAAUAUAUAUAUAUAUUAUAUUAUAUAUAUAUUUAACAUAUAGACUUAUAUAUACUAUGUGCAUAUAUGAUAGUAUAUAUAUAUAUAUAAUAUAUAUGAGAGUGAGUUAGAAUACUACUCGAUAGUAAGCAUAGCCGUUUACUUCCGAUAGUUGUUUCGAUAAACUUCCAAAUUGAACACGAUCGUUGAAUACAUGAUUUAUACCACUUGACAGUUUAGAAAUUAAAUUUAAAUCUCUUUCACAUCAUUUGCCUAAUGAUCAAAGGGUUUAAAUUUAAAUUUUAAUGGUGGAUAAGAACUUUUCCUUCAGUUUAAAACGGUGUAAGAUAUCCAAAUCAAUUGAAUUUUUGUAAAAAUUCUUAAAACUAUUUUAAAACAAGAUCUAUACUGCUUGAUACUUGAUUACAAACUCCUAUCAUCAUUUUUAAAGAAUAAUCAUUUUCAGCCAUUCCUUUUUCUGUUCACUCCAUGAUAAAAUAUAUCGAAAAGUGCGUGAAAAUCUGAUAUUUAGGUCACGUUUUAAUUUGUUUUAGUAUCAUAUUAAACGAGCCGAUCGUCAAAUAUUGCAACUCUAUCAUCAAAAACAACUCGACACGAAAACGCUGGUUUACUAUCGAGAGUAUCUAACUCAACUCUUCUAUAAUAUAAUAUUAUAUAUACCUACAUAUAUACAUAAUAUAUGUAUAUAAUUAAGUAUUAUACAUACAUACAUAUAUACAUAUAUUAUGUAUAUAUGUAUGCAUGUAUACCAUACAUACAUAUAUAUAUAUAUUAUUAUAUAUGUAAUGUAAUGUAUACAUACAUCAUAUAUAUAUAUCAUAUAUUACAUAUACUAUAUAAUAUUGUAAUGUUAUGUAUUAUAUAUGUAUUAUUAUAUACAUACAUAUAUACUAUGUUAUAUUAACAUAUUAAGUAUAUACAUAUAUUAUUAUGUACAUAUACAUAUAUUUAACAUACUACAUAUGUACAAUACAUAAUAAUAUAUAUAACAUAUAUAUCACUAAUAUACUACACAUAAUACUAUAUAUACUAUCCAUACAUUUUAUAUAUAAUAUAUAUACACAUAUGUAUAUACAUAUAUACAUAUUUAUAAUCUGUAUGUAUCAUAUGUAUUAUCUAUCCAUACAUACAACAUAAUAAUAUAUUAUAUGUAAUAUGUAUAUAUAUAUAAUAAGUUGACUAAAUGAUACUUUUUACAAUAUUCAAUAUACAAUAAGUCUAUAUAGUUUACAGCCAUUGGUCUACUUUUUUAUAUUAAUAACCACACUAUAUUAAACACUAUUCCACUCUAUCACACACUACGCACCACUACACCAUCAUCUCAACCUACACAUCUCAUCUCAUCCAAGGCUAAAAAAACACACAAGUAUCACUUCCUGAAUGCUUUUACAAGUAUUCUACCUAACUCAUAUAUAUAUAUUAUAUAUUAUAAUAUAUAUAUAUAUAUAUAUUAUAUAUAUAUGUCUUAAUAUAUUAUAUACAUAAACAUAUAUGUAUAUAUAAUGUAAUACAUUACAUAUACUACAUACCAUUAUAUACAUAAUAUAUAUACAAUAUAUAUAUAUAUAUAUAUAUAUAUAUAUAAUAUUAUAAUAUACACAUAUAUAUUACACAUAUUAUAUAUAUAUAUACAUCAUAUAAUAUAACACAAUUAUAUAACACAUACUGUAUAUAAUUAUAACACACACACACAUAUGUAUACUAUAUACACACAGCACACACACACACACACACACACACACACACACAUAUAUAUAUAUAUAUAUAUAUAUAUAUAUAUAUAUAUAUAUAUAUACUAUAUAUAGGCUUAAUACAUGUAAAAGUAUCAUGUAAUACUGUGUGUGUUUUUAGCCUUGAUGAGCAGAUUGAGUGAGCCUGAUGUGGUAGGUGUUGUAGUGUAGUAGGUUAAUAUGUUUAAUCCAAUACUAUUAAUCCAUAAACAAAGUAGAUCCAAUACUUAAACUAAUACACCAAGUGAACUUGUAAAAAGUAUCUAGGCUCAACCUCUAUAUAUAUAACUAAUAUAUACAUUAUAAUAUAUAUAUAUAUCAUAUAUUUAUAUAUAUAUAUAUAUAUUGUGUGUAUAUAUAUAUACAUAUAUGAUUAUAUAUACACACACACAUAAGCUCAGUUCACACUACCAUAUAUAUAUAUCUAUAUAAUGUAUAAUAUAUAUAUACUAUAUAUAUAUAUAUAUAUAUACAUAUAUAUAUACUAUAUAUAAUAUAUGUGUGUGUGUGUUGUGAUGUUUAUAUAUACCUACAUAUAUUAUAUAUUAUACACACNNNNNNNNNNNNNNNNNNNNNNNNNCAUAUAUGAUAUAUAUUAUGGAUAUAUAUCCUAUAUUAUAUACACACGAACACACGAUAUAUAUAAUAUAUAUAUAUAUAUAUAUAAUAGUUAAUAUACUAUAUAUAUAUAUUAUACAUAUAUAUAUGUAUGUGUGUAUUCACUAACAUACAUUUAAAUUGUAUGUGUGUUAUACACACAUACAUUAUAUUAUAUGUAUGUGCUAUAUAUAUAUAGUAUAUAUACAACUACAUAUAUAUUAUAAUAAUAAUAUAUAGUAUAUGUGUUAUUAUAUAUAUAUAUGUGUGAUAUAUAUAUAUUAUAUAUAGAUAUAUUAUUAUAUAUGUGUGUAUAGUAUAGUCAUUAAAUAUAUAUAUAUAUUUAUAAUAUAUAUAAUCUAUAUAUCAGUAUAUGUGUAUAUAUAUGUGUGUGAUAUAUAUACACACACAUAUACUAUUAUAUGAUAUAUAUACUAAUUAUAAUUUACCAUGUUGCGAUAUAUAUAUAUAUGUGCAUAUAAUAUAUAUAUAUAAUAUAUAUAUGUAUAUAUAUAUAUAUAUUAUAUACACAUAUAUAUAUUACUGUGAUUAUAUAUAUAUAUAUAUAUAUAUAUAUCGAGUUGAGUUAGAAUACUCUUCUGAUAGUAAGCUAGCGUUUUUAUCGAGUUGUUUGAUGAUAGCCAGCUUCCAAAUUUGCGAUCGGACUCCGCUUUGAACUGAUUGAUAUAACCACUUAAGUGUUUAGAAAUUAAUUUUUUUAUAAAUCUUUUCGACAUCAUUUGCCAUAUGAUCAAAGGCGGUUUCAAAAUUUAUAAUUUUAAUGGUGGAUAGAGACGUGUUUCUCGUUUUUAACGGUGUAAAGAUAUCCAUUCCAAUUCAAUUGAUUUUUUGUUAGAAAAUUCUUUAUAACCUAUUGAAACAAGAUCUAUUACUUUGCAUCUUGAUUACAAGAACUCCUAUCUCAUUUUUUUAAAGAAAUAAUCAUUUAGCCAUUCAUUUUUCUGUUUCAGCUAGGAUGGUAUAAAAAUCAAUAUCGAAAGUGCGCGUGAAAAUCUGAUUUCGUUAGGUAGUUUUUAAUGGUUUAGAUAUUAUUUAACGAGCAGGCGUCGUCAAUUUGGAAGUCUUAUCAUCAAAAACAUAUCGACAGUUUAAAAAGCGGCUAGGUUUACUUAUCGAGAGUAUUCUAGCUCAACUCGUGUAUACUAUAUAUGUAUAUAUACAUACAUAGUUAGCAUAGAUAUAUGUAUAUAUGUAUGUAUGUAUACAUACAUACAUAUAUACAUAUAUAUGUAUAUAUAGUAUGUAUGUAUACAUACAUAAGAAUAUAUGAUAUAUCUGCAUACUUAUUAUGUAAUGUAUGCUAUACAUACCUAAAUACUAUAAUAAUAUUAUACUAUCAUAUAUAAUAUAUUAUAUAUUAUGUAUGUAUGUAUUAUAUAUGUAUUGUAUGUAUAUGUACAUACUAAUAUAUAUGUAAGUAAUACAUAAUGUAUAUAUACAUAUACAUAUUAUAUAUGUUAUGUACAAAUAUACAUAUGUAUGCUACAUAUAUAAUAUGUUACAUACAUUACUAUAUAUAUACAUAUAUAAUAUAGUUAUAUACACAGUAUUUUUUUUUUUUUUUUUUUUUAUUUUUUUUUUUUUUUUUUUAUUUAUAUAUAGAUAUACAUACAUUUAUGAUAUUACAUAUAUAUAGUAAUAUGUAUAUACUAUAUACAUAUAUAUAUAUGUAUGUAUAUCUGUAAUGUAUCUAUACUACAUACACAAUAUAUAUAUGGACUGUAUAUGUAUAUUAUAUAUAUAUAGACGUGACCAUGAUAUUUUACAAGUAUCCCGAAUCAUGUGCUAUUAGGUUUUAAGCAUGGAUCUACUUUUGUUAGGUUAAUAGCCUGGAUUAACACUAUUCACCUAUCACACCUUACCACCACCUACCACAUCAUCUCAAACUCACAUCUCUCAUCCAAGGGCUAAAAACAACCAAGUAUCACUUAUGAUGCUUUUACAAGUAUUCUAGCUACUUCAAUAUAUAUAUAUAUAUUAUAUAUAUAUAUAAUAUGAUAAUAUAUAUGCUAUAUAUAUAUGUAUAAUUAUAUGUAUAUACAUAACAUAAUUUGGUAUAUAUGAUGUAUAUACAUACACUAUAUAAUAAGAUACAUAUUACACAUAUAAUAUAUACAAUAAUAUAUAUAUAAUAUAUUUAUAUAUAUAUAUAUAUUAAACAGUAUAUAACACAUAUGUUAUAAUAUAUACAUUAUAAUAUACACAUAUAUAUACACAAUAGUAUAUAUAUAUUAUACACACACACACACAAUAUGCUAUUAUAUAUACACACACACACAAAAACACACACAACACACACACACACUAUAAUAUAUAUAAUAGUAUAUAUAUAUUAUAUAUAUAUAUAUAUAUAUAUAUAGUAGCGGCUUAGAAUAUACUUGUAAAGUAUCGAUGGGGGUGCUAUUGGUGUUUUGUAGCCCUUGGAUGGAGAGAUGUUGAGGUUGAGAUGAUGGUGGCUAGGUGGUGGUAGGUGGAGUUAGGUGAAUAGCUGUUAAUCAUAUGACUAUUAAUAAUAAAAAAGUAGAUUCCAAUAGCUUGAAACUAUAGCACCAUGAUGGUGAUACUUGUAAAAGUAUCAUAGCUCACUCUAUAACUAUAUAUAAUAUAAUAUAUUACAUAUAUAUAUUAUAUAGUAGCAUAUAUAUAGUAUAUAAUAUAAUAUUAUGUGUGUGUAUAUAAUAUAUACUAUAGUAGUUGUAUGCUAUAUAUACACACCACACACACACAAUAUAUAUAGUAUAUUAUAUAUAUGUUAUAUAUAUUAUAUAUAUGAUAUAAUAUAUAUACAUAUUAUAUAUAUAUAAUUAUAUUUAUAUAUGUGUGUGUGCUUGUGAUGUGUGUGUAUACUAUACAUAACAUAUAUGUAUAUAUAUAUACACACACCAUAUAUAUAUAUAUAUAUAUAUAUAUAAUUUUUAUUUAUAAAUAUAUAUUCAUUUAUUAUAUAUAUUAUUUUAUUUUUAUAUAUAAAUAUUUAUAUAAUAUUUUAUUUAUAAAUUUAUAAUUAUUUAUUACUAUUUUUAAAUAUAUAAAUUUUAUGUAUUAUUAAUAUAUGUUUAUUAUUAAUAUAUGAAUAUAUUUAAUCUAUAUAUAAAAAUUAUAAUAAUAAUAUAUAUAGUAUAUUAAUUAUUAUAUAUUUAAAAUAUAACCGAAUUUUUGAUUCCGAAUUUUUAAUUGGUGAACGUAUAAUAUCCGUAUAAAUCACGUAUCCGAAUAAUUACCAAAUUCGUCUUUUAGCCAUAUUUUUUAACGAAUCUAAAAAUUAAAAGACGAAUUUUAUCCGAAUUAUACCUGUAUCGAAUUUUUGCCUAAUCCGAAUUAACUAACUAUGCAAGAAAGUAUAGAAAUAGAUCCCUAAAUGCUUUUAUUCCAACUCCAUUUUAUCUAAUAGCAUCAUAUAGACCUCAAUACCAAACUAAGUCUUACUAAUUUGAAGACCAAAGUGUAAGCAAUUUGAUCACAAUAUUUGUUUAAAAAAAAAAAUUUAGAACAAUUAUCACGGGUCUUACUAAUUUGAAGACCAAAAGCGUAAUUAGUCCAAAUAAAGAUAGAGUUAAAUAUCGAUUGGUUUUGUUCAAUUAGUAAUUUUAUUCAAGAAAAAAUAUAUUAAACUAUCUAACAAAUUUUAUAAUGCCUAAUUGUUAAAAUUAAAAGUCGACCAAUUAUAUUUUGGAUAUUUCAAAAAUUGUAGAUGUAAAAUUGAUCACUUAUCAGAUUAUAAUAUAAUAUUAAAAAUUGAUAUUAAAAUCAAAGUAAAAUCGUAUAAAAUUUGUCUAAACUAUGAAUCAAUUUGAAUUAUCUAUUCAACUUUUUAAAUUUUUAUUUUUACUAUAAAAUCAUUCUAUAUGUUCGAUUUUAAAAUUCACGUAUAAAAAAUCCCCCAGGCACGCUCGCGUGCGCGCUCGUGCCCGCACCUCGCCCGCGCCCGCUCCCCCGCAUGCCACCCCCCCCUCGGCUCCCCUUCGCCGCCACGUGUACUAAAACUCCCGAUUCAUAUAUUUACUAGUUUACGCGCGAUGCAGCGAGUAGAUAAUAAAAUCUAAAAUUUCAAAUUUUAAAAAAUAAAAUUAUAGUAAGAAUUCUAAAUACUAAUUUUUCUAAAUUAUAAAAUUUUGAAUGAAAGUUAUAUGGCUCCAAAACAACACUAUUCUUCAAUAAAUGUGGUUAGAAACUUUAGAAUUUUACCAAAUUCUAAAAUUCACACUAUAAAGUUCAUAUUAUAAAAUUCAAAAUAAAAUAAGUCUAUUACAUAUAUUCUUAAAAUAUUAUAGAAAUUAAAUCUUGUGAUAGUUUUGUUGGGAAAAUCUUCACUUCUCUUCUUCAUCGGAAUCAGAAGACUAAAUUAAACUGCAAAUAAGAGUACACAUUCAAGUUUUUUUCUAUUUAUAUCAAAUAAAAUAUAAACUAUGCAUUAGAUAUUUUAAAGCAAUAUUUUAAACUUCUUAUGAACAGUAUGUUUGUAUUUUAUUUCUUAGAUCUUAUUUACCAGUUGGUUAAGACAUUAGGAAGGUGGCAUGAUACGUUGUUUGAUAUAUAUAUAUAUAUAUAUAUAUAUAUAGAAUGGAGUUUUAUAUGAAAAUGACUUGAUAAAAUUAGAUAGAAAAAGUUAAGAAUUCAACAAAAAACUCAAUUUAUAUUCAGAGAUGAUCCUGCACAGUUUAAUUUAGAGUGUAAUUUGUUAAAAUUAAAUCAUUAGUUAAAUUUUAAUUUAUUUAUUGAGUUAUAUUUUGUUAUAAAUUGGAUUUGAAUGGGACUAAAUAAUUUAAGUUGAUUUGUGGGUAGAAGUAGCAUAAAAAAAUAAAAAGAAAGUUGUAGAUGUAGAUGAAUCAUUAGCAACAACAGCACUAUAAUAUGGCAAAAUUAAAAUAAUUAUAAAUUUCAAACAAAUAAUUAAUAUGGCAAUAUGUAAUUAUUUUCAUAAAUCGGCUAUUCCUAGAAACCUCCACAUCAACAAAAGAACAAAACUGUCCAUCUGCAACCAUAGUAAUUCCAUAUCUUCGAGGAGGUAACGAAAAUUGUAAGGAUUGAGAUGUUUACAGUGCAACUAAACUCUUCGUUGACGAUAUUUAUGUGUGUAAUUUAAUUACAUAAGCACUCGUCAAGUUUCAGAAGAAAAUGAGCUAAAACGGAGAAGUUACGCGAUUAUUAGUUUUCACUUAAAGUGAAUAGUAACUCCGGUUUUCCGGAGAAGCCACGGAGUAGAGUUGGCUUUCGGCGCGUAUCGGACUCCGAGCAUAGAACUCCAAUAGCUCGUUUCGAACAGUUCAGCUAUUCUGGAACCAAUGGCACUGACGGAUUUCGGAUCCGAUGCACGGUUUUCGAGAAAAAGGAGUUUUAACAAAAAGAGGGUUUCCGCUCUUUGCUAUUCGUGCAUUUUAAAACUCCUCGUGCUCUGUGCUUGUGACCUGGGAUUAGGUGAGAGUUGUUUUUGGUACCUACUGGUGGUAGGGAAUUCAAAUUUGAAUUUGGUUGUGAACCCCAAUAAAUACACAUCGGAUGGCGAAUGGGGUUGUCAUUGGGUUUAUAAGAGACUUAGACACUAGUAAUAAUAACUGGGCUUAAGCAUUUUGGCUGGGUGGUUUUGGGCCCAAUGAGUUAUUGUUGCUAGUGGGCUGGGUCGUAUCAUUUGGUAUCAGAGCCGGUCUCACCAGCUGGACAUAUGUGGCGAGUCUCGGCUGAGCUAGGGUCUGGAUGACGGGCUAGCGAGACGAGUCUCACAUCGCCUGGUGAUCUUGGACUGGUGUGUGUGUUUUGGACUGAUCAGAGGACGUCAGCGGCCUUAACGGGGGAGUCCGUGAACCCAAUAAUCCACAUCGGAUGGGAAUGGGUAGUUGUCAUUGGGUUAUAAGAGACUUAGACACUAGUAAUAAUAACUGGGCUUAAGCAUUUUGGGCUGGUGGUUUGGGCCCAAUGCAGUUAUUGUUGCUAGUGGCGGCUGGGUCGUUACAGGAUUAAAGGUUGUUUAGGGUUUAUACUUCGGGGUAUAUGCGCGAUAUACGAAUUAAUUAGAGACGGGGUGGGUUCCGUCGUGAAUUCGUGACCAAAUCUGACAAAACAAGAUGGUAGUUGGAUGCCCUCAUUGUGCUGAACGCGAUGGUGCGAUCCGUUCGGAAAUCCGAUGAACGGAUUGCCGGAUAUUGCAGUGUUGUUCGCUAAGGGUCGAGAGUGGAAAAUCGCGGAAAUUCGCAAAAGUCGUUAUAUUUUAUGUACCGAUUUGCCAAGGGAUCUGUUAUAGGAAGGAUUCGUGCAUUUUACACGUGCUAGCAGGGUCUGAACUGAAAAUAUUCAGCUUUGGGGACGUUUAAGCAUUCAUGUCGCUUGUAAACAAGUUGCGACUAGGGGUUUCAUUGCAUGAAAACCUAGAUCUAGCCGACCCAAUGCCUAGCUAUGCCCUAGUGAACACCAGACAGCUCUGCUGCCUAGGCAGGAACCCCGUGGCCGUACCCCGUGGCGGCAAUCUCCCCGGCCGCCGGAAAAAGCUUGGGUGGCUUUCCUCCACCAUAUUCUAUACCUAACCACCAUAGAUCGACCUUCAUCUCUGUCGUGGCCCUCAGGGAAGAGAUCCACUAGCCUUUGGCCUUGUCCUUGGCUGCAACCUAACCCCAGGCGCCGUCUCUGCCGCCCCGAGCGCGCCAUCAUCGCCCUGGCUAGAUGCGGCCAGAUCUGAAGCAGAUCUGGCGAAGGCCGUCGGGGAUCUCCUCCUCCUCGCCCUGCUGCCGUCGGGAUUGAAGCGUCACCCUCCUGGAACUCCCCGGCGCCGUCCCCGCAGUCGUUCGCGUCCUGCACGCGCCGCCGGCGCCGCCCCAGCUACCUGCGGCCACCCGCAGUCACCACCGGGCCGAGCCUGGGUGAUCUCGGUAUCCCGAGCCGGCUGACCUCCCUUUGGCCGCGGCCGCCCUUCUGUCGACGCCGCGCGACCUCCGGCAACCCGGCACGCUCGUCCCCCGCCGUCCCCGCGCGCCGCCGGUCGCCGCUGAGAUCACCUGCGGCCGCCCAGACCCGUGCGGGCCGAGCUCGGGCCCGCUCGGCUUCCAAGCGCCGCCGCCGCCAACCGGGGGUUGCACCGCCUUCUCCUCGGCCUCCGCCGCCGAUUCGUCGCCACCCCGACCUCCUCCGGCCGCCGCCGCGCCGCCGGGAAGAUCAAACCCGAGAAGGAGUGGGAGGCGUGGAUCUCAGCCGCCGCGCCACCGGUUGCCGCCCGCCACCGGCCAUCACCCUCCCCGGACCUCUCGGACCGACUGUUUCCAUCUCCGGCCGGACCGCCUGCCUCCCGGCCACCGGCGGCUAACCCUAGCUCCCUGCACUCCGGUAAGACUGUUUUUAGGUUACAGCUUACUGUUUGAGAUUUUCGGUUGCCUUUCCGGCAAUCCGAGGACACCCCGAUGACAGAGGAAGUGAGCACGGUCAUCCUUACUUCGUGCUGAACAUCGUGCUCACCUUCGUUGGGGUCAACGAUGCCCAGGUUUGCGAGUUUGACGCAAUGUAAGCGCUGUGCGCGCUAUUUCGCUGAGGUUCGCGUCGUGUGUGCGACUGCCACAAGGGUUGGCAGUGCUCCGAAAGGUGAGCACGGCCUCCGGCACGUCGAAACCUGUAAAUGGGUAUCUUAGCUCGGCUGAUUGACCUCUGGUUUGCGUAGACGGACCAUAAAAGCCCGAGAAAUACAUGAAACAAUGUGAUUUCUUAGAAUUGGGAGGGCUUUUAUGCAAUUUGAUUCGUCGUGGCUGCUGUUGGAAGCAUUUGCGGGUAGUGGGUAACCUCUGGACUGAUUGUCCAAGGCCCCAAGUCCUUGCGGAAAUCGAAAAGUGAUUUUCGGAGCGUUUUUUGGCGAAAUCCGCCGAUAGAACGUGGUUUCGGUUCGGAAUUCUUCCGACGGUUCCUCGUGAGCAUUUCUUGAGUCGCUGAGCCUUGUUGGCUGGUCACUCACAUCAUUUCAGGGGUUUUGAAAUGGCGGGUGAGCGACGGUGGGUUCCGGUGUUGAAAUAGACACUCUCGGGAACCCGGAUCCGAACGAUUAUCCGACGAUAAUUGUUUGGAGGCGAGAUUUUGGGAUUGCUGCCAAGACAUCUUAUUUGAUGUGUUUAGUGGCAGCGGGUGACUCGUAUCAUGAGUCGGUGCGUUUCGGGACAUUUUAGUGGUCCCGACGGAGUCCCGGUGCGAUUUUCGGGACUUCCGGCGAGUUACGGUAAUCGGUAUUGGGAAACCGAUCUCCGUGGGAUUGCUUAUGGGUUAUGCUUUUAGGGUUUCUUAGUUGUGGGUUAGACACUAACCUAGUGGACCCUCCUUAGGUCCGGUUGACGUUCUUUUGCAGUCAGGAGACAGGCGCGACAUUUGUACAGGUGGGUACUUCGAUCCGACGUUGGUACAGUGGUGCACGCUCGGUGAUGGUUUCUUACCUUUGCUCUUUCGUUAUUAUCUAGCAUAUAUAUAUCUUGAUAUAUAGUGUUGAGCCUAGCACCAUGUUGUUCAGUUACACUCUACUCGGUUGUUCUCUUUAUAUCAUGAGUAGGAGUAGAGUAGUCAUACCAUAUUUCUUUAUUGCGCUACUUAGCUAUUCUGCAUAUCUUGUAUCAUGUUUAGAGUAGAGCGGUUUCGUGAUUUUAUGUGAAAUCGGUGACCUAGUUGAUUUGUUCUUGUAUCUUAUAUCUGUAUAUAGUCGGUUUGUUCCUUGACUCUUGUUGUUUGAUGACCUUUGAGGUCGGUGUACCCUGAGGGGUAGGAUUGUCGACUAGUGGCCGACGGUAGUUCUAGAUCAUAUACUCAGAUGACUUGUUGACCGAUUCUUGCAUAUAUACAGUAGUUGACUCAUUGAUCAGUAUCUACAUACUGUGGGUAGGAUGUUGAGUUGUUCCAUCCCAGUUGACUUGAUUAGUCAGUAUUUGCAUAUGUUUGAGAGGAUGUCGAUGUUGUCCCAUCCUAGUUGACCUGAGUGGUCGGUUCUUGUGCUUCUUUACAGUUGAUGACCUAUGCGGUCGAUAGGCCCUGGGGGGCAGGAUUGUCGGCUGGUUGCCGACGGUUGAUCAUUGACCAUAUUGCAUUGAUCGCCCGAUACUCGUCGCAUUUCACGAACACUGGCGGUCUGAUCCACCGCAAGGAGUGUUCUUUUCCGGAAAAGUGGUUGAAUGGUGACAACCCGUGAGCCCUAGAGGGGUUAUAUGCAUGUUAGAGCGGCAGUGGUACUGUCGGGAGGUGUUGCGGUGCGGACCUCCAGGGCAUUGGCUUGAGGUCUGCGGUGCUGACCAAGAGAGCAUUGGUUUCAGAUUGGGUACUUUUGGACUGAUUGUCCCAUUGACGCAUAUGUUUAUAGUAGCAGUCGUUGCAUGCAUACUUACAGAUCUUACUUUAUAGUUGUCUUGCUACUAUAGUAGAUAUUCAUGUAUGCUUUCUGUUCCAGUUACAGUAGCGGUAGCCGUUUAUUCAGUAUAGUUCUUACUUCCUUUCAGUUUAUCGCUAUUGUAUAUCUGCUCAUUACCUUGUUUAUUUCCACUGACCCAUGUUGUUGUAUAGUUCUUCCUGAUCCGGUGAGUACUCCUCGCCUUCUUCGGCUUGCGGUACCCACUGGGAGGGGAGACAUGUUUACAUGUUCUCACCUCCCCCACCAUUUUUCAGGUAUCGCGGGCGUUGAGUAGUGGGACGAGACGUGAGGUACGUGUGUAGCGGUCGAUAGAGCUUCCGACCCAGGUUAUUUCGAUUUAGCUAUUACCCUUUUUAUUUCUGUGGAUAUAUAUAGCUUAGUCGGUUUACAUGGUUCAGUUUUGUUUUAUUAUUUGAAUAUCUGAGUUUUCAGUUGGUUUUGGAAUGUAAUAAAGGAAUUGUGUUUUCUUGAAAUAAAAGGUUUUCUACCCCUCGUGGUAGCGUUUCUUAAAGAAUAAAGGUUUCCGUGUAGGGAACAGUUUUCAAAAGAAUUUUCGUGAAUUUCUAUUUAAACACUGAAUGUAAAACUGUGAUGUGAAUGGUGAAUGUAUGGAUGUAUAGUUAUCUUUAUAUUCAUUUGGUUGUGGUUGUUUCCUGGCUAUACUCUUGUACUUGUGCGAUGCCAUGCAAAUACAGGGGAGACUCUGUCCGUGUGAAUAGUGGAUUCCCUGUAUUUGUGGCGGAUCUGGCAUACCCUGGGGUCAGGUUUGCAAAAAAAAAAAAUUUCGCUGUGUUUUUAACCUAAAGGGACCCCGGGGCGUGACAAAAAUUGUACAUAGAUUUUGCGAAGUAAACAGCGAAAGUUGAUGUCGAUAUUAACAGUUGAUGCCAUUUAUUGUCGAAGAAUACAUGCAGGACUUUUGUUUUAGUUUUGACAUGUGUUUUACUUUAAACACAUAUUCUAUUAAAUAAUAAAGGCAAAGAAAAAUAUUUAAAAGUAAUAAAGUUCUAACUAAAGCAAAAUCAUAAAUACAAAAAUACAAAAACAAAGGAAGUCAAGAAUAAAGACUCUAAACUAAAGGCAUAUUGAGCAUGGAUAAAAACAAUGCACAUAUAGAGGGCCUCGGAAUGACUUCUUUUUUAACUUUUUAAUGUAAAUAUGAGCAUAUGCACUACAACUUAUCGGAGGUUUGAAGGAAUGCAACACCAAACAGGAGAUCAAUUAACGUAGUAGAUCGUUGAUAGAUUCCUGAGGGAAAAUAAUAAAAUUGUAUGUAAUACAUUAAUAUUUUUCAUGUAACUACAAACAUAUCUAAAAUCAAAGCAAAUAUGAGCACAUAGGUAUUAGGAUUUACCGAAAAUCCGAAGGAAGGCAACACCAAACAGUAGAUUAAUCAAUGUAGUGGAUCGCCGAUGGAUUCCUGAGGAAAAAUAACAAAACAUCAAAUAACAAAACAUAAAAAAAAUGUACAUCUGUACAUAGUCUGUACAUAGUAAUAAUAAAGUGAAAAUAUAGAGUAUCUACCAUCUACUACCUACCAUUGAUAAAAUAUUGUUGGAAAAGAUGCUGGAAUAAAGCAAAUGCCAAUGUUAUUAUAUAGGCAUAUCCAUCUUCUCCUUCAACGGCUGAAGAAGAUAAAUCUCUUCUCCUUCCGCUAACCUUCCACCUCUCUAUCUUCUCCUAAUUGAAGAGGAAUAUCGAGCAUGAAGGGCCAAAGAACGGAAACGGCCGAUGAUGAAGAUGAACAGGGUUCUUACUGAACCCUGUUCAUAGCCGGUUCGGUUUAAUAAAUGAAAGAAAGGGAAAUGAAGAGAAAGUAGACUGGUUCACAUUGAACCCUAUUCACAGUCGGUUCAGUUUAAUAAAAGAAAGAAAGGGAAAUAGAGAGAAAGUAGACCGGUUCACAUUGAAGAUGAACCAUGUUCAUAGCCGGUUCACAUUGAAGAUGAAUCCUGUACACCACCGGUUCGGUUUGGUUCGGUUCGGUUCAAAUAAGAAAGGCAAGUCAGUUCAAGUAAGGACUGAAAAAACGAAUUCAAACAAAAUAUAUAACAACCAACUGUCCCUAGAGCAACUGGCAAAGGGCUUGGUGGUUGGUACCCGAGACCCAAGUUCGAAUCCUAGUUGAUUCACAUUUCCAGCUAAGUUUAUUUCUAAAUGAAAUAAAUGAAGCGGGUAGCGUGCUACCUAUCUCUCAAAAAAAAAAAAAAAGACAAAAUAUAUAACAAAGUAGACCGGUUUGAUUCGAAAAAAAAGAAGAGCCAGGUUCGGUCCAAGUAAGGAGUGAAGUAUUAGAUUCAAACAUAUAUAACAAAGUAGACUGAUUCGAUUCAAAAAAAAAGAAAAAAGUAGAGAUGAGCCGGUUCAAUAAAAAACUAGUUUCAAUCCGGUUCGAUUCAAGUCAGGAGUGAAGAACCGGAUUCAAACAUAUAUAACAAAGUAGACUGAUUUGAUUCAAAAAAAAUAAAAAGUAGAGAUGAGCCGGUUCAAUAAAAAACCGGCUUCAACACAAAAUAUAUAACAAAAUAUGUCGAUUCAGUUCAAAAAAAUAAAUAGAAAGAAGAAGAGGUUCAAAAAAGAAUAAUUGAAAGAAGAGAAAAAAAAAUCGGAUUCAAACAAAAUACAUAACAAAAUAGACCAGUUCGGUUCAAAACUUUUUUUUAAAAAUAAAGUAUAUAAAAAAACUUAUUGGUUCGGUUCAAAAAAGAAUAAUUGAAAGAAGAGAAAAAAAAAAAUAGAAAAGUCCUAAACUAAGGAGGAAGCGCCACAUCAUCUUACACAUUGGAGAUUAAUAUAGUUGUAUAGAAUAUAUAACAAAGUAGACCGAUUCGAUUCAAAAAAAAUAAAAAGUAGAGAUGAGCCGGUUUAAUAAAAAACCGGUUUUGACACAAAAUAUAUAACAAAAUAUGUCGGUUCAGUUCAAAAAAAUUAAUAGAAAGAAGAAGAGGUUCAAAAAAGAAUAAUUGAAAGAAGAGAAAAAAAAAUUGGAUUCAAACAAAAUACAUAACAAAAUAGACCAGUUUGGUUCAAAAAAUUUUUAAAAGAAGAUGAGUCGGUUGAAUGAAUAACCGAGUUCGACACAAAAUAUAUUAAAAAAAGGGAUAAUUGCCUAUUUACCCCCCAUACGUUUGAAAAUAUCCGAUUUACCCCUAUCUUUUUUUUCCUUCUAAAAUACCCCUUAUAUGUUCCACCGUUAUUGCAAAAUACCACCGCAGUUAUCUCCUGUUAAGUUAACUUGAGUUAAAUGUGAGUUAAAUAUCUACCACAGUUAAAAAAAUAAAAUGCCAAUUUUGCCCUUAACAUAAGGGCAAAUAAGAAAUGUUGGUGACGGUAGAGGGGUAUAUUUAAAAAGGCCAAAAGUCAAAAUACUUUUUGUGCCCCUGACUUUAAGUGCAAAUAAGAAAGUUAGUGAAGGUGGAAGGGUAAAUUUGAAAGGGCAAAAUAGUAAUUUUACAGAGAUAACAGAGUUAAUUAACAAAUUUUAACUCUAAGGGUAUAUUAGAAAUAGGUUAGAACGUAAAAAGAGUAUUUUCAAUAUUAGCGUUCUAAAAGGGGUAAAUCGGAAAGUCGGGAACUUUUCAGGGGUAUAUAAGGAAUUGCCCCUAAAAAAAAACUUGUUGGUUCGGUUCAAAAAAGAAUAAUUGAAAGAAGAGAAAAAAUAAAAAGAAAAGUCCUAAACUAAGAAGGAAGCGCCACGUCAUCUUACACAUUGGGGAUUAAUAUAGUUGUAUAGACCAGUUGGUUCAAAAAAAUUUAAAAACCAAAUGAGUCGGUUCAAUGAAGAACCGAGUUCGACACAAAAUAUAUAAAAAAACUUGUUGGUUCUGUUCAAAAAAGAAUAAUUGAGAGAAGAGAAAAAAUAAUUAGAAAAUUCCUUAUAAGGACUGAGAAUUUGACUGUGUAGUUAAACUCUGUGUUGACGAUGUUUUUAUGUGUAAUUUAAUUAUAUAAACACUCGUCAAGCUUCAGGAGAAAAUGAGUUAGGAUGGAGAAGUUACGCGACCUGUACUAGUCACUUAAAGUGAAUAGUAACUCUGGUUUUCCGGAGAGGCCAAUUAGUGGAAAUGGCUUCUGGUGCGUAUUGGACUCCGUUCAUAGUGAUCCAAUAGCUCGUUUUCAAUGGUCCGGCUAUUUUGGAACCAUUGGCGCUGAUGGAUUUCAGAUCUGACACACGGUUUUCGGGGAAAUUGAAAAUACAUGUUUUCUAUGUAUUUGUGUGCGGGAUUUGCCUAUUGGUGAGAGGAUGGAUUUCGUCGCGAAUCUGCGACCAAACCAGACGAAACAAAAUAGUGAGUUUAAUGCCCCUGUCGUGUUGAUCGCAUUAGUGCGAUCCAUUCGCAAAUCCAAUGGACUGAUCGCCGGAUAUCGUGUGAUUAUCGAGGAGAGGUCAAAAUGGCAAUUUUGUAUCUUGCGCAAAACCCUCUAUAUUUUAUGUACCGAAUCGCGUGAGAUCGGACGUGGAGAUGCGUACGCGCAUUUUACACGCACUGGGAGGGACUCAAAUGAAAUUAAUAAGUGUCGGAGGACUAUUUUGCAAGGUGGCCAUAUUGUAUAUAUAUGGCAUCUAGGGUUUUCAAGUGGAAACCCUAACCUUAGAUGUCCUCCUCCCUCAGCCGACCUCCCUGCCACCCCCAGCACCUCCCUCUGCCCUAGCCACGCGCACCCCAGCCAACUGCGCACGCUGCCGGCUGCCGGAGAGGCUCCUCCUCCCUUUCCUCCACCAUCGCCAUCACUACCUUCACCUUUCUCUGCCCGAGCAUCAGCAUGGAGGGGCCCCUCACCCUCAGGCUCCUCCCCUGGCCGUGCCUGACCUCCGGCGACCCUCCCCUACCAGUCCCCGCCGUCCCCGCACGCCGCCGUCGCCGUCUAGGCGCUCUGCGGCCAACUGGGUCAGCUUGGGCCGAGCUUGAGUUAUCUCAUGGCCCGCAAGCUGCCGCCGCCUGGAACCUGCCGCGCCACGCUCCACCGACCCUCGGCGACCUCCUCGCCGGUCGCCGCCAGCCCGGGCCCGUCGCCGUCGCCGCCGGCCCUGCGCGUCACCGUCGCAGCUCCUGCUAGCCUAUGGCCGCCCCGAGCCAGUUCGGGCCGAGGCGGAGCCAGCCUUUCCCCUCGCGCCGCCGCAGCCUCCCACCGCCGGCUGGUGUGAGCGCCGGUUCUGCCUGGCUUGUCGCACCCAUCCGCCGCCAGCGCCCCCACUGUCGGAGCUCCCUGUUGGCCGGAUUGGGCCCGUGCUCUCCACGGGUUUGUGUGGCUAGGGCAUCAGUGCCCGUCGCUGCCGUCGCCUUCCGUCACCUGCCGACGCACGCCCCGGCCUCCCUCCGUCGCCCGCACCCGCCUGCUGCCAAUGCACCCGCCGCCGGCCGUGCCCUAGCUCCACUUUGCCCGGUAAGCUUUUUGUAAGCAUUCUGUGCACUGUUCAGGAUUCCGGUCGCUUUUCUAGCGAUCUGGAGACACCCCAUGUCAUGGCCCGGGACCGCCGAUUUGGUUGGUUCGGGCACGUCAACAGACGCCAGACGGACAACACCUUCCACUGCCUGCCCAAGACUCAACACAAGUAUCAACAUGUAUAUAAAUUUGCGCAAGCGGAAAUAGAGAUAUACAUGGCUUGCACGAAGGCAAGCAACAACUAAAAGUGAGAGUUCUACACUAUAACAUCCAUACAAGUACUAUGAUUACUUUUAAUCAAAUACAUACUUAUAAUCAUUUAUAUUCUUUCAUAUACAUCACAUGAUUAUCAUCCAAAACAUAAGUCUUUUACAUUUAUACGUCAUUUUCUACAUUUGCUCAUCAUAAACAAAAUAUGAUAACAUCGGGAUAUGAACUAUACUCGGGUAGUCACUAGCUAGGGUGCGAUACCCUUACCACGGUCCUCGACCGCCUUGCUCGGACCUGGAUCUGAAAAAAUAGUGGGGUGAGAACUACAAGAAAGUUUUCAGUGGGUUCGGCCGCCGACCUCACCGACUUUCCCACCAGGUCUAAACCAGGCAUAAGUAGAAGAAGCAGAUAGAUAGGUAACCAUUCUAAACAAAUGCAGCUACUAUACUUGAACAAGAAUACUAACAAUAUAUGAUGCUCAUGAUGCAUGCCAAUUACCUUUCUCAAUACCCAAUCCUCUCGGCUAACCCAUAGGUUUCGCCCAAAAAUAACUCACCAACUCAAAUCCUUACUAUCGGGGAGAAACUCCUACAACCCGAUGGGACCAUUCUCUGGGGAAACUACAAUCUAGUGAUGACUACUCCGAAGCUCAUCGCUCGAGGGGGUGCGACCGCCCUCAAGCCAAGACUUACAGGUGAGUAUGAUCCAAUCCUUAAUUAUAAGAAUGCCAUGUUCAAUCCAUUCCUUAACUAUAAGGAUGCCAUGUUCACAAUGCCCCAACACACUAUGUGUUCUAUUCUCUAGCAUUCAUUAUGCUCACUAAUAUCACAACACAAAGUGUCUCAUUCUCUAGCAUUCAUUAUGCUCACUAAUGCCACAAUGUGCUAUUUCACUCACUUGUCAUAAUGUCACCAUGUUCUUUACCUCAACUAGGUUGUAAGAUAAUGAAUCCUCGUCGUGUUAAACCACUUUUGGUCAAAAUGGCCAAAGUGUGGCGAGAGAGAUGGUUGGACAUGGUCCAUAUGACACUCCAACAAUGUUGGAAGGGUUAAAGUUGAGUCUCGAUUAGGUUAGAAGAGUUUUAGCAUUGCUCGGCGCGAAAUAGAGCUAAAGCAUUGCCAAAACUGCAGUCUUGACACUGUGUAUCGGUACUGAGGAAAAGGUACCGGUACCAGGCAAGCAACCCGAGAAGGUUGCUCUCGGGUUUGGCUAUUUCGGGGCUGAGUACCGGUAUGCACCAAGGCAGUACCGGUACUCCGCAACAAACCGAGGAUAGCAGCUCUCGGGUUUGGGCUGUUGACAAGGGGCGUACCGGUGACACGAACCCGCGUACCGGUACGCAGCGCCUCGAACAACAGAGUUGGUCUGCCGUAAAUAAGAAAAAAAUGAGGGCUUGUUUGUAAUUGUGGCAGCUUAUAUAAGCCCCACACUCUCUUCUCUCCUAUUCACAGCCAAAGAACACCCUCGCCUCUCAUUUUUCUCCCUCUCUCUCUGUGACGCCCCAACUUCCCAGGGGGUCACCCAUCCUAGGACUACUUCUGUCCUAGCACGCUUAACUCUCUUAACCUCUUGGGCCUUGCCACCACCCAAAAUGCUUAAGCCGGGUUAAGAGUUUAGCCCUAUUAUAUCUCAUAUAUAGGACUAUCUGGGGUCUCACAAUCUCCCCUCCUUUAAGCCCUGACGUCCUCGUCAGGCUCAGACUCACAAGUAGCAGGCGAUGUGAGACUCAUCUCGCUAGCCCGUAAUCCAGACCCUGGCUCAGUCGAGACUCAUCUCACACUUCCGGCUGGUAAUUGUCUCUGAUACCAUCUGUGACGCCCCAACUUCCCAGGGGGUCACCCAUCCUAGGACUACUCCCGUCCUAGCACGCUUAACUCUCUUAACCUCUUGGGCCUUGCCACCACCCAAAAUGCUUAAGCCGGGUUAAGAGUUUAGCCUUAUUAUAUCUCAUAUAUAGGACUAUCUGGGGUCUCACACUCUCUUUCUAGGAACUCUCCCCCAAGGUAGAUUGGAGGAGGAUUUGGAGGAUAUUUUUGGAGCUUGAAGGUGGAUCUUCAUCUUCUUCUUCUUCCUUAGCUUGGAGAAAGAGCUGGGUUGAGGUAAGCUUCUUACCCUCUCAUGAUGGAUUGUUAGGGUUUGGCUUAGAUCUCUUAGAACCUAGCUAAAUGGAACCCUAGAUGCUAGUAUGUGUGGCUAUUGCUAGAAUCAUGAGCUUUUUUUGAAGUAUUCUUGCAAUAGUUGCAUCUUAGGGUUUAGAAAGGGGCUUUUGCUCAUAGGUGGUUUUGAGCCAAAUUGACCUCAUAUAACUUCAAUUGAAGGUAAAAUCGACGUUGUGGACAACUCAAAUCGAAGUCCCUAUGGUCGUGUGGUGAGCUAUUGAAGAAAAGGACCAUUUUUGCUUCGUUUGCGCAGAGACGAGCCGAAGCAACGUCCAAAAAUCACAGAACUAGGAUUCUAGCAUCACGGCAUCACCAAAAGCUCGGGGGUGCUAUUCGAAGCCAUCGGGCUUCAUUCUAUGUCUAUGUUACUUUGUUAAUCUUGCAUCUCUCAUGUUGAUUAUGCAUUGUAGGAUGUUGAUAAUUGCAUUUCCAUUCCUUAUAUGCUUCCUUGGUUGAAAUAGCAUUGUGAGUUGAGCACAUGAUAUAUUGGAUGCGUGAGGAUUGGGUCUUAACAUGAAAUCCUAUAAUGCCGAUAAUAAGGGUGAACUUGGUAAAUGUAAUGACAUAGACGAGUGGCAUACAAAACUAUAUGUGAUGACAUAAUGAGUGGCACAUGAACUAGUGUAAUAGAAACACUUAUGACAUGAUGAACCUAGGGAUAGAUAAUUUUCCCAAGUUAUGGACAUAUGACAUGUGAACUUAGUGUAGUUGAGACACUUGAACAUGAACAUUGGGAUAGUUGAGUUCCCGAGUUGUUGUUAGCCCUAGUUGGUAGGGUAUCCUCAGUUGACGAGGAUUGGAUCACACUCACAUAGUCUGUUCUCGCUUGGCGGUGGUCGCUCCACCCAAGCAGUGAGCUCCGGAGUUAUCACACUAGGGGCAGACGUGGUUGUCCCGCAGACGGUCUCGGGUGGGUCGAGUGGCUGGGUCUCCUCACCUAUGGGAUUUGCACUGUGAGUCGAGGCCAACCUUCGGGUUAGCCAAGUGGAUUGGGUAAUGAACUAAUGAAUGACAUACUUGUUGAACAUAGUAGUAUGAUAGUUGACUUCAUUACUAUAUAGUUUUUUCAUUCAUUCAUCUUGAUUGAGGCAUAGUAGCAUGAUCGUAGAUUUCAUUACUAUGUAGUAGUUGCUUUCAUAUCUAUCUAUUUACUUAUGCCUGCUUAGACCUAGUGGGAAGAUUGGCGGAGUCGGCGGCCGAACCCACUGGGAACUAUUAUUAGUUCUCAUCCCACUUUGUUGCAGGGCCGAGUUCGAGCGGAUCGGGUGAGGACCACGGUAAGGGCAUAGAGCCCUAGUUAGUUAGUAGCUUUUCUUUAUGCAUUAGUAUACCAUGUACAGUUGAGAGGACAUGUUGCAUUUUGUGAGAGGCUACUACUUAUAGAUGUAUAUGUAUUUUGGAGUUGUGGAUGUAUCUAUAUGUCAUGAGAUGAACAUGUAAACCAAUGUAUCCAUUUUGAUAUGAUGUAAACAGUUGAAUAUGAAUGUAAUAGAUAGUACUCUCUCUUGUGCUUUUGCUUGUAUCAUACUCGCAAUGAUUCAUGUAUGUUGUUAUGUUUACCUGGGCAACUAAAUGUACAUGAUCCUUAUUGUUGAGCCUUUGGCAGAAAGGAAAAGUUCUGUCCGUUCGGCAUCUGUUCGGCGUACCCAAACUGACCAAAUAGGCGGCUGUGGGGCGUGACAGAUUAAAGUGGUAUCAGAGCAAGUAAAGAGAGAAGUCUAGGAUGGACCUAGGAGACCUAGGAUGGUAACCUUAAGGCUAUAGGUGCGUGAGUGAGACGUGGACCUAUGCCAGGUGGCGGAAGUUGAUUCGAUUGGGUAUAGUUGUUGGUAUGUCUCUAGUGGUUGAUAGAGACGGAUUCAAGUGAUAUGAGUUCUCUACUUGAGGAGGUUAUGUUGGCGGCCGACAACAUGACGCCAAGAGUUGAGAAUGAGUACGCUUGUGUGCUUCCGCCAGAUUGGGUGUCGAGUUGUUUGUUCCUAAAUUGCGUAGAGUCGUGGGUUAUGGUAAUUAACCUAAUUAUUGCGUUUCAGGAGCUAUGGCACCAAGGGGACGCCCCCCGACGCGAUCCGCUCCGACACCGCCUCCCGAGGUGCCCUAGUAUUCAGGAUCUGAGGAAGUGCGGGAACUACGAGCACAGAUGGCUACGAUGGUCGGUGCGAUGCAGCGCCAAGAGGAUCAUAUCGCAAGGCUGCAGGAGUUGGUGGUCCAACAAGCGUCGGCUCAGGCGGAUGUUGAGCGACCCACGCCUCCUGCCGUUGUUCCUGGGGCGGCGGAGGGUGUGGCCACGACGGCUGUGCCAAUUGCAGCGAGGCCCGCAUCGGCGGUAGUAGCUACGGUAAUAGACCUAAGUGCUUCGAAUCCCGAUGGUGCGGCCAUGGCAGCGGAAAGGGAGCGCGCACUUGCGGCCCUCGUGAUGUUCCGGAAGUUUGAUCCACCGGUGUUUGACGGGGAGAAGGUCACGGGAUGGUCGAGUCGUGGAUUGACUCGAUGGAGACCCCUUUCGAGGAUCUCUACACUUUGGAGAAAGACAAAGUACACCUCGCCACUCAUUGCUUGGAGUGGACGGCGAAGGUGUGGUGGAAACGGAUCAAGCGGGAUCGGUCUUCCGACCUUCCGCCGUUGUCGUGGGAGGAGUUUCAGGACUUGAUGUACACUAACUACUUCUCCGAUAGAGAAAAGAAAAAGCUUCAAGACCAAUUCUGAAAGUUGAAGCAAGGAAACCGCUUGGUAGGGGAGUAUGAGCAGGAGUUCUCACAUAUCAUCGAUUGUGUUCCCGAUGUGGUGUGGGACGACAAGGAUCCAGCCGAUUGGGUCGAGCGAGGAUUUCGGCCGGAUAUCUACACGGCAGUUCACAUUUUAAAUCUCACUAUCUUUGCGGAGGUGUUAGAUCGGGCAUUGUGGGCGGAGCAUGGUAAUGCCUACAUCCGUGAGGAGUGAGAGGCGUCCUAGAAGGACGGAGGAAAGAAGCGGGCACAAGGUGGCUCGGGAGGUCAGUCGAGAUCGAGGAGGCCUCCUAAGUACCCGUGAACACAGUCCAAGUGCCGUGGGGCUCAGCAGUGUGUCAUUUGUGGCGGAAACCACCGAGCGAUGCAUUGUGAGCAGCGCCAAGGAAAGUGCUUCGAAUGCAGUCAGGCGGGGCAUGUUAGUCGCUAUUGCCCAAAGAGGACCUCUCCUGCCCCGUCCGUCGCAUUGGCUCCGGCGACUCCGGGACAUUAUGGAGGAGUUCCACCCACUGCCACGUCUGCCGGACAUGCUAUGGCGCCGCGUCAGCCCGAGAUGACCCGGUCGGCUACGAGUGGCCAGGUAUUCGCCGCUCAAGUAGAGGAACCUACCGAGGCCUAGGAGCGCCACGUCGUAGCAGGUAUGGUGUUGAUUAAUGGAGUUCGAUCUAGAGCUAUGUUUGAUACAGGUGCUACGCAUUCAUUCAUCAGUCGACCCUUUGCCGAGAUGCAUGGUAUAGAAAUCCAGUUGAGUGAAAGCACUUGGCGGGUUGAAGGCCCCGGGCGUGCAAUUGUUAUUAGGAAGGAGUGUUUGGCUUGUCCAGUACAAGUGGGCAACUGGAUAAUGCCAACAUGUCUGUUCGUGCUCAAGAGGUUGAAGGAUUUCGAUCUGAUACUAGGCAUGGACUGGCUCUCGAAGUACUAUGCGUCUAUCGACUGCAAGAGCAUAUCACCUUUUGUGAGCCAGGACAGGAAGAGUUCGCUUAUCGGGCGUGUAAGAAUUCGUGCUUCGCCAUGACGGUAUCGGCGUCUAGGGCAAGGAAAAUGGUUAGCAGCGGUUGCGCAGCUUAUUUAGCGACCAUUUUGGAGGUCAGUAGGAGACUCCAGCACUUGAGGAUUUAUCCGUGGUUCGGGAGUUUGCGGACAUGUUUCCCGCGGAGCUACCGGGGAUACCACCGGAUCGGGAAAUCGAGUUUGUUAUAGACUUGGUUCCCGGGACCGCGCCGAUUUCAAAGGCUCCGUAUCUUAUGGCACUGGCCGAGUUGAAAGAGUUGAGGGCUCAAUUGCAAGAUCUCCUCGACAAGGAAUUUAUUAAGCCGAGUGUAUCACCGUGGGGAGCCCCGGUGUUGUUCGUGAAGAAGAAAGACGGAUCGUUUCGACUCUGCGUGGAUUACCGCGAGUUGAACAAGGUCAUGAUCAAGAACAAGUACCCGUUGCCCUGUAUCGACGACUUGUUUGAUCAGUUGCAAGGGUCUCGGAUGUACUCGGAGAUAGACCUUCAAUCCGUAUAUCAUCAGUUGAAGAUAAAGCCGGAGGAUGUGUAAAAGACCGCGUUCCGCACGCGGUAUGGACAUUAUGAAUUCACGGUCAUGCCAUUCGGGCUCACAAAUGCCCGGCAGCGUUCAUGGACUUGAUGAACCGUGUAUUCAGGGCUUUCUUAGACCAAUUUGUCGUGGUAUUCGUAGACGACAUCUUGGUCUACUCUCGUAGUGACGAGGAGCACACGGAACAUUUGAGGAUUGUGCUACAAGUCAUUCGGGAGAAAAAGCUCUAUGCAAAGUUAAAGAAGUGCGACUUUUGGCUCCAUAAAGUCGCACUUUUGGGACAUGUUAUUUCCGAGGGCGAAGUUUCUGUCGACCCGAGGAAAGUUGAGGCAAUCAAGGAUUGGCCUCGCCCGACAAAUAUGACGGAGGUUUGUAGCUUUGUGGGCUUAGCGGGCUAUUAUAGACGGUUUGUGGAGGGAUUCUCGAAGAUAGUUAUUCCACUCACCCGUCUUACUCAAAAGGGCACCAAGUUCAUGUGGAGUGAUGAGUGCGACCGGAGUUUUAAAGAGUUGAAGGAGAGAUUGACUUCGACUCCGGUGCUCGCCCUCCCGGUUCAAGGUGAAGACUUUGUGGUGUAUAGCGACGCAUCCUACCAGGGUCUUGGGUGUGUUUUGAUGUAAUGCAGGAAGGUGAUCGCUUAUGCGUCUCGUCAGUUGAAGAGCUAUGAAAAGAACUACCCUAUUCACGAUCUAGAGCUAGCUGCAGUGGUCUUCGCGCUCAAGCUGUGGAGGCACUACUUAUAUGGUGCGCAUUGCGAGAUAUACACGGAUCACAAGAGUCUAAAUACUUGUUCACACAGAAAGAACUUAAUAUGCGGCAGCGGCGGUGGUUAGAAUUAUUAAAGGAUUACGAUGUUACUAUCCUUUACCACCCCGGGAAAGCUAAUGUGGUGGCCGACGCACUUAGCAGGAAAUCAGUGGAAAAUCUUGCAAUGUUGGUCACACAUCAGAAGCCAUUGUGGAGAGAAAUAUGGCGGUUUGGCCUUGAGAUUGUGGCUCCGGAGGUUCCGACGAUGCUUAUGGCUCUCGUUAUCCAACUAACCUUAUUGGAGAGGAUUAGGAGUUUACAAUCCGCGGACUCGAGUCUCCAAAAGAUGCGGCGCGACAUCGAGAGUGGGUGCGGUGGUGAUUUCGGUGUAGAUCCCGAUGGCGCGCUUCGGUAUCGAAACCGAUGAUGUGCGCCGGAAAAUGAGAAAAUCCGAAAAUUGAUCUUGCAGGAGGCUCAUAGAUCUCCCUAUAGUGUCCACCCGGGCGGCACCAAAAUGUACAAGGACUUGAGGAUGCAUUAUUGGUGGCUAGGAAUGAAAGGUGAUAUUGGACGCUAUGUGGCGCAAUGUCUUGUGUGUGAGCAAGUCAAGGCUGAACGUCGAUUUCCAGCGGGAGAGCUUCAAAGUCUACCUAUUUCCAUUUGGAAAUGGGACGAUAUAGCCAUGGACUUCGUGGUCAGAUUGCCCGGUUCAUCGGGUGGCCAUGAUGCAAUUUGGGUAGUGAUGGAUCGCUUGACGAAAUCGGCACAUUUUCUAUCGAUCCACACUACUUAGUCUGGAGGCAAGCUUGCGCAAGUAUAUCUUGAUGAAGUGGUGAGACACUCUUUCCUUGUUGUUUAUCUUGCAUAUUAUAUGUUGAGCCUAACAUCUAUACCAUAUUUCUUUAUUGCUCUACUUAGCUGUUUUGCAUAUCCUGUAUCAUGUUUAGAAGUAGAGCGGUUUUGUGAUUAUUUGUGAGAUUGAUGACCUAGUCGGUCAGUGCGUGUAUCUGGUAUUGUGACCUAGUUGGUCGGUUCUUGUAUCUCGUAUUUGUGACCUAUUCGGUCGGUUUACUGCAUUAUUAUCGAGACCUAUUUGGUCGGUUGGACUAUUUGAUGACCUGUACGGUCGGUAUACCCUGAGGGGUAGGAUUGUCGGCUAGUUGCCGAUGGUUGGCCAUUGAGCAUAUCAGCAUCGAUCGCCACAACUCGUACGCAUGUCACGAAAACCAGCGGUCUGAUCCACCGCAAAAGGGUGUUCUUUUUCGGAAAAGUGGUUGGGUGUGCCAACUCGUGAGCCCAUAGGCUACCUUGGGUCAUAUGUAGGUAGAGUAGCAGUGGCACAGGCUUGAGGUCUGCCGUGCGGACCAACAGGGCAAAGUUUCUGAUUGGGUAUUUUGGACUUCUCGUCCGGUUGAUACAUGCAUACAGUAGCGGUAGUGAUUCAUAUGUAUAUAUUUCGUUCCUUGUUCAUCAUUGCUACUGUAUUACCAUUAUCUAUCUAUCUAUACUUGUUGUUAUCCUCCGUGACUGGAGAGUACCCUCGCCCUCGUCGGCUUGCGGUACCCACUGGGAGGGGAGACAUGUGUACAUGUUCUCACCCCCCACCCCCAUUACAAGUGACGUCGUGGGUCUUAGUUGGACGGCUUGUGAGGAGCGCACUUAGCGAUUCGGUAGAGCUUUCGGACACGUCCAUUCGGUUUAAACUCUUAACUGUUUUCUUUUAAUAAAUGCCUUAAAUAGUAAUUAUGGUUCAGUGAUUUAUCACAGUUGGAUUUAUCUGGUUUUAUGAUUGUAAUAAAGGAUUUGUGAUUCUUGCAAAUUGGAAAUGGUUUUCUACCCCUCGUGGUAGCGAGUUUUAAAGGAAAAAGGUUUCCUUGUGGGAAACAGUUUUUAAAAAGGUUUUCUUGGUUUUCAUGGCUUAGUGUUUUAAAAAAUGAGUUUCCGGGUAGGAAACAUUUUAAACUGAUAGUUGUGCGCCGGAUUUAUGGAUAAUUCUGAAUGUGAAUGUGAAUGGUGUAUGAAUAUGUGAAUGUUUAUAUGUGUGGUUGUAUCAUGUAUCGUGAAUCUUGUAUUUUGUACGCCGUGCAAAUAUAGGGGAGACUCUAUUCGUGUGAACAGUGAAUUCCCUGUAUUUGUGGCGGAUCUGGCAUACCCUGGGGGUCAGGUUUUCAAAAAAAAAAAAAAAAUUUUGGGCUCUUCCGCAAUGACUUUAAACCAAAAAGGGACCCUGGGGCGUGACAUUCCUAAACUAAGGAGGAAGCGCCAAAUUCCUAAACUAAGGAGGAAGCGCCACGUCAUCUUACAUAUUGGGGAUUAAUAUAGUUGUAUAGACGCCACGUCUUCUUACAUAUUAGGGAUUAAUAUAGUUGUAUAGAUAUAGUUGUAUAGAUUACAAAAUUCCUAAACUAAGGGGAAGCGUCACGUCAUCUUACAUAUUGAGGAUUAAUAUAGUUGUAUAGAUAUAGAUAUAGAUAUAGAUAGAUAUAGAUUCUCAAAAAACAUAUUUUAUUUUAAUUUUUUUAAAAAAAUUACGUGUAUACGAACUAUUUUAUCCGUUUAUUUAAUAAUUCAUAAAUUAACUAAUAAAGAUAAGAAUUAUUUAAACUUUAUUCCUAAUAUACAAAAUCAACAAAAACAACCCCACAAUAUAAAUUUUUUCUUCAAAUCAUGCGAAAACAACACCAUGCAAAGAAUAAAAAAGUGAAUAGUACGCUAUAAAUAGAAUAACCUUAACAGAAUUAUUGAGUCCAUAAAUUAACCAAAAAAAAGAGAAAAAAAAUUAAAGAGCGAAUAGAAGAAAGAUUAAAUCGAAUAAUGGGGCGUUAUAAAGGAGAAAUUAUUCAUUGGGCUGGGCGGUGCCUAUAUGAGUCAGCCCAAUAAUGGGGCGCUGCGAAGGAGAAAUUUGUCACACCCCAAGACCCAGCGGAUGCCCACCCGGCGUGUGUCCAGACCCGCCAUAUGCCUACAACAUAUAAGGCGUCUACAACAGUAGUAUAAGGAAGCAAGAAAAAAAAAUAAAACAUCUAGUACGAUAUCAGAGCAUACAACAACUAAUUUCUAAUAACAGGUAGAAGAAAUAAAAUUGAACAACUAUCAGAAUCCAAAAGAUGAAUACAUCACAAGAUCCACAUAGAUUUAACUAAAUACAAAAUGGUGGUCUCUAUACUGUCACGCCCCGGGACCCAGCGGAAGCCCGCCUGGCACGUGCCCAGACCCGCCAUACGUCUAAAACAUAUAAGGCGUCUAAAAACAACAAUAAUAAAAGCAAUAAUAANAUGCGACUCCCUUGCCGCGAUCCCGUGCCUCCGCCGGUGCCGAAGGCUCUGAAAUAAAACUAUAAAACAGUGGGCGUGAGAACUAUUGAAUAAUAGUUCCCAGUGGGCAAUUACUGGCUUCAGUGAAAUGCACCACUAGGCCCAAACUAAAAAGGGGGUCAGUAAGCAGAUAUAAACAAAAACGAUAUGUACGACAAGUAAAUAAGCACGAAUAUUUGCUACCACAUGAUAUCUCUACUUAGCAUGAUUUAGCAUAAGUAAGAGAAGCUAUUCUCAUAAGAAUGUACCGAAGCAUCGCUAGUAUGAUGUCCAUAAGUCAAAUAGUAAAAUUGUUAUUGUUUACUAUUCUAAUCAAUAUCCACAUGGCAUGAUGAAUGCUCAAAAUCAAAUCUGAAGAGACCCGCCCGAAGGCUGUCUGGCCCUGAGACCCACCUGUAGGCUGUCUGGCCGGUGCCGAGCCUAAUGGCCCCGUGGUAGUCAACAUCCCCACUCUAGAGAUGAGCCUUUCCCACGACAAUCCACUUCGGAGCCCAAUCCCGCGUGGCGAAUAUGUAUCGCGAUGGCCAUCUCCGGAGUGCCGGCUUGUAGGGAGCGACCCUCACAAGCAUGUGCGAAUGAGCACAAUGGCAAGUAACAAAAGAUCCGCCUCAAGUACCAAGUCCUCAUGUCUAACAACAUGGAAUAAGUCACAACUCUCUCAUAGGCCUUUCUCUAUGUCAUCAUGUCUAAAACAUGGAAAGUAGUAGAUGUCCAUGGCCUAUCUCUUAGUCUCAAUACAAUAGCCUCAUAGUUUGUCCAGGUGCCCCUUUAUGACAUUUUCAUUUACUAAGUCCAAGCUUAAACCAAAUGUUCAUAAAUGCAUAAUUGAGCCACUUUAAACAUAUGAGGCAUGUUUCCAAAUAGCUAGUGCGAACACUACUCCGAUACAUGUAAUAAUACUUAGAAUGCUCUACUAUAUAGAGUGAAAAUGUUCUUAUACAUAACGCAUACAUUUUAAGUGUUCUAAAAUUCACAUAAAUUUCAUUUAGCAUAGAUUUGCAUUUAAAAUGACUUUACGACGAGUAUAGAAAGCAUGGGAGCCAUUUCGCCCCGUUUUCAUGAAGCCAAACCCACCACAACUCUUGCGCUCCUUCGUUUGCUCCGACGAAGAUAUCCGCUAGUCUCCUAGCACCCUAAAGAUGUAGGAACAAGGGUUAAACGAACCUUACGAUUAACCCUAAGCUCAAUCAAUAAGCAACAUAGGCUAAGGUGGGGAAAACUCACCUCAAGUGAAGAAAUCCUCUCUCAAGUUCCAAAUGGGAAUUAGAGUUCUUCAAAUUUAACCUAAAUAAAGGUUCUAAACUCAUCAAUUAGGUCUCCAAGCCCUCAAAUCAAAAAUCUCCAAAAUAAACCCUAAAUCUCAUUUCCAGGGUUUCAUAUGGUAAAACCUACCAAAACAUGGAUCAAAAGGUAGAAUCAAGGUACUAACCUCUCUAGAUGCCCCAAAACAAGCUCCAAAUCUUCUAGGAUUGAAAUUGAUCCUCCACAAAGCCCCAAUAGCAAGCCCCAAGCCUCCAAGAGGAAGAUGCUCCAAAGCCUCAAGAUCUUGCUCUCCUCCAACUCCUUCUUCUUCUCUUUCUUCUUCUCUUUCUAGAGGGUGUAGAGAGAAUGUGAGGGAGAGAAAUGAGGGUGAGAGGGAGAGGAAAUGGCCUUAAGGCCCUUUGAGGCAACAAAAUCCACUUAAGCCCCUCAAAAAUCCAACCUGUGCACUAUCCGGGUCUGGGCAGUUUUGGGACUGAGGGACCGGUCUCCCCGACCUAGGACCGGUCUCUCAGCCUCCCCGAAAAUCGAAUGUUCGGGAACCGGUCUCUCCCCGCGAAAACGUACUCGGGGACCGGUCUCACCCGCGAGGGACCGGUUGCCUCAAAUCCUGCCGCAGUACUGUUCUGAGGGGACCGGUCUCUCCUAUCAGGGACCGGUCCUCGAGAGUGAAAACUCUCAGGACAUGCCAAAACUCCAGGAAUCGAACUUUUAGGUCGGAAUACCAUCUACGACCUUUCACCAAGUGUGGAAAAGUUCAGAAUCCAUAUCAAAUACUCGAGCCUCGCAAUUUGCAAAGGUCCAGUGUGCUACAUUCACCCUUCCUAAAAAGGAGUUUCGUCAGCGAAACUCAAAAGCAAACACAUACCUCAAAGCUCCAUCUGAAAAAGAUGGGGAUAGCGCUCCCGCAGCGCACUCUCUAGCUCCCACAUGGCUUCCCGCUCCCCGUGGUUGCUCCAAAGAACCUUCACAUACGGAAUAUCCCGAUUCCGCAGUUUCUUCACCUCGUGAGCCAAGAUCUUCAUGGGUUGCUCUUCGAAGCUCAUAUCGUCCCGCAACUCCAACGGUGUAGCAUCCAACACAUGAGUCGGGUCGAAGACAUACUUCCGAAGGACCGAUACAUGAAAGACGCUGUGCACGCCCGAUAGGUUCGGUAGUAGAGCAAGUCGAUACGCUACCGGACCUAUCUGUUCCAAAAUCUCAUACGGUCCAAUGAAACGGGGGCUCAACUUACCCUGAAUCCCGAAUCUCUUGAUCCCUCUAGUCAGAGACCUUCAAGAAAACAUAGUCUCCAACUUGGAACUCCAAGUCUCGCCGUCGUCGAUCGGCGUAGCUCCUCUGUCUACUCUGUGCCGUCAAAAGUCGCUCCCGAGCUAUUCGAACUUUUUCCUCAGCUUCCUGGAGCACAUCAAGGCCUAAAGCCAAUCUCUCGCCAACUUCGCUCCAAUGAAGUGGCGAUCUACACUUCUAUCCAUAGAGUGCUUCGAAGGGCGCCAUCUUAAUGCUUGCUUGAUAACUGUUGUUAUAAGCAAACUCCGCCAUAGGUAGAUGCUGCGACCAUCCUCCCUGGAAGUCUAUCACAUAAGCUCGAAGCAUAUCCUCUAAGGUCUGAAUGGUGCGCUCCGACUGCCCAUCACUCUGAGAGUGGAAAGCAGUGCUGAAGUCCAAACGAGUGCCCAGGGCGUCCUGCAGACUCCUCCAAAAGUGAGACACAAACCGAGUGUCUCGAUCCGAUACUAUUGAUGUAGGCACUCCAUGAAGGCGCACAAUCUCAUCAAGGUACACUUGUGCGAGCUUCUCUCCGGCCCAAGUAGUAUGAAUAGGUAUGAAGUGCGCCGACUUCGUCAACCUAUCCACGAUCAGCCAUAUAGCAUCAUACCCGGCCUGAGAGCGGGGCAACGCAGUCACGAAGUCCAUGGUGAUCUUCUUCCACUUCCACACAGGAAUAGGCAAACUUUGAAGUUUUCCCGCGGGUAAUCGAUGCUCAGCCUUUACUUGUUGGCAAGUUAGACAACGAGCUACAAACUCGCCAACAUCAUUUUUCAUCCCCGACCACCAAUAAAGCAACUUCAAGUCCUUGUACAUCUUGGUGCCUCCCGGAUGUAUAGCAUAGGGCGCUCGGUGCGCUUCUUGAAGAAUAUCCUCUUUAAUUUUCGAAUCCGCCGGUACACAAAUCCGCCCAUGAAAACUCAUCAAUCCUUGGUCAUCCAUAAGGUAGUCGGCGGUGCAACCUUCAACCAUUUUAUCUCGAACCUUUUACAACUCCACAUCGGAAGCUUGCUUCUCUUUAAUUCUAUCUAAGAGUGUAGGUUGUACUACUAAGGUCAUUAAUCUCAAAGGCGUAUCUGGAAUCACCACCUCCAACUCCAACCGCUUCAUCUGCUCGAUCAACUGCGGUUGAGUAACAAUAUGCAUCGCUAAAUUUUCCGUUGAUUUCCUACUUAGCGCAUCCGCCACCAUGUUAGUCUUGCCCGGGUGGUAAAGAUAGUCAAAUCAUAAUCCUUGAGCAACUCCAACCAUCUGCGCUGCCUCAAGUUCAACUCCUUCUGAGUGAACAGGUAUUUGAGGCUCUUGUGAUCCGUGUAUACUUCACACCGCUCGCCAUAUAAGUAGUGGCGCCAUAACUUCAAUGUGAAGACUACAGCCGCCAACUCCAAAUCGUGCAUGGGGUAAUUCUUUUCAUAUUCCUUUAGUUGGCGGGAAGUAUACGCGAUCACCUUGCCAUCCUGCAUCAAAACACAGCCCAAUCCAUUAUGUGAAGCAUCACUAUAAACCGCAUAUCCUGCUCCAGCAAUAGGUAGGGUCAAGAUCGGGACGGUCGUCAGUCGUUGCUUCAACUCUUGGAAGCUUCUCUCGCAUGCAUCAUUCCAGAUGAACUUGACACCUUUAUGUGUGAGCCUCAUGAGGGGAGUAGAUAGCUUAGCAAACCCCUCGACAAAUCUCCGGUAGUAACCGGCCAGUCCAAGGAAACUCUGAAUCUCCGUAACGCUCGUCGGUCUCGGCCAAUCCUUGAUAGCCUCAAUUUUCUUAGGAUCCACGGCUAUACUCGAUCCCGAUAUCAAAUGUCCAAGGAAGGCUACCACUCGAAGCCAAAAUUCACAUUUUCUCAGCUUGGCAUAAAGCUCUUUUUCCCGAAGUAUUUGAAAUACUAGCCUCAAAUGCUCCCCGUGAUCCGCUUCACUUCGGGAAUAAACCAAAAUGUCGUCGAUGAAUACCACGACGAACCUGUUUAGAUAAGGCUUAAAAACACGGUUCAUCAGAUACAUAAAAGCUGCCGGGGCAUUAGUAAGCCCAAACGGCAUAACUGUGAACUCAUAGUGUCCAUACCGUGUUCUAAAAGCCGUCUUUGACACAUCCUCGAGUUUGAUCUUUAAUUGGUGGUAUCCUGACUGCAAGUCUAUCUUGGAAUACACACACGAUCCUUGAAGCUGAUCAAGCAAGUCGCCGAUCCUCGGCAAUGGAUACUUAUUCUUGAUCAUGACUUUAUUGAGUUCACGACAGUCCACACAUAGGCGAAGUGAUCCGUCCUUUUUCUUGACGAACAGAACUGGCGCUCCCCACGGCGAGACGCUCGGUCGAACGAAGCCCUUGUCCAACAAAUCCUGUAGCUGUGCACGCAACUCUUUCAGCUUCGCCGGUGCCAUCCUAUAGGGUGAUUUCGAGAUUGGAGUAGUCUCAGGGACGAGAUCUACCACAAACUCGAUCUCCCUAUCGGGUGUCAUACUCGGUAACUCAGCUGGAAAUACGUCCUGAAACUCUCGUACCACCUGGAUAUCCUCAAUCCUAGAGGUGUCAUCCUCGCCCCUCAACAUAACACUAGCCAAGUAGGCUACACAUCCUCGGUUGAUCAGCUGCCUAGCUCGAGACGAGCUGAUCGACAUCACAAAAAGCGAACUCCAGCAUCCUCUAAACACAACCUCAGUCUGCCCCGGUUCUCUAAAAGUAACCGUGCGAUUCUUGUAGUCGAUGGUGGCGUAGUACUUGGUUAGCCAAUCCAUACCCAAGACCACAUCGAAAUCCCCUAGUUUGCGCAAAGCAAGCAAAUCUACGGGCAUGAUCCAAUCUCCUACUCGAAUAGGGCAACUAGGGCAAUACUCUCUAAUAUCCAGAGUGUGGUCAGAUACUACAACAUGUCCCGGAUGCAAGGAAACCAAAGGGAUGCCAUCCAACUCGACAAACAACCGAUCUAUAAAUGAAUGUGAUGCACGAGUAUCAAAUAAAGCACGAACUCUAAUGCCAUCAAGUAAAAUGAUACCUGCAACCACAUCCUCGGCUGCUGUCGCCUCCUCGGUUUGAGCGGCAUACAAACGCCCACUCGGGGCCUGUCGAGAACUGUGACGCACUGGACCUGUGCAAAUUGCGAGGUUCGAGUGUUUGGACAGUGUCCCGAGUUUUCCCAGACUUUCUGGUCGGCUGUUCGGUCGUUGACAGUGUUCGCCGACUAUUGGCUCGCAUCCCGAGAAUGUAGUAAUUUUAUGUACGCUAAGCAGUCACUAAAGAGUUGACUUAAGGCUACCACUCGGAUGCAUUCUGCCAAGGUGUACCGGUACCCCUUAUGCUUACCGUACACACUUUGUACGCGGUACACCCCUGAUUGGUUGUACCGCGGUACACUUGUGCGAAUUCGAACCCGAGCACUCGGUUUUGGCAUUUUGUAGGAUGGUACGCGGUAACACUUUUCCCAUGUACCCGUACACUUUGGCAGAACUGAACAGUUUAGUUUCUGCAGGGCGGUUUUCGCAAGUUGUGGGCUUUUUAUAAGCAGCACCGCACGGCCCUAGGGCUGCUCCCCUGGGCUGAAAAGCAAGUGGAAGAACAGGUAGCGCACUCUCCCCUAUCACACCCCUUUGGAUUUGAAUCUCUUUGUUAGCUGGAUUAAGUGUGAUCCUUCUCUUUCCCUUUUCUUUGCUUUUCCACCAUUGUGAACUGGAGCUGUUUGUGGAUUGUUGAGGGAAGAUCUGGAUUUCAAGGUUUAGAAGGCUUAGAUUUGAAGCUCUAAGAGUAAUCCUUAUUCUCUCCCUUUAGAUUGGAUUUUAUUGAUGAUCAAGAUGAAAACCCCUAGUUUUGAGACUUAAGGCUUGUUUUUGGGUAUUUUGAACCUAGGCUUUGGGGCCAAAUAGUUUGUUAGAAACCUUCCUUUGGCUUAGAUUGGAAGGAUUCUAGGCUCCUCUUGUGACUUAGGAAGAUUUCUAUCUGAGGUGAUUUUUUUUGGCCUUUUUGCUUCUAGCGUUAAUGUUGAUAUUAUUAUGAUCGUAAUGCCGCGUGUAUCUUGCUCGCUCAAUACUUUUAGGUAUUUGAGACUCGGACACUUUGUUCGGCAAACAGAGCGCUACAGCGACGGAUUCGGUGGGUUUGACCUAGCGCACACAAUAGAAAUUCUCAUUUGGCUUAAUUAAGGUACGUUAUCAAUGAAAAGCAUGCAUAAUUCUAUUUAAUAUGUUUUAUUGUGAUUUUAGAAUGCUCAAAAGGCCUAUGUUGUAUAUGAUGAAAUUUGUUGACCUCUAUGGAGUAAGUAACUUUGGCAGCCUAUGUUGCAUUUAGCGUUCAAUUUGAAACUGGUUUCAUGCUUCUAUAGUGUAAAUGAGCUUUGAUUCAUGCAUUUAAACUUGAAGUUUAUUUGAGACAUGAAAGAUGACUAAAAUGCCAUAAAGGUAUUGAACAGAAUGUAUGUGAACGUAGUAGAGGCUAAUGUCAUGCAACCGCACUGAGCUCGGGACAUGUUGAACCUAAGGAUAGGCCCAUAGGAAUUGAAAGCAUGCCUUAAUCAUUAUAAUGUACUAAUGUGUCAUAAAGGGCACUAGACCUAGAGAAGGUUGACUAACUUGUGACUUAGAAUAGAUCUUUGAGAUGCUAGUGACUAUACCAUAUUAGAGACAUGAGGGUUGAUACUGAGCCAUCGACUACAGGCUUGUUUGCGCAUUGUCCUCAUUCGCACAUGCUUGUGAGGCGCUCCCUACAAGCCGCACUUCCGAUUAAGCCUACCGCGUAUCUAUAGUUCCCUCGUGCGGCUAUUGAGAAGCCUACGGGGUCGAGUGGGACAUGACACAUUCCGAAGUAGGGAUGUUGGGCUACACAGCACUUAGGCGGCACAUGCUGGACUACCUUAGGUAGGUCCUUAAAUGACAUGAAAUCGACACGGUGUUGAGUUGGACAAUCACACUAAUAGGAUUAAGUAGUUGAUUACUUGGAACACCUUAUGAUAUAGCAAUUGUGUAUUUUAUACGAUAUUUAUUUCUCCGUUUCAUUAUUGCAUCGUAGUAUACUCGUUGUUUGGAUAGAGUUACCCUUAUGCAUUGACAUAAUUGCAUCGUAGGUUUACUUGUUUAUGAUUGUUAGACAUAUUGUAAGGAAGUGAAUCCUCGAAACUCGGGAGUUAGACUUCGACCAGAAUCGAACUAGUUGUCUGGGCGUAGGCUUUCGGAAAGUCCGAAGGUGUUUAUAGAUGCAUAAAGGGCAUUAAGCGAGGUCCGUGGAGCACCAGUGCAAAACUUGCAUCUGGAAGCAGAAAUGCUUGUAGAUACCGAAACGUCGCAAAAAAAGCUUACGUGUAGGAAUAAGUAUGUCGGGUUUAUUAUAAAAAUAAUAUAAAUAAAAAUAUGUGUGAGAUACUAUUUUAUUGACUCAUGGAAGUAAAGUAUAAUAGUUUGGAAAAUGACCUGUGGCGAAUAUCGAGCGAAAACCGAAGAUUUAGAAGUUUUCUGUAGAAAUGGGGCAAUAAAUACAAAAAUGCACAGUGUCAUAAAAUAUGAAAAAAUGGACAGGAUAUGUCAGAAUUAUUUUUAAUGAGGCUAAGAUUUUAAAAAGUUCAGCCGCAUUCUGACACCGCGGAAGGUGGAAGAAUAAAACUCGAACUGCUAUCCACUAAAGAUUACAGUUCGGCACAGUUUCGGUGACCAACGGGGUCGAAACUGAAAACUAAGAUAAUAUUCUUGCUCAGUACGUUAAACCGAGCCUGCCUGUCGAAUUGAGCGCAAACGACAUUCAGAAGGCCCUCGACUGUCCGAACUGCGAAAACUGCAAGUUGAAUAGUUGAGAGGGGGUUUUGUGCAAUUGUACAUGCAGCCUAUGUGGGCUUGUUGCAUUGGUACACACAUCCGCGCAACACACCUUCAUCCCUCAAGUUUCCUUCAUUCUCAUCCCACCUCACACUCUUUCCUCUCUAUUCUCUCUAGAAAGAAAGAAAGAAAGAAAGAAAGGAAAGGAGAGGAAAAGUAAAGGAAAAAGAAAGAAAGGAAGAAAGGAGAAGAAAACCAAAAGAGGAAGAUCAUCUUCCCUCCUCGCCCUCAACCUUGGAAAGCUUUAGAGGUAAGCUCAAACCUAUAAUGUAGAUUCCUUAAGAUAGUGGUUUUAUGUUUAGAAUUGUUGAAUGGAACCUAUCGGAGACUACGUUAGAUGGUUCUACUCGAUUGAAGCUGAGCCACCUGGAUUCACAUUGUUAACCUAGGGCACUUCAAAAACCCUAUAAUGAGAAUUUUAUGGCUUCAUUUAUAACUAUAAAAAUGGAUUUAUUGAAUCCAAAAUGCUAAAUAAUGAUUUGCUUGGCCUAAAUCAUGAUAAAUUUGUGAAUUUUGCAAAGUUAAAAUCUAUGUUAUCAAAAUUGCAAAUUUUGGAAAUAUGGGGUAAUGAUCUCAAUUAACCCUCUGUAAACUAAUUGCAGGUUAUAAAAACUUGCGGAAGAACGUUCGCGAUACGACAGCGGGUGCGGAGUUAAUCGCGCAAAAAUACUUGAGGGUUUGUUGCCCCGAGGAGUUGAAGCGACGUACGAUGAUCGCGGCGUUGGGUUUCUAAUUUCGUUACUACAGAGGGGUGUGAACUCCAAGCACUGGACCCCUUUAGUCUUUAGUAAUAAAUCUGCAUCUUGUAUUCCCCUUGCCAUUAUAGAUGAAAUGGCAUUGCCUUUCCUUAUGCUUACCUAGAGAAUCAUAACUAUGCUUUAGUUGAGCUUGAUAUAUGAUUGAUGACGAUUGGUCCGAGAAUUGUGAAUCCUAUAGUGCCGUAUGAAGAUGACUCAAUGUUGUGUAAUAGUCAACAAAGAACUAGUGGUCAUUAGCUUGAUAGUAAAUCAAAAGAAUGAGUGGCAUCUAUUGAUAAUAAACAAAGAAUGAGGAUCUAGUUGAUAGAAACAAAAGAAGAGUGAUCCUAUGUGAGUCCUAGUGUACAUAUGAAACGUAUGGACCUUUGAUUGAAAGUAAACCUAGAGAUAGGGAAAUCCUCGAAGCUGAGAGAUUGAUCUUGCUCACGCAGGUCUGUUUAUACCUUGUGAUGGCGUCCACACAAUAGUGCGCUCCGGAGUUGGUCACGUGGGAUUAGCAUUUGGGUCCCGAGGAUAGCCUAUGUGGGUCCCGCGCAGACGGUCUCUAGGAUUCGUAGUUUAUUGAGUCGCCCUACGCACAGAUGGUAUGUGAGUAUAGGUUGAAACCCUCGGUGAGUCCAUAAUUUAAUGAACAAGUAAAUAACUUUACUUCUUGGCAUGAUGACGAGAUUAGUUGUCUUACCCAUUUCAAUUGAACAUGCAUCAUAUAUUAUGAUUCGGGCAAUCAGUAGCGUAGUUUUCUAUUCUGUCCUUACCUUUCCAAUAUCUAUCUAUUGUUUACUAACUUGUGCCUACUUGGAACCUAGUGGGAAACCGCGAGUCGGCGCGCACCAACUGGGAACGUUAAGGAGUUAGUUCUCCCCCACCCCCACAUUACUAGCAGGCCGAGCGCGAUUCACACGGCGAGGAUCGUGGUAAGCUUAGGCGCCCUAGAUCGCAUUAGUUACUUUCCUUUGGCAUUAAGCCAGCCUUUUUACUGGAAGAGAUGAUGUAUAUGUGUGAGAAUCAUUUUGGAAUGUAAACUCAUGUGUAUUUGCAGUUUAAAUCUUAAAUCAUCGUAUUAAAGAGGUUGAAUGAUGUAAUAAUAGACCUUCUCUCUUAUCGUUACUUGUCAUGUUUAUACUUGUGCCUUUGCUCUUACUUGUUAGCCUUGUUGUUCUCUGUGAUUGUGUACUUAUGAAUUGAUUCCCUGGUAAUCUUAGUACAUGAUCGUUUGCUAAGCCUGGCGACAGGGGAGACUCUGUCCUUCGGUCGUCUGUUCGAACAUAGCGCCGAACCGGACCAAUGUAGCGUCUCGGGCGUGACAGAUUAAAUUCUGUAUCAGAGCAAGUAAGAGCAAGUAAAGAAGAGUCUAGGAUCGACCGCUAGAGACAUAGAUGAGAAACGCCUCGGCGUCGACCUAAGUAUAGGCGCGUGAUGAUACGUGAACCUAUGGCGGUGCGGAAGUCGAUUCAUGGGUCGAAGUUUGAUGUUAUGUCUCUAGCUUUACUAUAGAACGGAUCCAAGUGACACUAGUUUCUGCUGUGCGCUCUAGUGGUUGUGUCGCCGCCGACGACGCACGCUAAGAGGUCAAAGCAGCAAACAUCGUGUGCUUCCGCGCCCGAUUUCAAUUGUCGAGAUCGUUUAAUUCGUGAACGUAAAAUUAUUGGUUAAAAUAUAACAAGUUUGUUCAGGAGCAAAUGUCUCAAGGGCUACGUAACGUAGUCCGUCGGUACACCGGCAUCUCGUGCCGAGCGAUCUGGAUGCAAGGAGUGCAGAACUUGCGCGAAGCAGUCGCCGCAUUGUUUGGCGCCGAUGCAGCGCAGAGGCUCGAUUCGAACAGCUCCGGGAUUGUGGAGCAGCAAGCGCAGCAGCGCGGCCGCGACAGCGGCAGGAGAUCACGAUCCGCCGCACCUUCGCAUCGCGCCCGGUAGCGCCGAGGGUGAGGCAUAGCGGCCGUUCCGAUGCGGCAGUUCCCCCGCCACAAUGCGCCACCGACGGCUUGCGGUUCGGCUAGCCUGACACGACGGCGCGACCGGAGGUGGACGAGAGCGCGGCAUGGCAGCUCUUAUAAGUCAAGAUUUAAACGCCAUCUUUAGGGGGAGAAAGUGGACCGGCAAUGGAGUCAUGGAUUGACUCUAUGGAGACCUCUUCGAGGACUAAUAUCCUCAGAAGAAAGUACCCUCGCCACCAAUCCUCGAGAAGGACGCGAAGGGUGUGUGGAAGCGUUUGAAGCGGGAUCGGCCCUCUGACCUCCCCAAAUGCCCUCGGAGGAGUUAAGAGGCAAUGUUCGGGAAUUACUUCCCCGACACCGAGAACGAAAUUGAAGAAGGUUUCGUCAAAUUGAGCAGGGAUCGUUCAAGUAGCAGACCAUACGACAGAGCUUCUCCACAUUAAAUGUGCCGACGUUUUUAGGGACGAUCGCAGACGCGCCGAGGUUCUGCGGACUGCUCGCCAUGGAUUAUCGGGCGGAUGCAGCUGCUCAAUGCUCACGACCUACGCCGAAGUCUUUGAUGAGACGCAGUCGUUGUGCGAGCACGGACCACAUGCGGAGAACGCGAGUGUUGCUGACCCCAAGACAGGGAAAAAUCGUCGAGCGUGUGCGGGAGAGGCUCGUCGAGUUCCAAGAGCCCCCGAAACACUCGCGAUCGGCAGUCAGUGGGUGUGGCCGCAGGCAGUGAGCUAUCUGUGUGCUGGGGCCACCGAAGCGCAGCAGUGUAGGCAACGACAGGGCAAAGCUUCAAUUGUAGGACAAGAAGGGCCAUAUCAGCCGGCAACUGUCCAGCAAAGGCCCCCCUACCCCGUCAGUCCAUCGACCUCCAGCGACCCCACCCAUUAUGGAGACUCUUAUGUUCCCGUUCGCAGGCGCGCGAUGAUGCCGCUCAAGCCGAGUGACUCGAUCAGCGCCCGAGCGACGGGUAUUCGCAACGCUCAGGCCCAGCCGAGAAUCACCCCAAGCCGAGAGCCUAACGUGUGGCAGUAUGGUUUUAAUUAACGAGUUCGCUCCAGGGCUAAACUUUGAUACAGUGCCACACAUUCUUAUUAUAGAGCAUUCCCCGCAAUGCAUGACAUACCCAUAGAACGAGGGCAAUGCGAGUUAAGGCCCUGAGUCUCGUCAUACCUACACGAGUGCUCUUCUGCCCAGUACAAUAUGCGGGGGGUCGACUGAUAAGCCCAUAACCGAUGUUGUAAUUCAGAAACUCUGAGGCGUAUGAACGCAUUGGCAUGAUUGGCUCCAAGUAUUACGCUACGAUUGAUGUAAGAAUAAAUUGACACCUUUCGGGACCAGGACAAGGAAGUCAUUUAUACGAGCUUGUCGACAGCUCUUUGCUUCGUCCGACGAUAUCGCCACGAAGCUAGAAAGUUGGUCCAAUGCGCUGCGUAGCAUUUUUGGCGAUCUGUCAUGGAAUGGACGAGUGCUCCCGAGUUAGAGAUUUAUCGGUGUGCGGAAUUCCCGAGUAUUUCCCGCGAGUUAACCGGAUUGGCCGCGAUCGGGAGAUCGUAGUUCGUUAUAGACUUGAGUUCCCCGACGGCGCCGAUCUCAAGGCCUCGCGAUACCGCAUGCCGCCGCAAAGCUAAGGGAGUUAGGGAUCACUAACAGAUCUUCUCACAAGCGGGUUUAAAGGCCCGAGCGAUCGGCCGUGGACCCCGUGUUGUUCCAGCGCAAGAAGAUGUCUCGUUUCGACUCCUCCGCGUGGAUUACGGGAGUUGAAUCGGGUCACGAUAAAGUAAACAAGUACCGUGCCCCGAUCGACACAUUAUUGAUACAGUUACAAGGGUCGCGAGUGUACUCGACCGAAGAACCUAUCAAUCCGGCUAUCAUCAGUUAAAGAUUAAGCCGGAGAUUUCAAAGACCGCGUUUCGCACAGCGGUAUGGACACUCACGAAUACAUCGGAAUAUCGCCUUUCGGCUCACUAUGCCAACAGCAUUCAUGGAUCUAAUGAAACAGUGUGUUCAACAAGCGUGCUUGAACGAUUUGUCGUGGCUCAUAGAGCGAACUAUCUUGGUCUAUAUGCGGACGCAGACGAAGAGCACCGAAGCAAUUUGCGGAUAGGCUUCAAAUCCUUCGUGAGGAAAGCUAUUCGCGAAGUUAAAAGAAUGUGACUUCUGGCUUCGAGAGGUGCCUUCUUAACGGCAGUGAUUCCGGAGGCGGUGUUUCAUUGACCCGAGGAAAAUCGAAGCAGUUAAAUGAGCCGCGCCCACGAACUCACCGAGUCCGAAGCUUCAUAGCUUAGCGGCUACUAUCCGACGGUUUGAGGCUUUCAAAGAUGUGACUCCGCUUACCCGUCCUAACGCAGAAGGCCGCAAUUUAUGGACGACGGUAUGUGAACCGGAGUCUUUACGAUUAAAGGAAAGGUUAACUUCGGCUCCGAUCCCGCCUUAAACCGUCAGUGGCGAGACUUUGCGGUCUAAUAGUGAUCAUCCUAUCUGGGUUGGGUGUCCUGACAAGGCGGAAGAGUGAUAGCUUACGUCCAACAUUAAAGGACGCAUGAAAGAAUUAUCCCAUUCAUGACUUGGAGUUGUCGUCGUGAUUUUCUGGCUGAAGCUUGAGGCACUACCUAUCUGUGCGCACUGCAGAUCUACGACCCAAAAAGUCUGAAAUACUAUACCAAAGAGUUGAAUAUCUCAACGACGUGGUUGAUGUUAAAGAUUACAUGUUGAUAUCCCACCACCCCGCAAGCAAAUGUCGGAUGCCUCCAGAAAGUCGCGCAGAACCUGCUCUUGAUGUUACCAACAAAAUCACCCUUAUGGCUGAUAUGAAGCGUCUGACCUAGAAGUGGUAGCUCCCCGAGUCCCGACCUCAGUUGAUGGUACUCGUUGUUCAAAUGCCACCUUGUGAGAGGAUCAAGACUUGACAACUGCGGAUCCAAUCUCCAAACGUGCUGCUAUAUAUCGAGGAGGCAAGCGCGAAUUUCAGUGUGGACCCGGGCCGCGCUCGUUUCGAAACCGGGUGUGUGCCCGCAAUGAAGGAGCUUCGCAGCUAUGUGCAAGAAGCUCCAACCCGGCCACCAUACGAUCACCACUGGCGCACACAAGAUUAUCUGAUUGAGAGCACUCUAUGUGGACGGGAAAAAUUGAUAUUGCGCCUUCGUGCAAGUGUUGACUUGUCACAGGUGAAAGCGGAGCGCCGAUUUCCAGCAGAAAGCUUCAAAGCCCUACACCUAUCACCGUCUGGAAAUGGGUAGACCAUAAUCAUGAUUUUCUCGUGGCUUGCCUCGCUCGAUCGGGGCCCACGACUCAUUGGUAUUGUGAACGCCUUGAGAAGUCGGCACACUUUCACGCGGUCCAACCACUUGGGCAGAAAUAAGUUUGCCGCAGUAUAUUUGACGAGGUAGUGAGUACACGGGGUACCUGAUCAAUUGUGCGGAUAAGACCCCAACACUUCACAUUUCUGGAAAACUGCAGGAAGGCACUUGCACGAUAACGGCUCGACUUCCCAUCACCGCAUUUCAAUCCCCAGACAACGGCAAACGAAAGACAUUCAACCCUGGAGGAUAUUUCGAGCGUGUGUUUUUGACUCAAGGUUGGUGCAAGUAUCUGCCAGGCCGGUUCGCCUACAAUAACAUUAUCCAUGCAAGUUGAGAUGGCACCGUUCGAGGCUCUUAUGGGCGGAAGGCCGGUCCCCAUUAUGGACGAGCGAUGUGGCGAGCGCACGAAUUGGCCCGAUGUGUUCUUGCGAGAAGCAAGAAGAGAAGGUCCGCUCUUGCUCGCAAACGUUACUCACGCGCAGCUCGACAGCAAAGCUAUGCAUAGCCGCCGGCGAACUUGGGAUUUGCGAUGGCGCCGCGUUUCCCUGAGUUUCGCCUAUGAGGCAUUUAACGAUUUGGAGUCGGGAAAACUAAUCCCGAUAUAUGCCCCUAUGAGAUCUUGGAGCGGCAUUGGACAGUGGCUUAUCGACUCCGCCGUUGCCGCCAAAAGCUCGCGAUUUGCCAAUGUAUCACUCCCAAUCUCGCAAUACAUACUGUCCAGCCCGCGAUUUUGUAAUGAACCGCCGAGCUUCAGGAACUUGAGCUACAGAGUUCCGUGCAAUAUCAGCUGAGAAUGCGGCAAGUUGAGGAACCGAAAAUCAUAUGCAAGUCCUGAGCAAUCAUGACGAUCGCCGAAGCCACCUGGGAGCUCGAGAUCAAAUGAAGCGAAUCACCCUCACUUAUUUGAGGAUUGACAAUAUCAUUAAAUUUCGACCCUAAAUUUUGAUAAAUGAUUCGUUUUCGAGGAGAAACUCCUUUAAGGAGGCGGAGAAUGUAGGAUACCUCAGAAUUACAAAUAGAAUUACGUAGGAUAUAUUCGGAGUUAUUUAAAAAUAAAUAUAAUAAAAAUAGUGUGACAUUACUAUUUUAUUCGGACCAUGAAGUAAAUAUACUGGAAAUACCUGUGCGGAAAAGCGAGCGAAAANNNNNNNNNNNNNNNNNNNNNNNNNNNNNNNNNNNNNNNNNNNNNNNNNNNNNNNNNNNNNNNNNNNNNNNNNNNNNNNNNNNNNNNNNNNNNNNNNNNNAAAUUAUUUCAGCGCCCUUGUCGACGCUUUAAUUAAGCGUCGUUAAUUUAUGAAUUAAAUUUGGACUUUCCGACGCAUUGACAAAGCGUUUCCAAAAAAGCGUCGGCACAGCUCUGAUUUGUUGUAGUGUAAUAACUGUCAAAAUAAAAAAAUAAAUCAGAAAAAAAUUCUAAAAAAGGAGGUCAUGCCACCUCAACUUUUGUUAUUAGUUUUCAUAGUUUAUAAUAAUAAAAUAAUUUAUCAAUUGCAAUUAUGAGGAUCCGUUUUGUCACGCCCCGGGACCGAUACCAUUUUGGGCCGGCCCGAGCACGUCAAACAGACGUCGAACGGACAGAGUUUCCCCUGUCCGCCCAAGGCUCAUCACCUGUAUAUUUUCAAACAAGAAGUGCACUAGCGGAAACAUACACAAACGGCUUACACGAGGAUAAGCAAUAGCCAUGAGUGAAAGAAAGAGAACUAAACAUCUACACAAGUAUUAUGAUUCACUUUUGAUCACAUAUAUUGCAUUUAACCUCAUAUUCAUAAUUCUUUACAUUUCAUUACAUCAAAUGCAUCAUUUCUUUUACAUUACAUUGGCUCAAAAUAAAUUUUACAUUCUUUUCUUUUUUUGGUCAUACAACAACAUCUUAAAUCAGCAAAUACAAAAGAUGAUAAAAGGGUAUGCUACUACAAAAUGUAAACCCAACUUUGGUGGCCUCUGACUAAGGUGCGAUACCUUUACCGCGGUCGAUCGCCGGCUCGCUCGGUCCUGGCUCUGUGGAAUAGUGGGGUGAGAACUACAACAAAGUUUCCAGUGGAUUCGGCCCCAAUCUCAUCGACUUUCCUACUAGAACUAACUCAGGCAUAAUAGAAAGAAUAAGCAGAAUAGUAACCAAACUAUAAUCAUGAUGCUAAUAUGCCUGAACAAUAAAGCAAGAAAUAUGCUCAAUGUAAAUCAUGCAAGUAUGCAAGUUCUUUGUUCUUUACACUUUAUUCUUUAAGCUUUGUUCUUUGUACUUGUUCUUUAAUCUCACGGCUAACCCGGGGGUUUCGCCACAUUAACCUGCCCACAUUAAGUCCAUCAUCGCGGGCCCUCAGCUGCCUCCCGCUAAGACCGUCCUCGGGUUUACUCCAACCCGUGAUGCAAAACUCCGGAGCGCAUCGCUCGAGGGGGAGCGACCGCCCUCGAGCACGGAACUCAUAGCAAGUAUGAUCAAUCCUUAACUCUAAGGAUACAUAGUUCAAUCAUUGUCUUUACACUAACUCUAGUGUUCUUUACAUCACUUUAUUUUGCUAACUCUAGCAAUCAUUAUUCUUUAACUUUACUCGUUCUUUUUGCCACUUUCAUUUUUUCAAUUGUCACUAAUCAUUGUCAUUGUUCUUACAUCACAUUUCUUUUGAUGCCACACACUAACUCUAGUGUCACUUUUCUUUACAUUAUCGAAUGACACUCGAUCUAUGUUUAUUGUGUCACUUUAUUCUUUCAUCUCAUUGGAUGCUCACAUUAUAUCUCAUGCAUACAUAUAGGGUUAAGUAGGCUCUCAAACAUUUCAAAUAGCACGUGUACUCACAUCAUGCAAUAUUCACAUGUACAUCAUCACAUCUACCCUAUAAUGCAUGCAACAAUAUAGAUAUAUGCUCAAUUGAAUGAUACAUUAGGCAUAGAAGGAAUUCCAACGAGUUUGGAGAGCACCACCCACCUCGUAGGCGUACUAAGAUGUUACGGUGAUUUUCUUGGAAUUUUUAGAUUCCUAGUUCGUCACCUGCGGCAAAACGAAGCCCUAUUAGGCCAUUUUGCUCAUAUUUUUAUAUUGGCUUUUCGUAACGUUAAUCCGAGCGCACCAACGCGUCGGGAAUACCCCCAAUUAGGUUUCUAGAGGGUCAAUUUCAUUUUAGAACCUUUACAAGUAAAAGCCCCAAUUUAGGUGCCCUAACUCAUAACAUAUAUCAAACCUAGGGUUUGAUCUCAUUGGGAAGCAAAAGAAGCUUCAAUCUACUCUAGAGACUCCAUAAAAACCAUCCUUACCUUAAUCCAAACCCUAGUUUGGAUUCUACCAUGAGAGAGGUUGAAGCUCUCCUCUAAGCUUCACCUCCAACACUAAAUCCAUGGUUUUGAUCUCAUCCACAAGAAAAAGAAAGCUUGAAACAUUCCUUAGGCUCUAUUAGAACCAUUUCUAGGUCAUUUAAUCCUCAUUUUAGGGUUCCACCAUAAAAGGGUUCAAAGCUUACCUCAAAGCUUUCCCUCCUACAAGCUAGAGAUAAGGGAGAGAGAGUUUCUUCACUCAUUCUUCUUCUUCACUUUCUUCUUCUUCUUUUCCUUCCUUUCUUUGUCUUCUUCUUCUCCUUCUUGUCUUCUAGAGAGAGAAAGAGAGAUGAGAGGGAGUGUGUGAGGGAGGGAAUGAGAGAAAAAGCCCUCAAAGCCCUCCACUUAACCAUUGGGUUGCACAAGUGCAAAUAGGCCGCUCAACUUUUACUUUAUUGAACUGCCCAAACUGGGCAGAUUUCGGGUUCGGGGACCGGUCUCCGUGACUUGCGACCGGUCCCAGAGAGUUCUCCCCGCGGGCAGCCAGGGCUCCCGCGUAGGGGUGGAAACGAGCCGAGCUCGAGCAAGCUUACCUUGGCUCAAAUUCGGCUUGAAAUUAAUUUCGAGCCUAAAUUUAAGCUCAAGCUUGGAUUGAAAUUAAUUCGAGCCGAUCUCGAGCGAGCCAAAUUUCGAGUCGAGCGAGCUCGAGCACUAAACGAGCCGCUUAAAAUUCUCAACAUCAUACGAUCAAUAGUUUAAUUUGUAUAGAAUAUUAUCUAUAAUUUGAUACAAAAAUACGUCUAAUAGUUCAAAGUACAAAAUAAUUCUAUGAAAUAUAGUAUUAUAAUANGUACCGAAUUUUUGCCGAAUCCGAAUUAACUAACUAUGGUCGGAUCUCCUCCUCCUUUCGCCUUCCUCCCAUCUUCUCCAUUGCUGCCGCCCUCCACCUGCGACGCCGGCGUCGACCUCAAGCGGGGCCUGUUGAUGACAGCGUGGGUUGACCACCAAGCCUCCCACAAGACGCUGUGGCUCCGGCACGGCCACUCGCGCUCGCGCCCGCAGCGCCGCCCUUCCUUGUCGCUCGCCGGAAGUUUGCCUGAACGCCCUUGCCGCCGGUUCACCCCACCGAGCUCGCUCCUCUCCUACCUUGUUGCUAGCAUUUAUUCCUCUUCUACUGUAAAGUUGCUAUUUUUUCACUACUUUAACUACUCUUCUACCAUUUAUUCUUCAGGGUUGUUACAGAGGAGAGGAGAGAAGAGAUGACGACGGCGACGUCGUCGUCGUACCCGCCGCCGCCGCCCUACUACCGGCUGUACAAGGACUACGAGCAUGACCCGGCGUCGGCGCCCGACCCCCCGCCCCCUAUCCAGGGCGCCUUCCCGCUCUUCGGCGCCACCUACACCGUCCGUCUCUCCGGCCUCCUCUUCUUCUCCUCCUUUUUUUUUUUUUUCUCCUCCUUAUUUCAUCUUAUCAAAGAUUAAGAUCGAUUCAUCUUGGCAGACUGACGUGGUGCUGCCCACCCUCGAGGAUCAGGGCGUCCGCCAGCUCUACCCCAAGGGGCCUAACAUCGGUCCGUCUCGUCUCUUCCUUUCUGUUCCUGUUUGGUAUAUAUGUAUAUGUUAGAAUAUAUUGUUCGACACAUCUCUUAUAUAUAUUUUACACACACACUUAAGGCUAAUUUUUAUAGUGCACGAAGCUAAAACCAAACUCUUAACUUACAAUCCCCAAAAUCGAAGGAAAAGAAAAGGAGUUAUCACCGAUUAACUUGUUAUUAUGACCAACCCGUGCCAGUUCUACGGCUGAGCCAGUGUUAUGAUUUGGCAUAUUAUUAGUAGUAGAUAUACUCUUGGUUUGGUAUUCACUUCGCUAAUCGGCUAGGGCUCAUGACGAGAAGUAUAGGAUGUAGAACAUUAUUGUGAGUUGCGAAUGCGCGCUAGGCCUUGCUUGCCUUUGUGAUUUGCUGUAAAUUGCUCUUAUUUUCACCCUCGGAAUGCUAUUUAUGUAGAGCUUUACCAAGCUUUUUUUCGAAGAGCCGAAGUGUCAACAUGUGCUUAGGAAGAACGUAAUACUUCUUUCUGGAGCUAGAAUAAUAAUCUCUUUAUUGCAAGAAAAGUUAUUGUGUGAAUGGGCCACUUUUGGCUCUUCCUCUAAAGGAGAAAAGUGAAGAUCUGGUAGAGUCGGCUUCUGAUGUGCAGGAGUUUAGCCCAAAAGGUAAAAAAGAUGAAAUCUAUCCUGAAAUAAGAAAUUGAGUUCGUAUAGGCAUUUUGCGCGAUACAGGUUCUAUUGGGACUACUUUAUGUUGUUGUCGGAAUAGUUGCACAUAAUUUUGAGAUAAUAUUUGAAGUGGAGUCAUUACUAUAGCGGCGAAAGCAUGUUACAUGCUUUGAAGUUAGAAACCAUCUCUCCGUGACCGAUAUAAGAAAUCAAUCAGUCUUACAGUUUUGCAGAGACAAUUACUAUAACUGAGUUACUGAAAGAAUUUACCAAAAAAUAACAUAAAAGAAAAUUUAAUGAGUGGAAAGUUUUUCUAUCCGUGUAGCAUGUAAUGGUUACAAAGUGGUUCUAAAUAUCUUGAUCAGCAUGAUCUACACUGUUCAAAAUUCUAAUUAGCAAAAUUUAUUGAAAGUUUUAUACCGCUAGAGAAGAAACCGUUGCGAGCCUUGUAUUGGAAUUAUGUUAUAUCUGUUUUUUUUCAGUAUGCUUGGUGCUUAAUUAAAAUACCUUCAAAUCAAAUGAUUUCCUAUCUGUAGGAACCUUAAUGCUGUCGAUCAUAAUGAACUAUGUUGAUCUCUCUCCCACCCUUCUCGUCCCUCUAAGUGUUCCGCUUUAGUGUCUAACAGGUAGAAAUCGUGACAAGAAAUCAAUCAAAACGAACAGGUGGGUUCUAAAAGACCAAGCAAACAAAAUGCUGCCUUUGUUGCUAUAUGCUGUCAUCAUUGCGUAGCUUGUUGUGUUGUUAAUAAUAUAAUAUAAUGCCUGUUAAUGUUUGGCCUUACAUGUCUCCUAUCCGCAUCAUUUUGAUUCCUAAUUAGUUGAAUUUUGGUUCAGACAUAAAAAAGGAGCUAAGAUCACUUAAUCGGGAGCUCCAACUUCAUAUCCUAGAGCUAGCGGAUAUUCUAGUGGAGAGGCCUUCUCAAUAUGCACGCAAGGUGGAAGACAUAUCACUUAUUUUCAAGAACAUGCACCAUCUCCUCAACUCCUUGCGCCCUCAUCAGGUGUCAAAUCAAUUGGCUAUCUCAAUUGCAUUCCUAUGAAGUCAGCCUUUUCUUGCGUCUGCUUGACAUUGUUAGUUAUUUGAUUGUUUUCCAAUUUUAGGCCAGAGCAGCGCUCGUCCACAUACUGGAACGUCAGAUACAGCGCCGAAAACAAGCAGUGGAAGACAUAAAAAAGUGAGAUAUCAACUAUCUUGACUGUUUCUUUUGUAGUUUGUUCCUGGUUUGAACUUAUAUUCUACAAGGAAGCUAAACAUAAAAAUAUGGUUGUAAUUUGGCCUUUUUUUUUUAGUUGCAUUAUCUGAAUUGUUACCAAAUUUUCUACACAAUGAAAUCAACCACUUGCUGUUCUUCUGAUAUUGCUGAUGAUUUGACACUUAAAUUACUAGGCAUUGCAGAUGACAAACAUGGUUUUGACAUUUUUGGGUCCUAACUUAUAAUGAUUUGUAAGAUUAGGUGGCUGUCAAGUAUGAUAUUGUUUUAAAUUUUUGUCAUCUUAAGGGCACUAGGUUGCAAACUCCAAAUCAUGAGAAAUUCCUUGUGUAAAUCUUCAUUGUCUCACUUGUCUUGCAUUUUGUCUCCAUGCAAUCUGCUAAUUCUCUAUGGUUUGAAUUUAGAAGUGGAUAUUGAAGGACCACAGGCAUUAGAUCAUUUUGUUAUGUAGUAUUUUUUAGUUUGAAAGCUCUUGAUAGUGUUGUCGAUUGCUAUCAGGCCAGUUUGGGUCUGCAUACGGAUCCCAUAGGAACAGCUGGUUAGGUAGUUGGACUUGAAUUUUGACCAUUUUAUGUUUAAGUUGGAUUGGGUAGGACCUAAAAGCACGAAAUUCACAAACUAUUAAGCCAGGUUAGGUCCAAAAGCUGUUCUUAGCUUUUAAGUUGGAAUGAUCAAUAUUGUUUGAUAAGAUAAUUAGUUUAGAAUCAAAGUGAAAGCUUACUCUCUAUUUGUGCUAAAAUAAAAUAAUUCCAUAUCUUUUGAUGGCUAAAUAUCUUCUUUUCUGGAACCAAUAAGAGAUAAGGAUCUGUUACUAAAAAUAAUAAAGGAAAAUAUCACGAAAAGCAAAUAUACAAGUGGAAAACAAAUAAUUAGAUAUAUGGUGCACAGACAGUUUUGUAAAGAAUUAUAGUGCUACUGCUAAAUCUGUCAAAUAUCACCGGACUCUAUUAAAAACUAAUCGAGCAGGUCAAAGUCAAACGUGUAUUUACUUUGUGACACUUAACCGUCUUAUUUGGUUUGAAUUCCAGCAUGCAGUUUCUGAAAUAAUCCUAUAAAUACAUACAUAAAUAUAUAUAAAUAUAUAUAUAUAUAUAUAUAUAGAGAGAGAGAGAGAGAGAGAGAGAGAGAGAGAGAGAGAGAGAGUUGAGCUCGUGCUUUUAAAAGUACAGGAGCAUUUGUGCUUAUGACUUUUUAGUCGUCGGAUUGCCUUAAGAUCCGUGCAGCACUAUCAACGGUAUAUCCUGUUAAGUUUCCUUUACUAGUGGUGCACGGAUCUUGAGGCGAUCUGACGGCUAAAAGUCACAAGUACAGAUGCUUUUGUGCUUUUAAAAGCAUGGGAGCUCAACUUUCUCUCUUUCCCUCCAUAUAUAUUUAUAUAUAUCACUUGAGCUUUGUGGAUAUUUGAACUCUUUUCUAUUCAAGCUCCAAUUGCUAUUGUUGCUCCCACAGUAUUGAUAGUUUUCUUUAUCGUUACUGAACAACUCACUAUUUAGGAGGAGAGAGGAAGCCCGAAGACUACUCAAGGAAUCACUCCAGAUUGUAGAUGGUCAACUACGCUAACAUUUGUUGCUGGUCACAGAUGUAAUAUAAGUUUAACUUCUGCAGCAUACAACUGCUAUUGUGUUAUUUAUGUAGUUUGAUAGUUCUAUGUUAUUUAACUCUAGCUUAUUUAUUUCGUAACCAAGGUACUAUAUAAAGAAUGUGUACUUUGCACUAUGUUAUAACAUCAUCUUUUCCUGUUUAUUGGCAUGUGCGACAACCUUUUAUUGAACAUAGAUCUGCAUCUCGUGAUGUGAUUGUUGGUAAAUGUAUCUUGUUCAGAUCCUUUCAUAUGCAGAGAAAAUCAUUGCAUUGGCAACUUGAGUGAUGAAAUUUUGGACAAUUACUUGUUAUAUAUAUUUUCUGGAUGCCUCUAGAAUUACGACCAUGGAACUGAGUGUAGAUCUUUGUUUUUCACUGCUUAUAGUCAUAAGAUUUGUGUUUCUAAACAUGCUAGACGGAUUUGUACUUAGCUUCGAAUUUCCAAAGUCUAAGGAAUUAUAGAUGAUAUAGGCUUAGCUUGGAAAUGUGUUCUCGAAGCACAACUACUUUAAUGAUUCAGGCCUAGUUUGGAAUGUGUCCUAAAGCCGGUGGUAUUUGUUCCCCAUGUACUUAUCUAUGUCUCUUUUCUGUGUAUCAAGAACUAUUCCAGAUGGGAGAAGGGCUGGAACCCUUCUUUCUUUCUCACCUUUACUCUCUCUAUCUCUCUCUCUCUCAAGCCCUCUCUUCCUCUGCAUGAUGUUCUAAUGAUGAUUAGAAGCUGCUCAUACAAGUAUACAACAGGUAAAGUGCACUAUCAGUCCCGGAAUCAGAACUUAUUCUAAUUUAAGAUUGUCGGAGGAUGUUACUUUUGAAGGAAGAGAGUAGUCAAAUAUGACCUGCCAUUUUCAGGGUGGAAUAACAUAACAUUAAUGCUAAGCCUCUUAAAGGACAUAAUCUUGAUGCAAUGAAAACUUAAGAUCACUAGUUCAUAAGAUAUCGUUAUUCCCUGAAACUCUUAUAUGCUUCAUUUCAUUGUUUUCAUUUGUUCUUUUUCUAUGUAUUACUCUCUAAUGGUGCAUAUUAUUAUUAAGAAGUUGCUAAUAAGGACAAAAGAUCUUUAUUGGUAUGGAUCUAUGAUACAUUACACUUUAGGUGGAAAUGGUGCGACAACUUCAAAAUCCCAAGUUCUUUCAAGCUCUUUGUAAACUCUUAUGCUAGCAUACGUUUUCGCUGAUACUGGGGUUUACUGCUUUUAUCUGACAUUCUCCAGCUAGUGAACGUUCACUAAUUGUGUUUCCAAUUGCCAAGACUUUUGUCUGCUUUUGUCUGAUAUUCGUAGUGGAAAGAAACAUAUAGAAAUUGGUAAUUCUUGUCAUAUCGCAAACAUAGUGACCAGAUUAUUCCUGAAUUAUCACUGACAUUCUCCAGCUACUUUUAUCUGCCUUUUAGCUGAACUUUAACUUUUAAGGUUCUUUUUGUUGCCCGGAAAGCUUAAGCUGUGGGGCCAAAUAUACAUGAUGGGUAUCAUUUUUUUGCAAAGCAUGCGAGCACUCAUCUAGCUGUUUGAUCUUAUUGUCCUGUUAUGCAGACAUGAUCUUCUGUCUAUUUGGCUGCAAAAUUUCAAUAUUCAGAAACACAUUUGUUUGAGAUUGUUUAACUGUCUUUUCUGUCACUAUCUGGAUCCUAUUCGUUAGAUCUUGAGCGUGGAUAUUGUGACUAGAUCUAUAUGUAACUGUCGUAGCAUGACCUGCGGUAUAUACUGGCCAAACGAAGAUGCAUCUUCUUGAUUUAGACUUGUAUACGAUGCAAACAGGUCAUGGAGAGGGAUAAUACAUGGAUGGAUCUAGUCACAAUAGGUGGAUCUUUUGCUAUUUAGGUCAUGCUGUAGGUCAUGCUGCUUUUUAAUUGGACUUUUGAUUUGGAUGGAUCUUUUGCUAUUUGGCUGUACCUCCUUGAAGGAGCCCCACUAGCUUUUUGCUGAAGUUCUCUCAUUAGCUACCCUUUGCAGCUAAAGGGUAGAAGUUUCAAAUUUGAAGUUCUGUUCUGUUUGGGGCUUCAGAAGCUUAUUUCAACUUUCUGUCAUGCUUAAUAGCUCUUUUUUUCUGUCCAUUGUUUGUCUUCUGCUUCUCACUAACUAUCUUUGGAAAGAAUUAGGACCAGGUGGUGCUUUUGCUGACAGCAGUUAUGCAUGAGCCCAUCCAUAAGACAGAUUCCCUACCAAAGCUGCUUCAGUAAGAUGGUGGAUGUAAAGUGGGAGGAGGGCAAAAACAAGUGAUGUGUCAGGUAGUAACUGAACACACUCUUUUUAAGUAAUAGUGGAUUAUGGAUAAAUCGUUAUAUAUAUAUAUAUAUAUAUAUAUAUUUAGACAUCAAUUGUUGAGAUCCCAUGAUCAUCAGUUUGGGAAUCAGCAUUAGAUUUGAUUAAGCCCACAAUUUAAAGUUAAAAAGUGUGCCAGUUCUGGGAGUUUGAGAAGCCCAUGCUUUUUGGGUCUUGCUUUGGCAACUGCUUCUUGUAAAAAGUGGUGGUGGUGGAUUGUGAAAAAGUUUUUGAGUUCGAAUUGUUUCUAGGGAAAACUUCAAAUACCCCCCUUGUGGUUUCACUCUUUCUCACUUUAGCACUAUGUGGUUUAAAGUGUAUCAAGUUAGUACCCUGUGGUUUCGCACUUUCUCACUUUAGUACCAUGUGGUUUAAAGUAUAUCAAGUUAGUACCCCGUGGUUUCGCACUUUUUCACUUUAGUACUCUGUGGUUAAUAUUUCAUUAAGAGAAAAAUAAGGGUACUAACUAGAUACAAAAAUGAAGAUGGCGAGAGAAUAACAUAUGCCGGGAAGUUGGAAUGGCUAGGCCGUUGCGGCGUCCUCGAUGAAGAUGCUGUGUCGUUGAAGACAUAUCUCCUUGCCGGAGGAGUGUGGAAUGAAUACUUCGGAAGGUGCUCAAAAUGGACCUACAUGAGGGGUAUUUCGGAGAUGGAUGGUGAUCUCAAGGAAAUUUAACUUAUUAUCGAUGUCCCUUAUUUCUGCCUCUUGCCUACUUAUGUCUUUCACUAAAUCCUGAAUGUCUUAUGAAGAUUACUUUUUGUUUUUCUGGGUGUCGUUGACAGCUUUUUUGAGAGAAUCUUCUUUCUUUUUUUUUUGUCGACUAAAUUGUUAAGUUUAAAUCUGAAUUCACCCUUAGUGAGUCUUUAGCAAUAAUUGACCUUUCAUCCUUUCUGACAUGUCGAAGAAUCAGAAUUAACUGUUACAAUGUUUCUUUACAUUAUCAUUAUCUUGUAUCAAAAGCAGCAUGGCUUUGUGGGUGAUUUUUAUUCUCUACUUUUGUUUUGAUUUUACAGGUGCUCAUUCUCACUUCCGUCACUUGUUGAUGCCAAAUGACAUAAAAAGUAGACUUAUGCAUUGGCAACAUUUCCCCCCUAGUUUUAUCUCUCUUUAGUAUAUUUUAUACCCAAGGGAUGCACUUUGUUGUAAUUGCUUGGAUAGUGCGGUAGUUUUUCCUUACUGCAUUGGCACAAUGAGGUAGGGUACCCUGUUUUUGGUGGAAAGAUGCUUUGCGACUCGAAUCAUCUAAUCACUGCUUUAGCUUUGCUUAAAAGCACAGAGUAACUCUUAAAGAGGAUGCAAAUUGCUCAAACUUCAACAAGAAGCUUCAUCUUUGUAUUCCAUGGAAUCAUAUUCUCUGGUUACUUGGUGGGCUACCUUUAUGAAUCGUAAGCCACAGCCUAAGUACUUCAGGAAAGAAUUGACACAUAAGUAGAAAAGCAGGUCAAAGAGAGAAGGGAAAGAAAAAGGAACGUGUUGAACUGAGCAGUGACUAGAACUGGAGGUUGGUGGUGUAUGUGUUGCCGAAGCCCCAGUACGAGGGGGCAAUGUCGUAGGCGGUGAGGACGCGGCCGUCGGCAGUCUGCACCCGGAAGGAGAGGCUCUGGCGCCUGAGGUAUGCAUUGCUUUGCCAGUUCUGGCCCCAGUUCCUGUUCAUCUGUAUCCACCCUGUCCCCGACCCUUUGAUCCACACCGCAGACAGCACGCCGCUCCCUCCGACACUGGUGAUCAGCACCAGAUCAAAAUAGUCGUUCCUGUUGAUCGUGAACCUCACCCCGCCGUUCCUCUGGCACAGAACCCUGCGGCAGAACAAUCGAAUUCAAUUCCAGUCUACUUGCUGUUUCAAAUACGCUGUGAAUGCUGAUAGCGACGACUUUUACCUGCGGUAGAAGACGGGGACGAUUCUGCCGCGGUAGAUGGCGAUGGACUCCCAUGCGGGCUGGGACAUGUCGAAGUGCUGGCCAGGGGGAUUGCACCAGCCAUCGUUGUUGGAGGGGAGGUUGUAGUUAGGGGGGCAGAAGUUGGUGGUGG
rnacentral:lncRNA from 1 species